rnacentral:lncRNA from 1 species
CUGCAUCUAUGCCGACCUCGGUCCUAAUCAAGCUGCUUUACACUAAUCUAGUACUCCCUUCGUUUUUAAAUAUAAGUUUUUUAAAAAAUUUUAAUAAAAAAACUACAUUCGAAUGUAUACAGACAUAUUUUAAAAUAUAGAUUCAUUGACGGCUCCUAAAUUCGUCAAUCACUUUAACAGUUGUAAAACAUACAGUAUACAUGUCGAGGUUGCCAUGGCAAAAGAAGAGGUAGCUCCCGUAUAUCGUCAGAGCACCGUUGCAUUCCACCGAUGGAUAAUUGUCGCCGAUUGCAUCAUCGAUGCCAAAACUAAAGUUGAGCGCCCAUCAACACUCGCGUCACGCCUUUGUUUAUGUUGCGUAAUGAUCGGUGUCAGAUGCUUACAAAUCAGAAGACUGGACAGUGUAGACCUAAACAAUGAUGAUGCACGUACGUGAUGUGUAAUUUCAGGCAUCUUCCUCUUCCCUUUUAAUACUUCGGGCAAACUUAGAGACUUGCUUGUUAAGCUUUCUCAGUCGACCUAUCAGAAAACAAAAAAGUUCUCAGAUCAAGACAAGGAAGGAGAAGCCAAGCUAUCUGACCUUGUCACUAUCAGCGGGGGAGUGAAUGUGAUCUGCACGUACAAUUAACUCUUUAACCAAAUUAAGCAAUGCACACCAAAUUUCUUGACGCCUGCCAUCUGCAUACGUGUGCAAUUACAGAGAAGAUGAUGGUGAGCUAGACGGGACCAAUAUGUGCAGGCCUAAAGUCUGUUGUUCUUGCAUAAGGAUUGUGAAUUUUGUAAUAGAAAUAGUUGUGUGUUGAACCGGUGAAGAGGUUGGGAAAAUUGUAUAAGGAAUAUGUAUAUGCCCUAAAAUGAGAAACCAAAUCGUCUCCCGUGCAAAAGAAAAAUAGAAAAAACGGCAACGUUGGUUUAAUAAGUAUUUCAUUCGUCUUAUAACAUAAUACUUCCUUUGUUUCAAAAUAAUUGUCUCAACUUUGUACUAGAGCUAUUAUAAAAUUAUACUAAGUUUAAGACACUUAUUUUAGGACGGAAGGAGUAGCACUUUUUAUACUACAUUAAUAUCAAAAACGCUCAUAUAUUAUGGGAUGGAGGUUUAUUUUGAUCCAUCAAUUUCAGCGGGUUAUUUAUAAAAAAAACUGUCUAAUUUAAAGUUCGUCUAAAAUUAGUUUAAAUCUGGCUCGAAAUUGCAAACUUACCUGACUUAAUCCAUCAAUCUUACCGGGUUAUUUAAAAAAAACUGACUUUAUUUGAAGUUCAUCUAAAAUUGAUUUGUAUCUGACUUGAAAUUGCAAACUGACAAAUACUUCGGCACCCAUCAAAAUCUCAGACCAAGUUUUGUCCAAAUUUUAUUGUAAGUUUAGCUCUGUGCAACGCUGAACACUACAACAGGAACAUGGGAAAACUAUGCAACCGCGAGGGGGAAAACAGAGAUGGCCCAGUUUUAAUACGAACCACGAGCGAUAACAAGACAAAGUUAUUAGAAAAACACAGCUGCCCGUAUAAUCUCCCAACCCUCACAAAUAAACUAACACAUAAACCCAAGUGGUAAAUAUAAUGUGGAAUACGAAGCAAAAAUAAAGGUAGGAAAUGGCAAAGCGCUGCACGUCACGCAUCGCACACAACAGAUUAAUAACCAGAGUAAACCAACCAGGCGCCGGCCGGCGGUACGUACGUCGAUCUAGAAUCGGUUCAGGAGGCCCUUGAACCAGUUCCUCACCCCGCCCUCCGCCCCGUGGUGGUGGUGGUGAUGGUGGUGGCGGCCGCCAUGGCUGAAGCUCCUUCUCACGAUCGCCUCGCCCAGCUUCCUAGCCAGUUCUUCCACCUCGUCGACCUCGUUCUCGCUGUCAUGCGCGUGGUGGUGGUGGUGGAAACGUCGGAACAGCUUCGUCUUCAGGCCUUCGUCCUUGUCCUGCCGGUGGCCGUCCUCCUCGUCCUCCGCGUCCUGCUUGUGGUGGUGGCGAAGAUGGUGGUGGUGGUGGAAGCGUGCGAGCAGGUCCAUGUUCGUGCCUUCAUCCUUGUCCUGCUCGUGGUCGUCGUGCUCCUCCACGUCCUGCUCAUGGUGGCGGUGGUGGAAGCGGAUGCCGUGGCGGAACCUCCUCAGCAUCUCCGCCUUCCACGCCUUCGCUGCCUCCUCCUCCUCGUCCUCCUCGCCAUGAAGCGGCUUCUGCUCAGCGUCGGUGUCCGGGCGUGAGUCGGGGUCCGGCUCCGCGACCGCCUCCCUGGGCUCCUGGUCUUCGCCGCGGGCAAGCUCGGCGGGCACGACGUCGACGGCGGGAUGGACGCGGGCGAGGCCGUGGUGGCGCGUCCACCAGAGGUGACGGUGGAGGCGGCAGGUGGAGCGGUGGGAGGGGAGCCGGAGCAUAGGAGUGGGUGCACCAUGGCUCAGCACGAUAUUUUCGCGGGCCGGGGUGGGCAGAGCCGGAAGGGUCACGUCAGCAGCGGCAUCGGACUGAUCAUCUUGGGUGAGGAGGACGGCGUUGGGUAGGCCCUGGUCGUCGGAGGUGGUCUCAAGGACGCGGCAGCUAGCGACGGCCAGGAGGGAGAGGAGGAGCACGGCGAGGGUGGCGAGCCGAGCCAUUGUAGCAGGCACAGCAGGUCAGUGAGCUGGAGUGAGACAGGAGCGGAGCGGGGCAUUUGUAGUGGAGGGGGUCGGAGUUGGCACUGGAGUGUUUGGUCAAUGGUUGGUUGGCUUGAAAUUAAAAUUUCAGGGUGUGACGUGAUAUGUUUUGAUAUCAAGGCUGACCUACCAAGGUUAGCUCUUAAGUAGCUGUAGGCGUUAGUUAACUUAUAUUAUAUAAUACCUCCAUUUUUAAAUAUAAGAACCUUUAAUGAUUUUAAUAUAGAAUAAAUACAAAUGCGAAUGUAUAUAGAUAUAUUUUAGAGUGUAGAAUCAUUCAUUUUAUGUAAUGUGUAAUGAAAUGUAUAUAACGGCUUAUAUUUAUCGAAAAAUGCUUUUGUUUCGUUUUAUAUAUAAAUCAAUGAUCAUCAACAACCCGAUACAACAUUUAGAAACGAAUGAAGUGGAUGAAAUGCACACCCAUGAGCAGCCGCCACUCCUAUCCUACACCCCGUGCUAGGGUUUCUUUUGCCUCCUGUCGGCUCCGUCGUCGAUCUAUCUCGUCUCCUGUGGUCUUAGGACCAUGGAUGCUUGGUGGAUCCUGACCCUUGCCGACGGAAGGGCUCUGUUUUCUUAUGCUUUUUUUAUUUUUGUUAAAAUUUGCGUCCUACUCAGAGAUGCGAGGCGGAGGCGGCUCUUUACAAAUGAAAUAACGUCUUUCCGGCCUAGCCCCCCGUUCUGGUUGUGUUUCUAGCAUCGUCGAAGGGCAUGUGAAGGUUUGUCUUUGGUGGAUCUCAUGGGAUUCAAUCUGCGUUUCUCUUUGAUGGUCCACGUGAUUCCGGUCUUCGUUCGUUUGUGUUUGUGUGUCUACAAGUUGGAUACUUCCGAUCUACACUUCUCUUCAUCUGCGGCGGUUGUUGUUCUGAUGUGUUGGUCCUAUGAGGUCUUAACACGACGACUUCCCGACUAUGUACUACAACAAGGUUUGUCCGGCUCCAAAGAGAGAGGGGCGAUGACGGUGGCGCGCCUUCGGCCCGCUUCAGUGCUUGUGAUCUACGGGCAUGGAUGUAAUUUUUACUUCUGGUUUGGUGUUCUUUGUACUAUCUUAAUAAUUGAUGGAUAGAUUGAAAAAAAUUCUGAAGAAAAAGGAUGAAGUACUUAUAUUAGUGACGCUCCCCUCAAUAAUAAAAUUAAUAGGUACAUGUGCAUGCAUACUUUCUUACUUCCAAAACAAUGGAACUUGGAGCUAUAUUUUUCUUAACUGCAUAUAUAUAAUGGGACGCCGAUAUAGCAAAAUAAAUACCCCCUCCGUUCUUAAAUAUAAGACCUUCUAAAGAUUACACUAUAGACUACAUACGGAGCAAAACGAGUGAAUCUAUACUCUAAAAUAUGUCUAUAUACAUUCGUAUAUAGUCUAUAAUGUAAUCUCUAAAAGGUCUUAUAUUUAGGAACGGAGGGAGUAGAAAUUGCAGUGCAUGAUUGCACCCUUCCGUCCGACGAGUCCAUUACUCCCUCCGUUCCUAAAUAUAAGUCUUUAAAAAGGUUUCACUAAUGGACUACGUACGGAUGUAUAUAGACAUAUUUUAGAGUGUAGAUUCAUUCAUUUUACUCCGUAUGUAGACUCCUAAUGAAAUAUCUUAAAAGACUUAUAUUUAAAAACGGAGGGAGUAGUUGUCUAGCGUCAAGAGACGAAGAAGACCGCACGGGUUCAAUUGCGUAGGCAGUGACGUCAACCAUCUCACCAUUUUUGAAUAAUACAAAAUGAGUCCAAAUAACGUGAGGAGUACUAGGCCAAAUAACGUGCAUGUGGACGUGGCGUGUGCCAUCUUUGCUCCUGCAUCUAUAUAUGCACGCGGACCUCGGUCCUAAUCAAGCUGCUUUACACUAAUCUAGUGCUCUUUGCGUUAUUAAAUAUAAGUUUUUUUAAGAUUUUACUAAAAAAACUACAUACAAAUAUGUAUAGACAUACUUUAAAAUAUAAACUUACUUAUUUUAUUCCGUAUUCUAGAAAGAUCUCUAGAAAGAUUUAUAUUUUAAAACGGAAGGUGUACAUCACUGAAUGUGCACCAGGCAUCGCUCAAUCUCCUCUAAUAAUAAAGCGCGGUUCGCUUCUGUCGUCCGUCGUCUACGUCGUUACCGUUUUUGCAGAAGAGUCCCUAUAUUUCUAAGAAUUUAACCCGCAUUUCUGUUUUAAGUUAAAAAAACGUUUCGUUUUUUCUGUAAACCCCUCUGGCAAUUACCAUUCGGCUCGCUCAGUACCGGGCACCUGGACAGAUACAAAGAAACGGUGAGAUCGAAUAACAGAGGAAGCGCGGGGGAGGGGAAUGAGCAGGCGGUAGGAUGCCUACCUCGGCGGCGAGGUACUCUAGGACGGUGGCGAGCCAGACGGGGGCUUCGCCGCCGAUGCGCUCCGCGUACUUGCCGGCCUUGAGGUACCUGCGAUGCAGCCGACGGGGAAUAGCAGGCCGCACAUAGACGAUCGGGACCGGGACAUCGCUCCGCCCGCGGGCUUUUCCUUGCCCGUCUUGCUGUCGUCGGAUAUUUCCAUCUUCGGAUUCGCGGUGCAGAGUGAGCGGGUUGGUGAUGUGGUCGCUGGAGAGACGGUCGGGAUCUGCGAGAAGGUGGAGAACGGUUGGCGUUUGAGAGCGGCGCGCGGGGGAGGAAAUGAGCUAGGUUUCCCCCCGCCCCGCAGGCAGUUGGUUUUGCAUCCUGAUCGGCACGCUGGAAAUCCGACGACACAGGCGAAACCCUAGCUCGCCUAUCGGGCGUUUGGGAGGGAGUGGGCCGACAGAGCCAGCCGGCGCCCCAGACCGGGAGCCACGCGGGAGUGGGCUCGGGCGCUGGGUGACUCGGCCGGUUUCGGCCCAGACUGUCCUGGCCGUUUUUUCUUUUACAUGUUCUGUUUUUGUCCAGUUUGUUUUGGGCAGAUUUUCAUAUAGUUUUUCUAUUCAAAUUAAUCCAAUGAAAUUUUGUAUAGAAAAAUAAAAAAGUGAUAGAAAUAAAAGCUUAUGAAAAGUGAAGUUCAUGAAUUUUCUAUUCAUGUUUUUCCGCUGCAAAUAUAAUAAUUGUGCUCUUUUUUGAGAAUUUUUUUGAUGAUAAUUAAAUUUUAAAAGCAUAUUAAAGUGAUUAUUGAAAUAAAUAUUUAGGAGGCGCAGCGUGCACUGACGCAGCCGAAUCAACACAGCAGUGCACGAUGAAGAGGCUGUCACCGUUCCAGGUGAUGUAAGGAAACAGCGGGAUGUAGUGCAGCGGUCCGAGGCGGACAUGAUCCGCGACGAGGGGAAGGUUCCGGAGGCGGAGGGCUGGAUCCGAUUGAUGGCGGCGAGGUGCACGCGAACGGCGGUGUGUAGCGGUCCGAGGCGGACACAGAAGGGCGUAUGUUGAAAAAAGGAUGUGAAUAGUGCGAGUUUUUUCGAUGCAACGCACGGACUUUUUUGCUAGUCCUACCUAAUACACGGUUAGUCGUCGUUCACGCACAAUGCCAUUCUAAGCCGGCCCAUAUGCCUUCUCUUCUAUUUCUUUUUCUUUCACGGUUUUAUUGUCUUUUUGCUUUAUCUGUCAGUGAAUUUGCUCUCUUUAUCCUUUUUUUCUGUUCAGUUUUACUCUUUCUAUUUUUAUUAUAUAUAAAAUCUUUUUUUAACCUGUUUUGUAUAUGCAAUGAAUACUUUUUAAAUAUGUUAUGAUUGUCUUUUAAAUAUGAGACAAACAUGAAUAUUUAUAAACGAAUUUAAUCUUUUUUCUGUUUGUCAAACUGAACUAACUUUUUAAAAACCUUUUAAAUAAUAAAUGUUUUGUACGUGAUCUAGAACCGCUGGCUGGCACGUCCCUUCAUCCUGAAAAUCAGGGAGGGAGUGGUUAGGAUUAAGUAAGGAAAUUACAUUUUUACGUAAGAUUACAUACCAAUUUACGUAGGUGUAGCAUUUUUGCGCCCGGUGUCCCAGAUCCAGAUCCGCUGCUAAGAGAGCCGGCCCAUCCCUGCUCUUUUUCAGGUACGCUAUGAACAUGUUUUUUAUAAGUAAUAAAAAAAAUUUAAUAUGUUAUGAUUGUCUUCUGAAUAUGCGACCAACAUGAAUGUUCUUUUAUUUUUGUAAUUGUAUUUUUUUUAAUAUGUUACGAGUGUCUUCUGAAUAUGCGACCAACAUGAAUGUUCUUUUAUUUUUGUAAUUGUAAUUUUUUUUGUGAUUUUCAAACUGAACUACCUUUUUAUAAACCUUUGAAAUAAUAAACAUAUAAACAAGUUCAAACCGAAUAUGAGCACGAACCAGUCGAGCCCUGCAUGAGCCAUUCGUCACCUAUCACUCCGUGCACUAAAGCGUGGAAUAGGAGGACUCUCUCGGCUCUGCCAUGUGGAGUGCAACCAUUUUCUCAAAUGCAAUAUAUCACUUACUUAUUGUGAGAUAUAGCACUCACUUGCAAAGUAAUGCUACAUAUACAAAGACUUGCUUACAAACUGAUGUGUAGGAUUGUGAUUGGUAAUUGAGGGAUGAUGGGCCCCACCCCCACUGAAAAUCAGAGGGGAGAGAAGAAUUAGUUUGAAAGGUUAGGUAAACCUUUGUAAGUCUAGCAUUAUUGCUCACUUGCCUACAGCCGAAUUUGCCUGGGUCGGCCAAAUACUGUGUGAAUGUUAGCAUGCUGGUUGCGAUGUUUUCUUUGGUAUUUGUUUCAAUAUUUUUUAGAUCCUGAUUUUUGACAUUUGCGUCUGGUUUUCGAUGAUUUUGUGGGUUUUUAGUUUCCUUCCGGGUUUUUCUUGUUCCUAUUUUUCUUUACUUUUUGUUUUUUCUUGUUUUCCUUUUUGUUUCUUCUUUUUAAUUACAAUAAACAUUUUUUGAAACAUAAUUUUAGUUGCUGCUUUUCUAUAAAAAUAUAGAAACAAUUGUUCAACAAUGAACGAGUAUUUGAAAACUGCUCGUCUAAUAUUAUAUAGAUUCUUAAAUCACAUGAAAUUUUAUAAUACAUAUACAUUUUUUACAAGUCUUGAAGUUUGGAUCGACAAUUCUUGCUCAUGAAUUAAUCAAAUCGGCACAAAUGCCAACCACAUAUCCCCGUGCACUACACUGCAAACCAUUCUUUGUCUCGAACUGAUUCAAAUGUGUAAACCAAAUUGCCUCCAGCCUGAACGUUCGCCAGAUAUAUAUCACUUGACAAACAAUAAAAAGUGCAGCAUGGAACAAACAAUAAGGUUCUGCAUUGGUAAAUCUGCAAUCUGAAUUAUUAUCGGUAUCAAGAAUGCACAAUGACAAGAGGAGGCAGUUACAAUUCUCAGUAGGAGUGCCCCAGUCUCCAUGAUUGAACAAAAUGAGCAGGCAACUCGUCUGGUAGAACUUGCACCUGGAGGAACCACCAGGGUUUUGGGUACCGGGCGGAAAAUUCGGAUCCCGUCCGGUAUCCGCGUUUCUCGCUACCCCAUGAGAAAAACUGCAUACCAAGCAAGAAAAUUCGAUAUUUAAAAAAAAUUUGAACGGCUACAGUAUGAUCAACUAGGACAGAAACUAUUCAAAAACAUGUACUUAGCUGUAGCCUGGUGGUAACUAUUCCCCUUCCUACCCUGUGGUAAGUCGCUUGUUUGAGUCCUAGAAUUCCCUUCUAUGCAGUUUUCUUUUUUCUUAACAAACUCUUUAAAUAAAAAUUUAAAAACAAAGUAGGAGAAUCAAACCCAAGACCUCGCAUAAGCUGAGAACAUACGGGGAGAAAAUGCCACUGCACCAACAGCGAUUUUGUGAAGCAGUUGAGCUCAGUACUAAUAUAUUCCGAGCCCAGAAAAAAAUGAAUUCAAAUUACAUUUGAAUAAUUCAAGCGUUUUUUCCUCGGAAUUUUACGGUAACCGCGACCUCAAAGCACUAGCAUUGACACAACAGUUCAUAUAUCGGAAAAUGGAAUCUCAGGUUCAGCAGACAUGAAAAUACAGCACAGAAAUGGAAUACCAAAGACAACCGAAUCUCCGUGGCAUGUAGUCCUGGAGUGCUCUAGAAAUGCAACGGCAGCCCUGGGCAUUUCAAGCCCACCCAAACACCGACAUGCGUUAUAGGCUAGAGCCCAGAGCUAGAGAUUAAGAACAAGAAUAUAAGCAUUCAUGUACUACCGGAAACAAAAGUUGGUAUACCAACAAAUUAUUCACAAGCAGAGAAAUAACAGAGACAGGAAUCCAGAUAUCAAAGUAUUCAUAAUAGUUCGAAUAUAUAUAGCAGUACACAAACACAGGCAGAAUACUGUUAUACGGUCGAGUAUCCAUGAUUGACAGAGAAGUUGACUGAAUAGCUAGCAGCAUAAAGUUAGGUACAACAUGACUUUAAUCAAGCACCAACAGCAUAUCAAAACUUACCCAGAUAACUGUUGCUCAUAUUCAAAAUCUAACUCCACUAUCGUUAUCAGAAAGAUGGACAAGUCUGAGGCUUCAAUACGCAAACAUUUAGAGCCCGUCUGCCAAUGACUCCGGGAACAAAGGAACAUAUGGAAGAUAAGGGAACAUUGAACUCGAUCCAAGGUCACGAAUGAAACGCAGCUCCCUAGAAUCCAUGUGGUAUGAAAAUAAUUUCAUCUGUGAUAAGAGCUCCGAUGCAAAUCUUACGGUUAUGAAUAUGACAUUGUGUUCUGGGUGGGCUGAGAUAACACGGUAAUAUUCCCUGGCGCUUGAAUACUCUACUCCGACCAGUUGCAGGUAGCUGAGUUUGAGCUUCAGUGUCCAACAAUUUUCACUACUAGAAUCUUGAAGAAGCCAGAUUGACAGUUCAGAAGGACCAUGAUCUGCGAGAUACAAUUGUUCUUGUGAUACAUAGACACCACGAGCAGCAGAUGAAGUAGGGGUAGGAAUGAUCCUACCAUUACCCUCCACAUCGACGGCUGCAACUGAAUUAUUCGUGGAACAUAGAUACAACACACCGCUGAAAAAUGCGGCACCUGAUAAGCAGAGCAUCUCAAUUGGAUUGUCCCAGACAAUGUGAUGUGUCCAACCUCCAGCUUUAGAACAGUAGACCUCCACCUCUUGGAUGCGAUAAUCAUACUGGUUGUUCAGAUCCAAAGGGGCGGCAGGUACCAACUCGAACAGAUAGAAGUGGGAGGAGACGUCCGGGUCGAAUCCCAGGCGAGUGUCGUCCACUAACCAGGACCACUCAGUGGCCGGCACGGUAACCCAUUUCCGAGUGGCCGGAUUGCACACCAGGUACUCCAACGUGGCGGGAUCGAUCAGGCGUCGGCAGAGGAGGAGGCCGUUGCAGCAAUCCAAGAUGCGGAGCUCCUCGGAUUCAGGCAGGAACGAGAGUGAGGCGUCAAGGGGACACCAGUUCCCCGAGACGCUUCGGUAGGCAUGAGGAAAAGGUGGAUUGGAGCGCAGGCCGUAGGUUCUGUGGAAGAAGCCGGCGAGGGUCGACCGGGGAAGCUUGUCGCGGUGGUCGGGGUGGGAGAUGAGGUCCCGCCAGCGCGUGGAGACGCACUUGCAGCAGCAGGCGGACUUGUACGGCACGCGCGAGAAGAUCUCGACCAGGAGGUCGUCGGGGAGCUUGAUCGUCGGAUCGCUCAUGAGGGCCGCCUCCAUGGAUCCCGUCGCCAUCGCUGCAGAUCGGGGCGGAGGAGGACAGGUUAGAAAGAUACUUUACAUCCUAGCAGUAGCAGUGAUGGGAGAGUGAGGGAAGAGAGGACCAACCAGAUGCGUGGCGCACCAACUGCUUAGAGACAAGAGACGAGAGCGCCGGCGAGUGAGUCGCGGCGAGCCGGCGAGGGUUUGGUUUGGGUGCGGGGCGGCGAGAUGGAUGGAUGGAUUGGAUGGAUGCUGCGGAAGUGGUACCGAAAGAAGGAACGGGCGCGUCCAGUUAUCUGGGCCUUUUACUGGGCUAUGUGUGAGCCCAAACACUCUCACUGAUAGACACGCACGCCAUCUUACAUGAUCUUCUAAAAAAAUCAUAUACUUCAAGUUUAACCUUAGUUGAAAGCUGUGAUUGCUUACUAUGAAUAGAACAUGUAGUACUCCCUCCAUCCCAAAAUAACUGUCUCAACUUUGUACUAGCUCUAGUACAAAGUUGUACAAAGUUGAGACAGUUAUUUUGAGACGGAGGGAGUAUUAGUUAAAGGAACUUCUUCCAACCAUUGCUUACAUAGGUCGUCAUGCGGGACAAAACAUUAUAUAGUGCAAUCUUAGACAUAAAAGUAUGUGUGUAUUCAUAAGGAUGAGUAUCAUAAAUUAACUUUUUUUCAUGCCAAUUUAUAUUUACCGAGUGUGGAUAUUUUAGUUGGCGAGCAUGAUAAAUUUGUUUUAGUUUUUUCUUGCCAGAAAAUUACUGUGCUCCCCAACUAAUUUUGCCAUUCUUGCACCCAAAUAAAUUGUCAUAAAAACGUUCGAUUUGUCAUACCUAAAGUUUGAUGUCAGAUUUUUUUUAGCAUUUUUAAACAAAAAAACAACUAAACACACACUAAAACAAAACUAUACGAUCUGGUGAUCCAUCAGAUUUGCCUCUCUCUCUCUCUCUCGAUUUUCAUCACACUAAAAACAACUCAACGCCUCUUUCUUCAAAUAUGUCAAAGGUGAUGUGUCCAUAGUAUGAUCAGAUUAAAAAAUGCACAAAAGACAAUCACUUUCCUAGAUAACAAUAUGGAGACUCACAGUACAAGCACGAAACUCAACCUCCUCAACACUUGGACACCUCUGAAUAACAUCCCAGGAGGACAGAAUGGCGUCGCCCAUAUCUCCUCCCAUCACCACUGCCAGGCCAGUUGAUCCACAAGUUGCAAGAAAGCUCGUGUCUUCAUUUAUCUUAACUAAAUAAUACCCCGCACAUUGUUGUGGAAUUGUGGAGGUGCGUAUCUAUAGAUUUUUAGAUAAAAAGAUAUAAAUAUUGAAACAUACAAUAACAAAGGAAACCAUUUGCUAGGUUCCUCGUGGGUUGCCGUAGGUGCAUAAUGAUUCACAUGCAUAAGGCAUCUCGAAUACAAAGAAAUGAACCAAAUAUCCAAGUUAAAAAGUGGUUCAAAUACAUGUAAAAUGUGGCUCAUUGUUUCUAUUUGUCAUGAUCCUUUGCACUCUCUAUGAAAAACCAUCCUACCAACGUGAAAGUUUCAUGUUGUCUUGCCUACAAUAGAACAAAAAGUUCAGUUAGGAACUUGAGAUCAAUACCACUAACAACCACAACUAACUUGGAACUGCUUUAACAAAAAAAAAUAUAAGUUUUCAACUAUACAAAAAAUGUGGAAUCUACUUUACAAGAACAAUCGUAUAAUAAUAUAUGGAAGUAUUAUAGAAUACUAAAUGAUACAAUAUUCAUUUUUGCUUCGGUAAACCCCCCUCCUCCAAAACGUAUAUCCACCUCAUAUUGUAUAUUUUUGUACACUACAGGCCGCCAUACAUACACACACCUUGUAUUGCAUACAUACGGCGGUUGUAGUACACAGUAUAAGAUGGGUAUACGUUGCCCUUCUACGUUUUGUGUGUGUGUAUGGGUGGGGGGGGGGSGCUACCGAAGCACACCUCUACAAUAUUUUCACAAGAAAACUUGUUUAAGCAUGCUUAAACUAUGAUGCUGGACAUAUUGUAAAGCUUCGUGUAGCCGUACAAUUGCACCAUAUAAUAAAAAAGAGCAUGAUCACUUUAUACAUAUUACCCAUGUAGUUAAAAAUGACAAAAACAUAAAGAAACUAACCAAUAACCAAUAACCAUGUAGUAAUAAAGCUAGCAGCGUGCGAAAAAAAAAACCGUUGCUAAUGCUCGACCCAGACAGUCGUGCUAGGAACUAAAUAAUUUAGAAAAAUGAAUGGAGGUCAUGUUGUGCGCCCCGCUUGGUUCUUCCCGGGUGUUGGGUUUAGUCCCACAUCGAUUGUGGGAGGAGACAUAACACGACUUAUAAGGGUGAGGGUGUCUCCUCCUAACAGGCUAGUCUUUUGGGGGGAGAGGGCCCGAGGCCUAUCAUAAGUCGGUGCUGCUCUCCGGUUGGGCCUGUUGACGUAUGUGGGUCAAAAACGCUGUGUUAGCGGACCCGAGAUUGCGUAACACCGGGGAUACUAGCUUCGGGCUCCUUGGACUUCUCAUUCCUCUUUUUAAUUUAUUUCUAGUUGUUAUGACAAAUAUAAAAGUUGACGGUAGACUUUAAUUAACUUAAAAUGCAAAUAAUAUGCAGCGCUAGAUAGUGCAUCAAGCCAACAAAUCAGAAAUCCAAAAGGCUUGCAUAUAUAUUUUUCAAACUGUUGAUUAACUCAGCAAUUCCUUUUUUUCUUAAUUAAUCGAUAAGGCAAAUCUUUUGCCUCCGUUUCGGGAAAAAAAUCCCCAAAUCCUGAAACUGCGGUCUGUGUGUGGACUGUAGACUAGAGGACAUAAAUUCGAUCAACAAAGCAUAGAUAUAUUUACAAUCUCUGUUUGAUUUUUCUGCUCGAUGAUUGUUGGUACUGUUGACAUUUCAAAUUUUGAAAACCGUGUCCCCCAAAAAGAUGAGAGUAAUUGUAAACAAGAAUAAUGCUGGCAACCAUGCCAGUGUGAAAACGUACACCAUGUACUCCUUAGUUCAAAUGCUUCUAAUUACCCACGAAAUAUUUGGAAGUGUUGGUCCUCAAUUGACCACAUCAAGGACCAGCUUGCGGGACUUGUAGACCGACCACUUCAUACGCCGGUAAUAUGCGGCUUGCAGAAGCGCGAGCGAGAGUAGGAAGAUCCAUUUGACUCCCAUCUAUGACACAAUCACAAGGUGGAGUAAGCAAUUAAGGAGUAGAUAAUUAUGCUGCCAUUCAAAAGAAAAAAUGGGUAGAGUAUAGCAAGAGGGCUACCAGCUUUCUCUCUUCCAUCUCAGGCUCAGCCGCCCAUGACAAGAAUGAGACAACAUCUUUACCCAUCUGGGAUUUUAGAUAGAAGAAACAACCCAACCCUUAGUUUAGUACUGAAUUCGUGGCGUAAAUAAUGUGAUGCUUACAAUAGAAAAACAAGAGUUACCUGAGCUUCCGUUGCAGGAGUACCGUCUUCAUACUCGACAGCUCCAUCACUAAGCAUCUUGGGCAUGGCUAUGGCGCCACCGGGAAAGUAGGGAUUGUAAUGCAAGCCUUCACGAAUCUAGAAUUUAAAUCAAAAGCAGUAGGUUAAAGCGAACGAAUGUGCUGGGGAGUAAGAAUGUUAUCAGACUAUAGCCAAACCAAGCUACCAACCUUACCAGACAAUUUCAAGCAAGAGAGAAGUCCAAGGAAUUUUCAUUACAAUGUUCCUUUUAUCUGGCUGAUCAACAUGCAACUAUAACCAAUAUGACUCUAGCAGCACCAACAAAAAAAGACACAAAAUGUAUUGUAAUAAUACGUUAUAGAGCAGCGCCUGCAAAAAAACAUCUGAAUGCUAAACUAUACUCCCUCCGUUCCUAAAUAUAAUUCUUUUUAGAGAUUUCGCUAGAAGACUACAUACAAAGCAAAAUGAAUGAAUGUAGACUCUAAAAUAUGUCUAUAUACAUCCGUAUGUAGUCCCCAAGUGAAACCUUUAAAAGGAUUAUAUUUAGGAACGGAGGGAGUAGUUCUUAAACCUUGUAUGUGUCGCCGGUAAAGAUAUUAGGUAAUGCGCACAGGUGUAGAUAGAAAAAUGAACCAUUAGAAGCAAGCACAAGUGCCAGUCAAGAACAAGUGCAUGACUAUGUGAGCCAAUGCGAUCGAGUUAUAAAAUAGUAUGAAAACCAUGUAACACAAACAAGAUUGCUACGGCUCCUUAUGCACUUCAAAAGUAUAUAUAGGGAGAUAUCACAUUGAGAACUAAAAGAAGCCAUCAGCACCAAAUGUAACACAAAGUCUGUACAGGGAGAGAGAGAGGGUUACCGAGACGCCAGCAGGUGGAUCACGGUAGCCAGUAAGAAGAGAAAAAACGUAGUUCUGGCCAUUGUGCCUGGCCUGCAAACAUGUAUUAGCAAAGGGUCAGAUACAAUUUUGAGGCCAGAUGUUGGAUGGAUGCAACCAGAAUCCAUUAGUCGGCCACCUUUGUGAUCAAGCUGAGGUCUGGGGGGUAUGCCCCACCAUUUGAAAAUCGAGCUGCUUGCUCAUUCGCAUACGGUUGCGGGAGACGGUCGCUCAGCUUACCCGGGCGCGUGAACAUUUCUCCUUCAUCGUUAGGCCCAUCAACCACCUCAAUCUCAGCAGCCAUUGCCUUUGUUUCCUCCUCUGUGUAGGCAACACCGACCAGGUCUCGGUACGAGAUCAGGGACAUCGAGUGACAGCGACAGGAGGCACACACUUGCUGGUAAACUUGGUGUCCGCGCCUUAUUCUGCUCGUAUGUUUUCAAGAAAAUUAAAUACGUUUAGAAGAGAUAUCAUCAAUUUCAAGAGAAUGUUUUUACACAUAGCAUAACUGUAUAGUAAUAUAGUAUUCCCCUAUUGCUGAAUUUGGACUGCUUAACAGAGUCAAGUCGUCAACAGAAGUUGUUUGACAAGAGAAUAUGAUUUUACUUACGAUGCGUGAUCAUAAGAACUAAGAAUGCCUUCAUGUGGCCAGGGAUAGCUCGGAGAUUCUAGCCCAUGCUCUGCUUCAUCCGCUGACGCUAUCGUACCAAAGCUUAAAAGGCCAGAAGCACCAACUAGCCAAUGCUUUCAGUCCAGUGAAGCCAGAGGUUCCUUCUGGACGAUUUAUCCGGAAUGAAGAAAGAAGAGAUGAACCCUGCAAGAACAAGUGUAAGAAAAUUCACUUCAUUUGUAAAAUUUAACCCUCCUAGUUCAAUUGCAGAUCUAUAAUAACUCCAUAAAAGCAAAAACAAAUUCCUAGUGCAGCCGUAUAACUACUAUUCUAUACAAGCAAAAAAAGGUGGGCUCAUGAACUGGUUUGUCGACUAAUCAGUGCAAAUUUACAGAACAGUACUGUAAUAGAGAAACAUGGAACAGCACUGUAAAGUUACAUAACAGUAAUAUUUCCUCCAUCACAAAUUAAGUGACUCAACUUUGUAUUAAGUUUGUACUCCCUCCGUUCCAAAAUAAGUGACUCAAAUUUACACUAACUUUAAUACAAAAUUGAGUCAUUUUUGAGUCACUUAUUUUGGAACGAAAGGAGUACUAAAGUUAGUAUAAAGUUGAGUCACUUAAUUUGGGACGGAGGGAGUAGAAUAAAUCCAACGAAUGCAAAUCUCAUCGAAUAAUUUCUGCAAGACAGCUGCUAUCUCUCUUAGUCUCUUAUAGAGUAAUUGCACGUAGUAUCUGGAAAUUAUGCAUGCUGACGACUGACGGUAAUUCACCUUAGCAGCAUCCAAAUAAACUUCAGACAGGCCAUUGAAAAUAUGAAUUUGGUUCCAUGCAUAUAUAUGUAAUGUUGCAACUAGAACACUUUAGACCAAGUAAUGUGGCUUAAGCUGCCAGAUCUUUUUUUGAUAAUAAAGGAAACAAUCAAAAACGAAGAACAUAAUACGGUAAAAAAAAAUAAAGGAAAUACUUACAGAUGGGUGCUGGUGAAAUGCUUUCUUCAGAAGCUGGCUGAUCCCCCUCCCAGCAGCCAUCUGCCACGUUGUACUCCCUCCUUUCGGAAAUACUUGUCCUAUAAAUGCAUGUAUCUAGACUUAGUUUAGUUAUAGAUGCAUUCAUUUUAUUCAUUUCUAGGACAAGUAUUUCCGGACGGAGGGAGUAUCACAUAUCCAAAACAGGUUGAUUAACAGAUUUUUUGAGAGCUAAAGUACGUCAACUCCCUGAAUUCGAAUUGAUGGAUAAUGGUUUACAGUUCACCUUUACCUGAGCAGCUUUAAGGGAACCGAUAGCCUGAAACAAUGGGAAAUGUGCAAAGCGAUGAGGCGAUUCGGCAACGAACUCAAAAUUUGUUACAGCGAAAGCGCCGCCGUUCAGAGAGGGCUGGAGCUAUCCAGAGUUCCAGACACACAAAACAGAAGCAUAAACUACUCCUCUCUAGCUUAAUGCAUAUAAUCCUUCCCGCCAAAAAAAGAAAAAAGAGAACUGAAUGCAUAUAAUCCUCAAGAGCCGAGAGUUGAGAGUUGAGAGUUGAGACCAACCAAAAGAGGAAGAGUGACUGCAACCGUGAUCUAUUCAAUAGGUGUACAACGAUACAUAUACAGCUCAUGACUAACUAACUCGCUACAUGCAAGGAGUGGAUGAGUACCAAGGCGUGAGACUAGCUCCUAUGGUUACAACGGCUUACACAUGUAUACAGGCAGCAUAUUACAACUCAACACCCCCCGCAGUCCGAACGUCACUAGGUAAGACGUUCAGACUGGCUCUAAAAUCACAGAAGAUAGUCGAAGGCAGCCCCUUGGUGAAGAUAUCUGCAAACUGCGAAGUGGUCGGAACGUGAAGCACUGUGGCCUGACCAAGGGCAACACGAUCGCGAACAAAAUGAAGAUCAAUCUCAAUGUGCUUCGUCCGUUGAUGCUGCACUGGGUUGGAGGAGAGAUACACUGCACUAACAUUGUCACAAUAGACGACUGUGGCGCGAGUGGGAGGUCGUCGGAGCUCGGUGAGGAGUUGUCGCAACCAGCAGGACUUAGCAACACAGUUGGCCACGGCACGGUACUCGGCUUCGGCGCUGGGACGCGAGACUGUGUGCUGUCGUUUGGAGGACCAGGAGAUUAGGUUGGAGCCCAAGAAGACACAAAAGCCAUACGUGGACUUGCGAGUGUCCGGACACCCGGCCCAGUCAGCAUCACUGUAGGAGUUGAGAUCAUGCGGCGACGAGCGGAAGAGCUGGAGGCCGUAGUGGGUAGUGCCACGGAGGUACCGCAAGACGCGCCUGAUCAGCUGAUAGUGGGUGUCGAGAGGAGCAUGCAUGAACAAGCAAAUCUGCUGGACCGCAUAGGUGAGAUCCGGCCGAGUGAGUGUGAGGUACUGAAGGGCUCCGGCGAGGUUGCGAUAUUUGGAGGGGUCCGAAUAAGGUUUGCCACCGGUGGAGGAGAGUUUGGAGCUAGUGUCAAUGGGUGUCGAGAUGGGAUGGCAGUUAAGCAUGUUGGCACGAUCCAGAAUCUCAAGCGCAUAUUGUUCCUGAGAUAAGAAAAGGCCAGCGGUGUUGCGGUGCACAUUGAUGCCAAGAAAGUGAUGGAUAUCGCCAAGAUCACUCAUGGAAAACUCGCGAGUGAGGUCCGCGACCAGGGACGUCAGGAGGGACGUGGUGCUCGCGGUCAAGAUGAUGUCGUCGACAUAUAAGAGUAAAUAUGGCAUGGCCGAUCCCCUGUGAAGGAUGAAGAGGGAGGUAUCACACUUGGAGGUAUCACACUUGGAGGAUGCAUCAAAGCGGACACCAUUGUUUUGUUGGUGUUCUUUUUAUCUUCGGCGAUCGUGUAAAAUGUAUUCUCAUUUAUCUCGUGCCCUUUGAAAAUCGAUAUAGUCGAAAAUGGUCACUUGGCCAGCAAGUACAGGUCAUCUCCAACUUCAGGGUCAUGCAUGAGACGUGUUUGCAACCAACCGCCGAAUGACGACAUGUGUGUACGUUUGAUCCAGGGAUCAGACUGCUCCGGGUUCUUGGAGCGUACAAUAUCCAAAUGUUCCUCGAUAUACGGAGCCAACAGGUGGACGUGAAUGACUCUUGACUUAGAGUAAGUUUUAUCAUUCUUAUAGAGCAGGCAACACAUGGACAACACAUAAAAUCACCCCGCUGGUUUGCCUCAGCCGUACGCAGAAAACUCUACAAGCCAUUAAUGAACUCGGGAGAGCGUCGGUCAUCGUACAUCCAUUGUCGGUUCAUCUUCGUUACACAAGACCGAAAAUACCAAAUUAAUACAAGUUCACACAUAAGGUUCGUACACACUUAUUCUCAUAAAACAACAUAGAAGAGUUUCUAGCUAAAGCAUUUAAAUGCAACAACAAAUGCGACCAAGAUCGCAACUAAGGUAAUAAUUGAUGCGGCAGCAUAGUUAUACCAAGCCUCUUUAUUAAGAGCAUAUUUUCUAAUCCUUCUAAUUUUCAAGCGCAUUGCAUCCAUCUUGAUCUUGUGAUCAUCGACGACAUCGGCAACGUACAACUCCAAUAUCAUCUUUUUUUCUUCAACUCUUUUCAAUUUUUCUUUCAAAUCCUCGUUUUCUUUGUCAACUAAAUUUAACCUCUCGACAAUAGGGUUCGUUGAAAUUUUUGGUUCAACUACCUCCUAGAUAAAAAUAUCUAUGUCAACUUCAUGGACAUAAUUGUCAUAAACACGAAAUGCAACAAAUAGUUAAAAAAGAGAAUAUACCACAUCUGAAUCGUAAGCCGGGCAAGGGCCGACGGGCACCGAUAUCGAAACCAUGGCACUAUGUAUAACAAACAAUCAUACAAGUAAGAAAAUUAUACAAGUAACUAUUUAUGUCAUACAAAUAAGAUCUUUUUUGUAAAAAGGAUAAGAACAAGGGGCUCACCAAGGUGGUGCAGACAGCGACGAAACGGUGCGGGCGAUUGACGGUGCUUAGGCCGGGAAUGACACUAAGUAAACCACACCUACACAUAUGCAAACUAGCAAGUUAAUUUUAGCUCAAAUUGCAUAUAAAUCAAAUAAACUCCCACAUAAUUACUCCCAAACUAAAAUCCACAAAUCACUAUACUUAUAGAGCAUUGCAUGAGCCGAUCUAGCAAUGAGAGAUGAAAGGACAAAGUUACUAACCUUUGUGAACACUUGGAGAGAUGGGGUGCCUCAAACCUUGACAAAUCUUGACAAACAAUGAAGGUUGAGCUCGAGCCAAGGGGAAGAACAAAGAGGGGAAUGGAGAAAACAGAGCAAUGUGCUCGGGAUGGACGAAGGAGUUUAUAUAGGAAAAUCUUUAGUCCCGGUUUGUACCACAAACCGGGGCUAAAGGUCUACCUAUAGUCCCGAUUUCUGAUACAAACCGGGACKWAAAGGGGCUAGUGGGGCCCCAGCCUGACACCAGACUGUCACCAACUCAUUAGUCCCGAUUUGUAUCACAAACCGAGACUAUAGGUCCAAAUUGAACAGGGACUAAUGGUGCCCGUGCCCCCACGACCGCUCCUAGCCGCUGGAACCGGGACUAAUGACCAUUAGUCCCGGUUUAAAACCAAACCGGGACUAAAGGGUCAAACGUAAGACCUAUUUUCUACUAGUGAUGCACGCACAACAAAAGCCACCAAAUGAGAGUGGUCCCUCGCACGCAUGUGGUCCACCUGUCAUGGACCUCGAGGCAUGCCGCCCAGAUGCGCACAGUGCGGGAAAAUUGGACACCAUCGUGAAAUGGAUGGCGCGGGGGUCACUCUCGCCCACAAAGGCUCCUAGGAAGUGGGUACUCCAACAUCCUCUAUAGGAGUAAUGGAUCACUUCCUUGCAGUCUUUUCCUUCUCUUUCCUCUUCUUACUCCUCUCACCUCAAUCUUUGGGUAGAUUUGCCAUUGUUGGAGACUUCAUUGUGAAGUGAAGGAGACCCAUUGUCCAUAUUAGGUGUCCAUCCAAACAUUGAUGUGUUGUAUUAUCGCUUUGACACUAAUAUUGACUUCCUGACUCGUUGUCACUUCCAUGGUCCCCUACUGACCAAGCUCCUCCCCCAUCCCAUCCCCACACAUCUUAUUAUGGGUGAAGCUGGGGUUAUUGUUUCUCCAAAAACUCGAUAGUAUUCAUUCUCUACUAAAUUAAGAAAAGUGAGAUUUUCUCUGUCCCACCCUUUUGUUAUGUCUAAAUUUCACAUGCUUCACAUCCGUACGCUUUUCACACUCAUAUUGGCAAUCACUAUAAGACUACAUUUUUCAUUUACAAAAGACAAAAACAUAUUUUAUUUUAUAGCAAGGAACACACACACACACACACACACACACACACACAAACACACACACACACACAUACACACACCUUCCCACUUCUCGUAAGCGGUGGGUAGGGAAAACUCUUCCCCUCCGGGCUUCGUCGAUGAACCUAUGGACUCAUCACUCCGGCGGCAAAUGGUAGGGAGGGGAAUCCCGGUGCCUUGACUCCAACUAGUAGCUUGGGUUAGGGCUUUUAGUCCUCACAAGGGCGACACUUCUUCUAAUUGGUCUCCGAGCUUUGGUCCACCUCAAGUUAAUAUGUGUGGAUGGCGUUGACAGAGCUCUGCCAUAGAUUCCCAUUGUCUCCUUGUGUUGUGAGGUUACGGUCACAAUGUGUGUGUGCGCACUAUGGUAAGAUAUGGUGUUGUGCGCUUUAGAGCAAUUCAAUGGUUCGACAUCGACGACUACUACUCUAGGUCAUUGUCUCUUAGGGGCAUGUCCACCAAGGCAAUUUGACUCUCAUCGACAAGGUUAGGCCAAAUCCGGUAGGGGAGUGACAACAUCGACACAUUGACAACUCGUUCUAGCAGUGGUAGUGGUUGUUAGGUGAUCUAGAGACCUUGAUGUAAUUUCUGGGAUACUUGUACUCUCACGAGACAACUAGAGAAAAGCAGUGGCAGGGAGGGGAAUCUUGGUGCCUCGACUCUAGCUAGUAGAAUUUUUAGGGUUUUAGCCAUCGGAGGGGUGAGGCUCGGACAAAUUGUGGUGCUUCUUCUUUGAGUAAAUAUUUCGUGCUUUGAUCCUCCUCAAGUUCUCUUAUCAGGGAAAAGUAGACAAAGCUUCGAUGUAGAUUUUAGCCAACUCUUCACGCAACGAGGUUAGAGUUCCUUACUGCACGCUUGUGAUGAUGAGCUUUAUUUUCACGUUCUUUAAAUCGAUUCAACGAUUCAAUAACGACGACUAUGGCUCCGAGACAUUGGUUCCUAGGGACACGAGCACGAAGGUUUCUCGACUAUCAUCUAUACGAGCCGACUCCAGUAUGGGAGCGAUGGGUAACGGUUCAUUCUGGAGUCAUUGGCCAAUUUGGUGGUCGAGGGACCUCGAUAUAAAUUUUAUUAUGUUUGGAUUGCUUUUUUUUCUACUUCAGGUGAACUUAUAUAAUAGAUAUUUCCGAACCUGCCUGCCUCCGGGGAGAUGGGCUGGGUCAUACACGGUACCUACCCCGAGGAAGGAGGCUUGAGGCGCGUUAAAUACAAUUAUUUUAUCAACAUGGGGUGGAGAAGGCAUUGCAAUUUCUUGCAUUUUUGAGAAAAUAAAUACUUUGUAUUUUAGCUGAAUUUUUGUGAUAGGUCUGGGUAAAUUUCGUUAGAAAACUUUUUUUUAGAACAAACACUUUAUUCAUACUCAAUCAUGUAGCGGGUGUGUGCAUUUGUCUCGCCACUGGUGAGACAGAAGCACGUCUCGCUUGAGGCGAUUACUAUCAAUGGGCCGACCCAAGUGUCUUCUGCAGGUUAGUUCGUUCUUCUUCUCUGUUUUUUUUCUGUUCUCUUCAUAUUUGUUUUUUUUUUCUAAAUACAUAUAUCAAAACUUAGUUUUGCAUACAAAAUUUUAAAACAGUGAAUUUUAAAAAUGUUCAUGCAGUGUGCAAAACUUGUAAGUUUAAUUGAGAAAAGUUGUUGAUAACAUAAAACAAAUGCUUGGGACAUUUUAUAAAUAUUUAAUAAUUUUAAAAUAUGUAUGUGAUUUAUUUAAAAUGUUUCUAUGAUGAAAAAUUGUUCAUGUAAUUUAAAUAAAAUGUUCACAAAUUUCUUAUUUAAAAUGUUCACACAUAUACUUCCUCCGACAAAAAUUAAUUGUCGGAGCUCUAGUACAACUUUAUUACAUUUUUAAAACUGUUCAUACAUUUCGUAAAUAUGUUCAUGACAUUUAAAAUAAAUUAUACAAUCCACAAAAAUGUUUGCGUGGUUUUUUAAAAACACUUAUCAAUCCAUAAAUUUUUCAACCUCUAUUUGAUUUUGUCAACACAUAUUAAUUAUUUUAAAUUUAUUUUCAUAAAUAAAUCAUUUAUUUAAAAAUAUAUUAAAUGGCCAUGUAUUUAGAAAAUACUUCAUCCAUCUCAAAAUAAGUGACUAAAAAUGAUUCAAUUUUGCACUAACUUUAACACAAAGUUGAGUUAUUUUUGAGUCACUUAUUUUGAAACGAUGGGAGUAUUAAUCAUGUAUUUAAGAAAAUGUUAAACAUUUAUAGAAAUGUUCGCGGUUUACAUGGAAAAUGUGCAAUAUAUACGAAAAGAACAGACAUGUGUUGAAAAACGGAAAUUUUUAUUAAAGAGAAAGAACCGAAAAAAUGGUAAAGAAGCAAAAUAAACCGAGGAAAAAGAAAAGGAAAACGGAGGAAAAAACCGUGCAAAACAGUAGUAAAACAGUGCACACCACCUCCAUCGUUUGGCGAGCGGUGGCGGUGGGCCCAGAGCGCAGUGACACCGUGGCUUGGCGGGCCGACGGACCUGCCUCUGCCUCUGCCGCUGUGGGUGUGGGGCUCUCGUGGACGUGUCGCCGCUAAGCAGCGGACGCAUGGCGCCGCCCGCCGCUCUCGCCCGGGUCAUAUCCUGCUGCCGCCUCCUCCCCCGCCCCCCCUCCGCCCCCCUCCCAUGCUCUCCACGCGUCUCCUCCGCCACCGCCUCGCCGCCGCCGCCGCCAGCUCCUCCCGCCCGCCCCUCCGCUUCGCCACCGCCGCCGCCAUGUCCUCCUCCUCCUCCUCCGCGCCGAAGCCGAACCGCCUCGCCGCCGAGCACAGCCCCUACCUGCUGCAGCACGCGCACAACCCGGUGAGCGAUCCCUCCGCUCCACCUACGCUCUGCUCGUGCCAUGGGUUCCCCUCCCCCGGCGGGGGGAUUUCGCCGAGCACCUUGCGGUCGCGCGCGUGCUCCUUGGCCUUCGCCUGGUUCGGGGAGCACCUACUUUAAUUUUUGGGUGCGUGUGGCCGAGGAGCGCAUAGCUGAAGAAUUGGUCGAGCUAUGUUUACGACUUCACAUCCCGAAAAUCCAGAUCCUUCUGCAACAGCCAGGCGAGGCAAAUGUUUGCAGCUUGCUUGCCUUUCGCUCUCCGGUGGCUUUCGGGUUGUAUGUGGAUUAUAGGCACCGUUGUUGAACUUGCGUACUUACGGAUUCCAUAUGCAGGUUGACUGGUAUCCUUGGGGAGACGAGGCUUUCGAGAAGGCUCGCAAAUUGGACAUCCCCAUCUUCCUGUCAAGUAAUGCACUGUCCACAGUAUAGUGUAGUUCUCCAUUUAGUAUCUGAAUCAUGGGAAAAUUAUAAUUCUGGUGCUUAGUGGACUGAUUAGUUGACGUGGUAUCUUUGUGAACAAUUGUGUUAGAGCAAUUACCAACUGGUGGUGCUAUAGUUUGGAGCAGAGUAAUGACUGCCAGUCCGGCUCUGUAAAAUUUCUAAUGAAUAGUUUAUGUAAUGGAUGGGUGUUGCCGAGUUCAAACUAAAGCUAGAUUCUGUCAAAUUCGUCUAUUUCAGUUUAGUGAAACCCCAACUUUUGACUUGUGUAAUCCAGAAUUAGUUAGUCCUCUGUUCUAUCUUAACAUCCUUCUUUUGCUGCAUGGGCAAUGUGGAUGUGUCCGUGAAGUUGGCUAUAGUACAUGCCAUUGGUGAGUCGUCUUGAGCAUCUCUCGUUCUUCAUCUUAUCAAGACUUAUUUGCACAGUACAAAGAUGUUAACCACAAUUUUUAUUAUUGGCUGAAUGUUGAAGGUGUCAUGUAAUGGAGGUGGAGUCUUUUGAGAAUGAAGAAGUCGCUAAGAUUCUAAAUGAUUGGUUUGUUAGCAUCAAGGUAGUGUCAUGUUCAUAAGCACUAAUUGCUAGUUGUUUUACUUCUCACUCAUUACAUGUCUUCCGGUGUGUGGAAGUUAUGCAAAUGCAAUGUAACUGCAAUUCUUCUUUCUGAUUAUUAGUUUUGACAGGUGGACCGUGAAGAGCGGCCAGAUGUUGACAAGGUAUUCUGUUUUCUAGCGAUCAAAUGUAAAAAACAUGCUGUUUCUUGUGGAUCGCAGGCUUUAUUUUCCUGUUUUUCUAUUGUCAAACUUUUGAGAGGUUUUGACUUACACCAGUUCUUGAUUGACGUCCUGACGACAGUGUCACAUUCUUUAGGUUUAUAUGACGUAUGUGUCAGCACUGUACGGUGGUGGUGGUUGGCCUUUGACCGUCUUUUUAUCACCUAACUUAAAACCUUUGAUGGGCGGUACAUACUUUCCACCAGAUGAUAAGUAUGGAAGACCUGGGUUCAAGUCCAUUUUAAGGUAUCAGCUGAAAUACCUCAUUUCUGAAAUUGAUCGCUUAUACAUGAUCUGGCGGUUUUGCUCAUAACUUCUCUUCAGGAAGGUCAAGGAAGCCUGGGAUACUAAACGUGAUGCGCUUGAGAAGUCAGGAAAUGUGGUCAUCGAGCAACUUAGAGAUGCAUUAUCUGCCAAGGCUAGCUCUCAAGAUGUGCCAAAUGAUGUGGCUGUUCUUUAUGUAGAUGAAUGUGUUGAAAAGGUUUGAGAAGUACUCCAACUUUAUUUUUCUGUAUGCUACUACUUGAACUUCUGCGCAAACAACUGGCGAGACUGACUGAGCGAACUGAUUGCUCGAUUGAGUUAACAACAGUGCAGUAGCUAAAUUGCAUUUUUCCUGGAUGGCGUAUCCUGGUUCCUGAUUUAUUUCAUGUCUUAUUAGGGCACUAAAGUUCCUCAACUCAGCACCACUAGCUUAGUCAUAGCCUAUCAGGAUCUCACUUACCUUUUUCAGCUCUUAACUUUUUUUUAACUAGCUAGCUUAUUUUCCUUAUAGCCCUGCACCUUAUAUCCAUGCAGUUAGCAAGCAGUUACGACCCAAAGUUUGGUGGAUUUGGCUCUGCUCCCAAGUUUCCAAGACCCGUUGAAGAUUGCAUAAUGCUCUAUAAAUUCCGGAAACACAUGGAAGCUGGGCAGAAGAGUGAAGCCGAAAACAUAAUGAAGAUGGUAACUCAUACACUGCAAUGUAUGGCUAGAGGUGGAGUUCAUGACCAUGUUGGAGGUGGCUUUCAUAGAUAUAGUGUGGACGAGUGCUGGCAUGGUAAGUUCAUUUUAAGUUUAAGGAGACAUUUUCUUUUCACGUUUGCAGAAUUCAUGCCUCAUAUCUUCUCUGUGUGUGCAGUUCCACAUUUUGAGAAGAUGCUGUACGACCAGGGACAAAUAGCCAAUGCAUACUUGGAUACAUAUGUUAUCACAGGAGACGAGUAUUAUUCUUCAGUUGCACGUGAUAUACUUGAUUACUUGAGGAGAGACAUGAUUGGAGAAGAUGGUGAAAUUUUCUCAGCAGAAGAUGCUGACAGUGCAGAAUAUGAAGGUGAUGCAAGAAAAAAAGAGGGUUCUUUCUAUGUGUGGACAAGUCAAGAGGUACAUACUUAGUAGUGCAUAUGUAAGCCCUUUCUAUUUAUUCGCCGAUAUAAUGCAUACCCCUGCCCGCUCCUUAUAAAAUGGCCUUUAAGUUCGAACUGUCGUAUACCAUCAUGUAAGUCUGCCUGCGGUUGACUUUGAGUUUGCAUCGUAGCCACUUUAUACACUCUUGCUGCUUUCUCGAAAAUACUUUAUACAUAUUGGAGCUCUUUACACAGGCUUGCAUUUCAGCUAGAUGACAAUCCAAGUUGAAAUGACAAUUAUGUUCUCCUCUGCUCUUGUUCCACAAUAAAUGUACUUACAAAUAGAACUGAAGUCGUACCAUUAGCGAUUGGAGUCUGUAGCCAUUGCCUAGUCUUAUACAUACCAUCUCUGAAGAAUGGCUAGUCUGAUGCCUACCUCCUAAUAAUCAAUAAUUUUAUUUAAGCUGUUCUCAUGUAGUUGGUACCUACCUGGUGCUAUGCAGAACUUUUUUGAAUAGUUCUACUAUAUUUUAUUCAAAAUAGAAGAAUAACUCGCACAGACUCUGCAGCUGAAGAUGCACACAAAUCAUAUUAUUAGAAGGUCACAAAAGUUUGAAUAAACUAAAAUCAACAGGCUAUCAAGUCACUAAAACUUAGUCAGUACAAAGCCUAUCGAUAAACUGUCAACCAUGUUUGGUGAUAGAUCCCCUAUAAGGCUGUAACGUGCCCAACUUGUUGCUACCAGCCACCAUAUGCUCCUGCCACUGAAGCAAAGACCAGGAUCCCAGGCAGCUAUAUAUUUUAUAUUUGUUGAUUUAUUCAUUGGCCUCAACUUCUGGUAUAUUGUAUGCUCAAACUGUCAAAUAUUUGUCACGUAGAUCGAAGACACACUUGGGGAGAACGCGGAGCUGUUCAAGAACCACUACUAUGUUAAAUCGUCUGGCAACUGUGACCUAUCGGGGAUGAGUGAUCCUCACAACGAGUUCAGUGGUAAAAAUGUAUUAAUAGAAAGAAAACCGGGUUCAUUGAUGGCAUCGAAGUAUGGCAAGUCUGUUGAUGAAUAUUAUGGAAUCCUGGGGGAAUGCAGACAGAAGUUGUUUGAUGUCCGAUCAAAAAGGCCAAGACCACAUUUGGACGACAAGGUUCUUGUCUACAUGUUGACAGCAGCAUGUUUUUAAUAUAGUUACAUGAUGAUCUACUAAAUAUGGUUUGUUUUAGGUUAUUGUUUCAUGGAAUGGAUUAGCAAUAUCUGCCUUUGCAAGAGCUUCACAAAUUUUGAAGUCAGGACCACCUGGAACCAAAUUUUAUUUCCCGGUCACAGGAUGCGAUGUAAGCUUUGUGCCCCAUCCUCUGAAUAUUGCAUUUCAUUUUCUGUCAUUGACAUGAACUCGUCUUAUUAUAUAGUCGUGUCACUAUGUACAUGAUCAGCCAAUAAAUAUGGCAGGAGCUUUUAUCCAUCGCUGCUUUUUUCAAGUCUGUCAUAUGUUUCUACUCCAGACUUCAUUGUUUAAACCUAUGUCUGGGAGUACAGGCCCAUACAUCUACUGUUAAAAUUUAACUGUCUAUUAUGUUACGCCGUGCAUGACAAAGGGAACACCAUGAUGCUGUAUUUGGACCUCUUCUACAGCAGCAGCCAUAUGCUGCUUUGUAUCAGGUCUAAAUAGCUAUUUCCCCUUUGUGUGGAGUGGAGGAAGCCAUGUGCUAGCUUUUGCCUUCACCUGCUACAUCACCAAGUUUAUUUACUGUCCAACUAUAGCUACAGUCAUAAAUUUGUUUAUUGACCACCCAUAUUUCUGGAUAUUUUUGCAGCCAGUAGAAUAUCUUCAAGUCGCAGAAAAGGCAGCAAACUUUAUAAAGGAAAAACUCUAUGAUGCAGGCUCAAAAAGGUUGCAUCAUAGUUAUCGAAAUGGCCCAGCAAAAGCACCAGGAUUUUUAGAUGAUUAUGCCUUUUUGAUCAAUGGCUUGCUGGAUCUCUUUGAAUAUGGUGGUAAGAUGGAGUGGCUUCUGUGGGCUAUCGAGCUGCAAGUCAUUCAGGCAAGUGAAACACAAUUGUUAAAUGCCUCGAUGUUAUAUUUCACGCCCCUUGCAUAAUACUUUGCCAUGACUACAAACAUUACAGGAUGAAUUGUUCUUGGACAAACAAGGGGGUGGCUAUUUUAAUACCCCUGGAGAAGACCCUUCUGUCCUUCUCCGUGUUAAAGAAGACUACGAUGGUGCAGAGCCCUCUGGAAACUCAAUGGCGGCGAUCAACAUGGUCAGGUUGUCCAGUAUUUUGGAUGCUGCAAAAUCUGAAGGCUACAAACGUAAUGUUGAACAUCUCCUGGUAUGUACCUAUCUAUUUUAUGUUUCUAUGCACUACAUUGCAGCAGUAGUUUGGUUUCCAAGUCAUUUAUAUCAGAAAUGAUGAGUAACAUCGACAUGCUUGCUUAUGGAUUUGCUGCUUCGCAGGCGGUCUUUGAGACUAGACUGAAAGAACUUGGCAUAGCGUUGCCACUGAUGUGCUGCGCAGCAGACAUGCUCACUGUCCCGUCGAGGAAGCAGGUAGUGCUGGUGGGGGAUAAAGCAUCUCCGGAAUUUCAAGACAUGGUCGUUGCUGCAUUCUCGUCAUAUGACCCAAACAGAACCGUGAGUGAUGAACUGAGUGGUUGUGUCAUAUGUUCGAUAUAGCACCCCUGUUAUAAAUUUACCGACCAGGAUACAUCUUUGAUUGCUCCAGGUGAUCCAGAUAGAUGCUAGCAAAAUGGAAGAGAUGGCAUUCUGGGAGAGCAACAACGCGAACAUCGCACAGAUGGCACGGAGCAGCCCAUCAGGGAAGCCAGCGGUGGCACAUGUGUGCCAAGAGUUCAAGUGCAGUCCUCCGGUGACCUCUCCAGGCGCGCUCCGUGAGCUGCUCAACAAGGCGGUGGCUGCUGCGGGUUCAGCUGUUUGAUGCUCCGCCUCUGUCUUGUUCAUGUGUGCGUCAUAUCGACAAAGCUCUUGAGACCUUUCAGUUGGCAGUUGUAUAUAGACGUUCCCAGUAAAAUACAAGGCUAGAUCUGUACUUCACACACUUGUUGUGUGCAUGCAUUUCAUAUGUUUGCAGGAAGGCUUGUUUUGUAUACAUGACACUAUAAAAAUAAAAGGGUGAAAUAAAAGACAGUGCAGUGAAUGAUUCCACAUGAAUUUGGAUGGCACCAUUCUAGGAUUCUCAUCGCGGGCAAAAUUUAUACAGGUUACAAGGAAAGCGGCAGAAUUUAUGCGACAAAAUUGAUUUACUUCACGUCAUUCCGGAAAUAAGUACAACCAUGUAAAACAGAAAUAAGUACAACCAUGUAAAACACAGUAAAUAUAACCGAAAAGAAGAAGCUACGAUCACUGAUAGAGCAUGGCGUUUUAUUAGGGCUGAGAAGUGAUAUUAACAUGCACAGCGCCUUCAUCUCCACCAGACUAAAACUGAGAUCAUUUGGACAGCUAGAUGCAGUGCAACAUUCCAUCCUAGAGAUUGCAGCUUGAACUCCAGACAUAAAGCAAUAGGGCUUCACAGGUAGCACUGGAAAGAGGAAAAUAUUACUGAUCAGAGACCUUCGAUUCAGUUCAAGAAAGAAGAAACAUUGCAAGAAUGACAAUACUUUCAAAGUAACAGCGAUAUCUGAAAUGGCAAUCAUCUGACUAGAAAUAUCAAAAAGGGAUAUCCGAAAUGACAAUCAUCUGCAUUAUGAAAUCAGGAAUCCAAAAAGGGCCACAAGUCAUAAGUCUAAAAUAUUUUAGAAAAAAAACUAGAUAUAUAAUUGUUCGAUCACAUAGUACAGUAUACCUACAGAUUUUCACUAAAAGUACGGUGCAUUUUUAGAACUCAAACUUGUUUUUUUUUACACAAUAGCACAGAAACCAUCCGUUUUUGCCACGAAAAUUUAACACGUGUAUAAAACACUGAACAUGUGCAACUGAGUUUUUUUUAGAAUGUGUUCACAUUAGGAAGCAAUACUUUCAGACUACUUUCAUUCGUUCCAGCAACACAUGCUCCUGGGAGCCAGAAGCUCAUAGUACAAUUUAUUUCCAUAUAACUUGAGAAAACAAGGGGAGUAAUGACAGAUAAGAAUAACAGAGGCCGAUGACAAUGGCAUCAGAGUUGUUUUAUGACCUCAGCAAUGCAAUAUAUAAACAUUGAGAAACUUAGUAAUGACAUAGAUUUUUUACCCAAAAAAGCAAUGGUGGUGCAUAUCCAAAUGGUAUCUGAGUACGAAACUAGUCAGUUUUAACCGGUGACUAGCAAACUCACCAUGCUUUGUUGCCACCAAAUGCCCACAUUGUGAAAAAAAGAGCACCAGGCUACACAUAGUAGAUCAUACCAACUUCUAUCAGACUAAUAUGAGGGAUAUGCAGUGAGACUGAUGGGCCUCUGCAGUUCUUCCGGAGGAAAGAGUAGCCAACAUCGACCGCAAACUUCUUCAGGAAAUUGGAGCUCCUCCUAGCUUUGAUGUAAGAAUGGCCCAUGAUAUACGCAACCCCUGCGUGUUUCGCCUCCACGAGUGCCAAUAACUCAUCUUUCACCUGCUGAUCCAUGGCGUCCUCAUUUGGCAGCUCGAAGCGAACACGACGCCUCCGGUUUGCACUCGGUGAUUCCUGCUCAUAAGAGGACUGCAAGCUUCGAAGGCUCUCGGAUUUGCUACUCCUCGUGGUAGAAAUGGACUCAGCUAGACCACCCAGAUCUCUCAUGCCCAGUGGGGUGCCAGCAUCAUCGGUGGUUCUUAUCACAGCCAUUCUUCCCUCGUUAGCAAUAUCAUAACUUGCUGAAGACGAGACAUCCUCAGCUUCCAUCAUAAUGAACCUUGCAAUGCUCAUAACUAACAUGUUCUCAAAAUUUUCAUCAUCUCUCUGCACAUCCUUGUAACCGUACCUGACAAUGCACCGGUACAUCCGAUACGCUCUAGGUCCAAUCCUACCAACAAGGUAUCGCUCAUCUGGUUGAACAUAUGGCACUGGUACUGACUUAACACAAAGAAACACUAGGACUUCAUGAAAGGCAGGGAGAUUAGUGACAAAAUGUGUGAAGAUGGCAGGCACACCAGUCACCAGUUCUGUGUAAAUCAGUCCAAUUCCCGGAACCCGAACUAUGCCGAGGUUUGGACCAAGAGAAAGGAUUGAUCUCAUUGACACUUUGUUCUGAAGAUCAAACUGGUACUUCCUCUUUGUUCCAUAGUGCCAAAUGAACAUGACAGACAUGAAUAUGAAAGCAAGCACAAGAGGCACCCAUCCUCCCUGAUGAACCUUCAUGAGGGAUGAGGAAAGAUACACGGUUUCAAUGGAUCCGAAGAAUAAUAGAAACAACAAGGCAAAUAUUAUGUUCUUUUGCCAAACAAAGAUGAUGAUGAAUGCCAUAAAGAAUGUUGUAAUAAGCAUAACAGUCAUGCAAGCAAUACCUGAAAUUAUAAACCAUGGACAAUGGUUAGACCAGUAAAUGGGAAUGCUGGAAAAAUCAAAAGGUCUAUGUGCAAGAAAGAUCUAAUCUCGUCAAUUGCUAUUACAAGCUUACCAUAGGCAUUUCCGAUAAGGGUUGUAUCACCGAAUGCAACUGUGACAGCUACACAUAGCACCAUAAGGAUCCAAUUUAUUUCAGGAAUGUAUAUCUGCCCAUAGAUCCACCUCGAUGUGUGGACAAUCUUCACUCGUGGGAAACAUCCCAAAGCAUGGCAUUGCUUUACAAUAGAGAAUGUUGCUGAGAUGACAGCCUGGCUUCCAACAACUGCAGCAAGAGUGGCUACCACAAAUACAGGCCAAAAUACAGGUCCUGGAUGACAACUGAAACUUUAAUAACAUUGCAGAGAGGAAGGAUUGGAGGUGAGGGAGAUGAGUGAGAGAGAGUUUCAAAAACCUGGGAUGGAGUCAUAAAAACUUGUGCGCAUGUGUAACAUGUUCUUUGAUAAAAAUGCUGCUUGGCCCAUAUAUUGCAAUAUAAGACAUGGAUAUAUGAUGGUAAUAAAAGCUAGCUGCAACAAGGAGAAACCCAGAUUAUGUCUCCAAAGAUACAGGUUCAACAGCAAACUGUGCCGGAAAGGCAGGUAUAGUUUAAGCAAACAGAAAUCGUAAACUAUGAAUAUAAUAAGAGAGUCAUCAGUACUAUCCAGGCGGCUUUAAUACUUUAACGUCAUGGAAUCGAAUAGAGCGUCACAAAAGCAUUAGAUGAAAGCAACAAUUUGGUACACAACAAAGAACUUAAACUUAACUAGGUUCUUUGGGAAAUGUCAUCCAUUUUCUAAAAUAUGCAGGUUAAAUCAAUCUCUUUUCACAGAAAGGCUAUUUGGUAUUACGAACUUUUCUGCUUCUUUUAAGCUUAAAGCAUUUGGCAAAAAUAUUUUCCCAAAGUUAUUUCUUCAUGGCUGCUUUGUCACACAGAACCACACCCAAAUAUAAUUAUAACAUAAAAGGAUCUAUACAGCCAGUGGGAAGUUUUCACUGCAGAAAUUAACAGAUAGAAGAUCAUCACUAGCUCAACUUACCCUGACAGAUGCACUUGUAAAAUGACCGAGGUCAGCAAACAUAGCUUCACUGCCUGCAAGGGGAAAGAAAACAUAAUUUGUUACUCUUUUUACUACAAAGGUACAAGCAAAGCACAAUUUUACCCCCUGUAUAUGUUAACAGUUACUAACCUGUCAUAGAAAGUAGUAUUCCUCCUAGAGCAAUCCAGCCAUCUGUACCGGUUGUCCUAAAGAACUUAACAAUGUAAUAUGGAGAGAUUGCUUGGUAUAUCUUUGGGUUCCAAUGAACUAUGUUGUACAAUCCAAUUCCACCAAUGCAAAGGAGCCAGAUGAUGACAAUUGGUGCGAACAUGAAUGCUACCUUGUGAGUACCUCGGUGUUGCAAGGAAAAUAAACCAACCAAUACAAUGCAUGAAAGUAGCACCACAGAACCUGUAGAAAUAAAUUGUGCUUACAUCAGUCAAGCCUCAAAAUAUAGUAAGCCCAAAGUUCCAAUGAAGUGUUUGGAAAAUAAGGAUGCAUAAUCUGACUAUACAAUAACAGAAUAUAAUGUCCAAAUAUAUUACACAAAAUGUUUUUGAAAUACACAGACUUGUAUUUGAAAAAUUAAAGAUAUAUGUACAAUGUAGUAUUUGAAGAGACAACCACAUGCUCACAGCACAUAUGCGAUACAGUACACCUUAAAUUUUCCACCAUACAGUGCAUCGUUCUACAGAAAUGAUGUGGUAUAGGUAGCACAACAAGUGCAACCAAAUGACAAAAUAUGUAGUAAUACAGAAAUAUAACCAGAGGAAGUGCAUGUAUCAUGUCUCAUAAUACUCCACACAAGCACAUGUGUUUAAAUACUGUGCCUUAUGAGUUCACAUUUCAAAAAGAUGAGUUGUACUUACGUUCCUGUAAACCAGUAGCUCGAACUUGCAGCCCAGACAUAGAUGACAGGACUGCAAGGAAAGGAGCAGAAAAAAACACGGUAAGCAUAUAGAGAGGUUAAUAACCACAGUUGUGCAUUGACACGAAGUAACCAACUGAUGAUGGUAGUAUCCACCUGAGAUUGCUGGAGUAAGGACACCAUCACCGAUCACCAUGCUAGCAGCACAGAGAACUACAACAAGAAGUCCAGUUUUGACAGUUUUGUGCUUCUCUAGGAACCUUCUUAGCCAGGGUGAAGAUCCAUGCUGAGCUGCGAAGCCAUCUCUGUAGUAUGUAGAUAACUCCUCAUCCGCUGCUUGUUGAUUCGGAAGCAAGCUAAGCUUUGCAUGCCUGCAGAGGAGCGAAUACAGAGCAAAUGGUCCACCUACAAAAGUGUCAGCAGCUUCUUAUUUGUCCUUGAUUGACCAAUGAUAUAGAACAAAUUUGUGUGUGUGUGUGUGUGUUUAUAGAAAUUUAUAUGAGCAGGUGAUUUAUUAUGAUCUCCAUGUGAGCAUGUCUAUAGAAAUUUGCCAACAAACUACAACAAUAUGAACUUCAUGAUGACAGGCAUCAAAGAGAAACAACUUCUUACAAAGGUAUUAUGGUGUACCUUCGCCAUUGUCAUCAGCGCUCAACACAAUAAUGACAUACUUGAGCAAAGGAACAAGUGUGAAGGUCCAAAAUAUCAGGGAAAGUACACCAUAUACUGUCUGUUCAUCUUGGUACUGCCCGAGCCUUCCUGAGAAUGUACUUUUGUACACAUACAGAGGCGAUGUGCUUAGGUCCCCAUAAACAACACCGAAGCUCUGGUAUGCUAGCAGCAGUAGAUUCCUGUAGUGCUGCCUCCACUGAAAAGGCAUGACAGAACAGUUAGAAAAUCAUUUUUUUUUGGCCGAGUAUAGAUUCGCACGAGGCGUCCUUGAUAACUACGAUAUGCAAGAUCAUGACUCUUAUUCUAUCAUCUGGGACUUGAAAAUAAUAAAAAUGUCCCGCCUGAAGAUAUCCAAACUGGCACUUUUUCUGUUUUUUUUUUUUUUGAAAGUAAACACUUUUCUGUAUUUUGAAAUCAUUCUUUUUAUAUUGAUGGCAAUCAGACCCUCAUUAUGAUUACAAAGUGAUUGUCAAUCCGCGGAGGCAUUAGAAAUGCUGUUCCUCACUUGUAGAAUCAAAUCUUACCCAAAAUAAUUUGCUUCUGCGAAAGGUGGUGAACACCAACUCGUAACAUUCGUUCACAGCAAAAGCAAAAUGCCGAACCCAAAUCUAGUCCAGAAAGAUAAAAAUAAAGAAUGAAAUACUAGCUGCGGCGAACCCAUUCCAAUCGAACCCCGGGAAAAAAAUCAAAUCGAAAUGGAUGGAUGGAUGGAUGGAUGAAGGAACGAAGGCAUGAUAAGAUCUCCUGCCGUCCGCCGCGGAAUCCCUGAUCCCCCGCCAGACCUCCGCAUCGGAGCCAUUCGAGGCGCGGGAGGAACCGGGAGCGCGCCCUGAUUUAGGGCUCCGCCCCGGUCCGCGUCGGGUCCAAAUCAGCGCCGACGUGCAAUGCGGAGAGAAAUGUUGGGAGCGGGGGAGAUGAGAGGGAGGGAGGGAGGGAGCCGCGUACCGGAAGCUCCUGGGCGGCGGCGACGGCGCCGGCCUCGGCGUCCAUGGAUCGCACUCAGGCGGCGGCGGCGGCGGCGGCGGCGGCGGCGGGAGGUGUCCGGCCGGCGGUCGAGCGCUGUUCCGUGCAGUUAUAGGACACGGGGGCGGGGAGGGAGAGGCUGCGGAUCAUCGAUCGAUUCCAUUCAUUGUAGUGUCGUGGGAACGAGAUUACCAUUGUGCCCCUUCGUUAUGGGAACCACCCACCGUAUGCCAUACUUCCUCCCUUCCUAAAUACGGAGUAUGUCCUUUUAAAAAUUUCACCAGAAUACUGUAUGCGAAACAAAAUGAGUGAAUCUACACUCUAAAGGGGCUGACUAGGCAGCGGCACCGCACCAUGGUGUUCCGAUGCAGCGGCUGUUAUAGGCCUGCACAUGCACGGUAAAAAAAUACAGACUGCAUGUAUGUACGUGCUUUGAGUAAUAUUUUCCACUAGUACUAGCUAAGUACUGAUAUGCUGCCACAGAUUCUUUCUUUCAUCACCAUGCAUGCUUGGAAUGACAUCAUCAAGUUUUUUUUAAUGUUUGAAAUUCAAAAAGUUUUAUCUCCAAAACCGUUAAUUCGAUUGAUGAUCUGUUUUCAUCAUUGACUUUGUCGUAGCGAGAUCUUCGAAACUAGAUCACAUGUUGAUAUGUUUCAACAUUUUUUUUCGGUUCGUACUUGCCUAUAUUUUUUCAAUUCACUUGCCAUAUUAUCAACCACGUACUUGUCUGACAAAAAAAGCUUAAUUGCCAUUUUAUUUUAUGUUGUUCCUGUACUAAGUUUGUUGGUGCUUAUAAUUCUAGUUGCCAUAAUGUUUUGAUGUGCUUGUCAUUUUUAAUUCUGCCUAGUUGUCAUGUUGUCUCAUAAAACUUGUGAGUGGUUAUAUAAUCUAGUUUUCCCAAAUAUUUUGUCGUGCUUGUCAUUUUUAUUCUACCUAGUUGUCAUGUUGUCUCAUAAAACUUGUCAGUGGUUAUAUAAUCCAGUUGCCCCAAAUAUUUUGUCGUGCUUGUCAUUUUUAUUCUACCUGGUUGUCAUAUUGUCUCACAAUGCUUGUCAGUUAUUAUAAAAAUUAAUUGUCGUGGUGUUUUGUUGUACAUACGAGUCUUAAUUCUACCUAGUUAUCAUGUUGUCUCAUGAAAAAGCUUGUCGAUUGUUCUAAAAUGUAGUUGUUAUGAUGUUUUGUUGUAUUUGUCAAUUUAAUUCUACUAAGUUGUUUCAUAUAAGCUUGUCACUUGUUGUAAAAUUUAAUUGUCACAUUAUUUUGUAGCCCUUGCCAUUUAAAUUCUACCCAGCAACCGGUUAUUUUGUGUACUGUAGGAGAUUGAAAAAAAAAUUAAAACAAAUGAGUACUACUAGUAGAGUAGCACGGCAACAGCUGCCUCUCUACGUCACUGCUCCCUCCUGACACCACCAAUUCUAUCCAGCAGUUUUGGUUUUAAAGAUACAUAGUACUACAACACUUUACAUAGCAAAUGCUAGAUAAAAAAAAGCAUUGUACCAGCUGUAGACUGCCAGCUACAGUCCCUAUGUGAGAAAAGCACCUCAGUGCGUACUGUAGAAAAAUGCAACAACAACUUACGUCCACGCAUGCGCGCAUUGUCUAUGAAAGGAAUCUCGUUCGAGCCGCCGCACGGGAGGGCGGCUGUGCAUCCAUUUGUAUGUGGUCUUUUAGUAAAAAUCUUUAAAAAAACUUAUAUUUAGAAACGAAGGGAGUAUUAUUUUUGUGAUUCUCAAUGAUGCCCCUGUUCAUAGAUGCCUUGCAAUUAUAGCCCUUGCUAUGUGUGGUUAUUUCAUAUCUCGAGGCUUUAUUGCUCUUUUGGUCUUUGUUUGGUUGCAAGGGAGGAUCUCGGGGGGAUCCCCGCUAUUUACUCGGGUCGAAGAACCACGGGUUGGGUUGGCUCGGGGAGGUCGACAGAGACAUUUGGUUGGAUCAGUUCGGGGGUAACCCUGCCCUGACCAAUAUCAUUUCCAUGGGACAGAAGCCACACUACAGGCACCAUCUAUCAAGAUCUAUCACCCCGCCUCCUUCGUCGGCAACCGAAGCAACGCCUCUGACUCCUUUCUUCGGUGUUCAGGAUCCACGCCCCGUCCCUUCCGCGAUGGGGACGGACCACGGCCAUCACCUUUCUCCUUUCCCCGAAUAACCCCUUGCCUCGAAGGGGAACAUAUCAGGUGCUCCCCCCAUACUCUAAUUUCAAAACAUUGAUUUUAAAUGUUUUGAAAAUACGAAAAAAUGUGAAUGUCCACAAGAAAUGUGUCUACAACCCCAAAAAAAUUCCAGGUCCAAAAUUGAAACGUACAUUGAGAAACAAAAAAGGACAAUUGUUGUUUUUUGUCUUUUUAUGACACUAUUCAUGUUAGACUUCACAUUUUUGUUUUUCGGUGCGCAUUCAGAGUUUGGAGCUGAAAAUUUUAGGAGUUGUAGUCACAUUCCUUGUGAACAUUCAUAUUUUUAUUAGAAUGUAAAAUAUUCUUUUUUUAACUUGGAGCAUGGGGAGCAGACCAAGGAUGGGAGCACCUGAUAUUUCUCCCGCCUCGAAGCUCCGGCCCUCUCUAGCGAUCACAACUUCUACCUCCUCCACUAGAUUAGCCCUCUCCUCCUCUCCACUCUUCAACCUCAUAUAUUUUUCUUCACUUGAUGCCUCCACCAUCUCUGCAUCGAUGAACUUGAACUUGCUGGUCCAGAUCCAGGAACGUCAUCACCGUCUCUCUCAUAAUAUUGCCACCAACAUCAAUCACCAAUGAGCAUAAACAUCUCCUUAGAUUUGUGAACAAUGUUUUGCUUGCUGAUGUUUUAGCCUUUGCCAUGAUCUGUAUAGUUGUUAGUUAGUUAAGAGACCGCGAUCAUGGUUUGUGUUUGGUGCAUAGGUUAUGCAUUUGCUACAAUAAAAAUGAGAAUUUUUUAGCCGACCUAUGCCUUCAGGAAGUUCGUCCGUGUAAUUAUCUACAAAACAUUCUUAUGUGCUCUGUUGUUUCAAAAAAUAUACACACACUAGUGGAAAACGGGCCUUUGGCCGAGACCCUUUAGUCCCGGCCUGCCUCUGGGCCGGGACUAAAGGCCCGGCCACGUCGCCCCAAAUCGCAAUGUCUCCCUCGAGGCUUUAGUCCUGGCCCGUAAGGAGCCUUUAGUCCCGGUUUGUGUCCCAAACCGGGACUAAAGGGCUACGCGGGGUGCAGCCCGCAUGUGCGCCACCUUUAGUCCCGGUUUGUGUCUCAAACCGGGACUAAAGUCCUCUGCCUAUAUAUAGCACAACCCCCCUCUCCCCUCUUCCUUGCAUUUUUCUUGGAUGGAGGAUUGUGGGUGUGUGCUAGCUCUCCACUUUUUUUUAUGCACUAGAGGUGUUUGUUGAAAUGUGUGUUAGAGCGAUGCCGCUUCAGUUCACCGAACACAACUACGAUAUGAGAUGCCUGAGCCACGCUUAAACCUCUUCCUCUUUAUUUCUACUUAUUCUAAAAGGUUAGCAACUAUAUUUCCUCGUUUAGACCGUGCGGUACUAAUUUUUAGGAUCGUGAUUGUAUUUUAUAUACUGUCGUAUAACACAGAUGAGCCAUCCAUGGAUGUACGGUGAUCGACGCACAGCCGCUUACAGAGAAGGCGUGCAUUCUUUUCAAGAUGCAGCCAAUGCGAACAAGCAUGGUGGUGGCUAUAUGUUUUGUCCAUGUGUUGAACGUCGGAAUGAGAAGGAUUACACUUCCUCAAGAGUCAUUCAGAGCCACCUGCUUCGGUCCGGUUUUAUGUCGGGCUAUAAUGUUUGGACCAAGCACGGAGAAAGAGGGGUUAUGAUGGAAGACGACGAUGAAGAAAAAGAGAACGAUGAUGACAACUACCGAUCUAUGUUCCCUCAGUAUGCUGAUACCGCAAUGGGAGACAAUGAAGAAGAAGAUCAGGAUGAAGAACGGGAACCAGAUGAGCCCGCUGAUGAUCUUGGCCGGGUCAUUUCUGAUGCACGGCGAGGUUGCGACACAGAAAAGGAGAGGUUGCAGUUCGAGCAGAUGUUACAGGACCACAACAAAUUGUUGUACCCAACUUGUGAAGAUGGCCAAAAGAAGCUGGGUAGCACACUGGAAUUGCUGAAGUGGAAGGCAGAGACCGGUGUGACUGACUCGUCAUUCGAAAAGUUGCUGGUACUGAUGAAGAAGAUGCUUCCAAGAAAGAACGAAUCGCCCGCCAGCACGUACGAAGCAAACAAGCUUGUCUGCCCUCUAGGAUUAGACGUGCAGAAGAUACAUGCAUGCCCUAAUGACUGCAUCCUCUACCGCGGUGAGAAGUACGAGAAUAUGGAUAAAUGCCCGGUAUGCACUGCAUUGCGGUAUAAGAUCAGAAAAGAUGACCCUGGUGAUAUUGAGGGCGAGCCACCCAGGAAGAGGGUUCCUGCCAAGGUGAUGUGGUAUGCUCCUAUAAUACCACGGUUGAAACGUCUGUUCAGAAAUAAAGAUCAUGCGAAGUUGUUGCGAUGACACAUGGAAGAUCGUAUGAAAGAGGAUAAGUUGAGGCAGACCGCUGAUGGUCGGCAGUGGAGAAAAAUCGAGAGAGAGUUCCCGAGAUUUGCAGCUGACGCAAGGAACUUAUGGUUAGGUCUGAGUACAGAUGGCAUGAAUCCUUUUGGGGAGCAGAGUUGCAGUCACAGCACCUGACCCGUUACUCUAUGUAUCUACAACCUUCCUCCUUGGUUGUGCAUGAAGCGAAAGUUCAUUAUGAUGCCAGUGCUUAUCCAAGGUCCAAAGCAACCCGGCAACGAUAUUGAUGUGUACCUAAGGCCAUUAGUUGAUGAACUUUUACAGCUGUGGGCCGAACCAGGUGUACGUGUGUGGGACGAGCACAAACAAGAGGAAUUUGACCUUCGAGCGUUGCUUUUCGUAGCCAUCAAUGAUUGGCCUGCUCUUAGUAACAUUUCAGGACAGUCAAACAAGGGAUACAAUGCAUGCACGCACUGUUUGGAUCAGACAGAAAGUAUAUAUCUGGACAAAUGUAGGAAGAAUGUGUACCCGUACAAUCGUCGUUUUCUUCCGCCCAAGCAUCCCUUAAAGAAAAAAGGCAAGCAUUUCAAUGGCAAGGUAGAACCCCCGGGGAAGCCUGUCAUCCGUACUGGUGCUGAAGUAUUUGAUAUGGUCAAAGAUUUAAAAGUAAUCUUUGAAAAGGGUCCUGGCAGCCAACCUAUUCCUAACGGCCCUGAUAAGCGCGUACCCAUGUGGAAGAAGAAAUCUAUAUUUUGGGAGCUACCCUACUGGGAAGUCCAUGAGGUCCGCUCGGCAAUCGACGUGAUGCACCUGACGAAGAAUCUCUGCGUGAAUAUUCUAGGCUUCCUGGGCUUGUAUGGGAAGUCAAAAGAUACACCAGAAGCACGGGAGGACCAGGAAAGUCAUAAAGGAAGAGAUGGCAUGCAUCCAGGGCAGUUUCAAGGGUGUGCCAGCUACGCUCUUACUAAGGAAGAGAAGGAAAUCUUCUUUGAAGUCCUUUUCAGUAUCAAGGUCCCGACUGGCUUCUCGUCGAAUAUAAAGGGAAUCGUAAAUAUGAAAGACAAAAAAUUCCCAAACCUAAAGUCUCAUGACUGCCACGUGCUUAUGACGCAAUUGCUUCCGGUUGCAUUGAGGGGAAUUCUACCGGAAAAUGUUCGCCUGACAAUUGUGAAGGUAUGUGCAUUCCUCAAUGCAAUUUCUCAGAAGGUAAUCGAUCGAGAAAGUCUAUCAGGGUUACAGAUUGAUGUGGUCCAAUGUCUGGUCAGCUUUGAGUUGUUGUUCCCGCCAUCCUUCUUCAAUAUAAUGACACACCUCAUAGUUCACCUAGUCGAAGAGAUUAGAAUUCUCGUUCCUGUGUUUCUACACAAUAUGUUCCCCUUCAAGAGGUUCAUGGGAGUCUUAAAGAAAUAUGUUCGUAACCGUGCUAGGCCAGAAGGAAGCAUCUCCAAGGGCUAUGGAACAGAGGAGGUCAAUGAGUUUUGUGUGGACUUUCUUCCUGACCUUAAGCCGAUUGGUGUUCCUGAAUCUCGGUAUGAGGGUAGGCUGACAUGAAAAGGCACACUAGGAAGGAAAGCAAAAGUAUGUAUGGACGGGCAUUCUUUCUCUCAAGCACACUACACAGUUCUACACAAUUCCACCGUGGUGGCUCCGUAUAUCGUGAGACACAAGAAUAUUCUACGCUCCGAAAACCCGGGGAAGGCUGACUCUUGGAUUAAAGGGGAACACGAGAAGACUUUCGGCAGUUGGUUGCAGACAUAUCUCAUGAAUGACGACACCGUUGGAGAUCAGCUGUACUGUUUGGCCAGGCCACCAUCUUCGACUAUAUGUACUUUCCAAGGGUAUGAGAUAAAUGGGAAUACAUUUUACACGGUUGCCCAAGAUAAAAAGAGCACCAACCAAAAUAGUGGUGUCCGCUUUGAUGCAACAGACGAGAAUGGGCACUGUUUGGAAACAUAUUACGGGUACAUAGAGGAGAUAUGGGAACUUGACUAUGGACCUACUUUUAAGAUCCCUUUGUUUCGGUGCAAAUGGGUGAAGCUGACAGGAGGCGGGGUAGUUGUAGACUAAAAGUACGGCAUGACAACAGUGGAUCUCAACAAUCUUGCGUACAUGGACGAACCAUUUGUCCUAGCCAAUGAUGUCGCUCAGGUUUUCUAUGUGAAGGACAUGUCUACAAAAACGAAAAAAAGAAAUCAGCGAAAGAAGAUAUCGUCCGAUGAGCCAAAACGCCACAUAGUUCUUUCAGGGAAAAGAAACAUCGUGGGAGUAGAUGACAAGACAGACAUGUCAGAAGAUUAUAAUAAGUUUCAUGAAAUUCCCCCCUUCAAAGUGAAAACUAACCCAAGCAUCCUACUGAAUGAUGAAGAUUCUCCAUGGCUACGACCCAGAAAAAAACAGAAAUAAUAGAUAGGAAUAUUGGUGCAAUAAUGUAAUAAUGUAUUAAACCUUUUAUGUAAUGCAUAUAUGGAAUGUACGAAAUUUCAAACACUUUUCAUUUUCAUAGUUUUGUCAAAUUCUCAAAUACGCAAAAAUAAUUUUAAUAAACCUUUGUAAAAGAUGAGUUCUCGUUCGAAACGCUCAUACUUCGAGAGAGAUUGUCCGUUUUGUACACGAAGUGCAUCCAGUUUUUGUCGUAGCCCUCUCAACUUUUUAACACAUGCUAUGUGGGUGAAAUGAUGAUAGCAUGCCAACUUUCAACAUUUUCAGAGUUCAUUUGUAGUGCUUUUCAAUUUCAGGGUCAACUAGCUCAAAAAAAUAAGUAAAUGCAUGAACAAUACCAAAUGAAGUCAGAAAUUGUUGAAAUUUUGUGAUAUGCCUUUGAAUAGUGCAUUUUGAACACACAAAAAGUAUGGAGUUCAAAUAAUUUCAAAAAAAUGAAAUCCCUUUUGUAAGAGAUGAGUUCUCGUUCGAAACCGCUGAUACUUCGGGAGAGAUUGUCCGUUUUGUACACGAAGUGCAUCCAGUUUUUGUCGUAGCCCUCUCAACUUUUUAACGCAUGCUAUGUGGGAGAAAUUAUGAUAGCAUGCCAACUUUCAACAUUUUCAGAGUUCAUUUGUAGUGCUUUUCAAUUUCAGGGUCAACUAGCUCMAAAAAAAAAGUAAAUGCAUGAACAAUACCAAAUGAAGUCAGAAAUUGUUGAAAUUUUGUGAUGUGCCUUUGAAUGGUGCAUUUUGAACACACAAAAAGUAUGGAGUUCAAAUAAGUUCAAAAAAAUGAAAUCCCUUUGUAAGAGAUGAGUUCUCGUUCGAAACCCUGAUACUUCGAGAGAGAUUGUCCGUUUUGUACACGAAGUGCAUCCAGUUUUUGUCGUAGCCCUCUCAACUUUUUAACACAUGCUAUGUGGGUGAAAUGAUGAUAGCAUGCCAACUUUCAACAUUUUCAGAGUUCAUUUGUAGUGCUUUUCAAUUUCAAACACUUUUCAAUUGAAAAUAACAAAAUAGUUAAUAGUUUGGAUAGUCAAAAUAAUUACUUUUGAAAAUAUAAAAUAGUUUUGCAUUAUUUAUUCAAUUUCAAACACUUUUCAUUAUCAUAGUUUUGUCAAAUUCUCAAAUAUGAAAAAAGAAUUUUAAUAAACAUAGUUUUUAAUUGAAAAUAACAAAAUAGUUAAUAGUUUGGAUAGUCAAAAUAAUUACUUUUGAAAAUAGAAAAUAGUUUUGAAUUAUUUAUUCAAUUUCAAACACUUUUCAUUAUCAUAGUUUUGUCAAAUUCUCAAAUAUGCAAAAAGAAUUUUAAUAAACAUAGUUUUUAAUUGAAAAUAACAAAAUAGUUAAUAGUUUGGAUAGUCAAAAUAAUUNNNNNNNNNNNNNNNNNNNNNNNNNNNNNNNNNNNNNNNNNNNNNNNNNNNNNNNNNNNNNNNNNNNNNNNNNNNNNNNNNNNNNNNNNNNNNNNNNNNNNNNNNNNNNNNNNNNNNNNNNNNNNNNNNNNNNNNNNNNNNNNNNNNNNNNNNNNNNNNNNNNNNNNNNNNNNNNNNNNNNNNNNNNNNNNNNNNNNNNNNNNNNNNNNNNNNNNNNNNNNNNNNNNNNNNNNNNNNNNNNNNNNNNNNNNNNNNNNNNNNNNNNNNNNNNNNNNNNNNNNNNNNNNNNNNNNNNNNNNNNNNNNNNNNNNNNNNNNNNNNNNNNNNNNNNNNNNNNNNNNNNNNNNNNNNNNNNNNNNNNNNNNNNNNNNNNNNNNNNNNNNNNNNNNNNNNNNNNNNNNNNNNNNNNNNNNNNNNNNNNNNNNNNNNNNNNNNNNNNNNNNNNNNNNNNNNNNNNNNNNNNNNNNNNNNNNNNNNNNNNGGAGCUCCACAUCGGGACUAAAGGCCCCUGCUUCCCGCCUUCUGGUCUGCCCAAAAAGGGCCGUUAGUCCCGGGUCGUGGCUCCACCCGGGACUAAAGCGGGUCUUUAGUCCCGGUUCGAGCCCCGAACCGGGACUAAAGAUCCACCUAUAUAAGCGGGAGUUAGAAAAAUUCCAACCCAAAUCAUUCGUUUCUCUUCUUCCUCUCGUUCUCCUGCCCGGCGCGGCACACCGAUGACCUCGACGACGCCGUCAGGCUGCCCGCCGUCCUCCUCGCCGCCGCCUGCCGUCCUCCUCGCCGCGCACCGUCGACACCUCCGGCCGGUAAGCCCCCCGCCCUCUCCUCCCCAACACUCCGGCCAGUAGAAAAAAAGAAGAAAAAGGAGAAGAAAAGAAGAAGAAAAGAAGAAAAAGGGAAGAAAGGAAGAAAAAGGAGAAGAAAGGAAGAAAAAGGAGAAGAAAGGCAGAAAAAGGAGAAGAAAGGAAGAAAAAGGAGAAAAAAGGAAGAAAAAGGAGAAGAAAAUAAGAAAAAGGAGAAGAAAAGAAGAAAAAGGAGAAGAAAAGAAGAAAAAGGGAAGGAGAAGAAAAGAAGAAAAAGGAGAAGAAAAGAAGAAAAAGGAGAAGAAACGAAGAAAAAGGGAAGAAAGGAAGAAAAAGGGGAAGAAAGGAAGAAAAAGGAGAAGAAAAUAAGAAAAAGGGAAGAAAAGAAGAAAAAGAAAAAGAUUUUUUUUGUCAUUUAAUUCCUAUUGUUAUUAGGUUUGUGCUAGAUUAUUAGGGUUAGUAAUAUUUAGAAUUAGGUUAGGGUUACAAGAAGAAAUAUGAACAAAAAUAAGAAAAUAAGAUUAGGAAAAAGGAAAAUAAGAAGAGGAGGAGAAGAAAAGAAGAAAAAGGAGAAUAAGAAGAGGAGGAGAGGAGAAGAAGAGGAAAAAUAGAAGAAGAGGAGAAGUAGAAGAAGAGAAAAAAAUUAGAAGAGGAGAGGAGAAGUAGAAGAAGAGAAGAGGAGAAGUAGUAGAAGAAGAGGAGAAGUAGAAGUAGAAGAAUAAGUAGAAGAAGAGGAGAAAUAGAUGAAGAGGAAAAAUUAGGUUAGGGUUACAAGAAGAAGAAAUAUAUUUUUUUUGUCAUUUAAUUUUGCUAUUGUAUAGUGUAUAUGCUUAAGUGUUAAUAGUGUUUCUUAGAUUAUUGCUUAAUUUUGCUAUUGUAUAUGCUUAAGUGUUAAUAGUUUAAUUUUGCUAUUGUAUAUGCUUAAGUGUUAAUAAUUUAUUUUUAGCAAGAAAAUUAAUAGAACUAGUUUAUUUUUUUAGUUCAUUUUACGAUGCCUGUCCCGCAUCCUCGUCGUUGACUCGGCGGAGGACACCUGCUUGAUCAGAGGGGCCCUGUCCGGGACUGGGCUCCGCCCGGCUGGUAUUGGGAGGUGCUACCUUCUGGGGGGCGUAGGUUGGUGAGGAGCCAGCCCGUUGUUGACCCGAUCCUUGUUUGGUGGCGGUCGCGUGGGCCAGUGACGGUGCCGAGGCUUCCGGACACCGCGGAGGUGGUACGUCACCGUGUCAGCGAGGAGGAUGAGCACGUCCGUCGCUACAUGGUUGCAUUGGAGGGCAGGUUCGAGCAUACCUGGCAGGUUCUUCGGGGAUCUCACUGGAGCUAUGAUCCUGUGAUGGUUCCUUCUCUUUGGGUGUCCACCGCCCGCGACGAUACCCGUCGGACGCUACAGUUCUAGAUGUAUCAGUGAUGCUAUAUGUAUGAUAGUAUUCGCGGAGUAUUAGUGAUAAUAUUCGACGAUGUACGGACAAAAGAGAUGAUGUAUUUGCUUAUAAUUGAAUGCAUGAUAAUUUGAAUACUACUUUAUUUUACGAUUUGGUUUUGCUUAUUGAAUGCUCAAAUUGGAAAAGUACUCCUACUUUGAAUACUAUGUAGAAAUCUAGGAGUCCCGGGUGGAGCCACGACCCGGGACUAGAGUUGUUUUGGAACGGAGUUCCUGAUAGAAUAAUGUGACAUAUAGAAGGGUAGAUGAGAUCAGGAAAAAUAGGAUCAUUUUCUACACAUCUAGAAUGUCGCCAUUUUGUUAAAUCCUUAAAGGUUAAGAGAAUCCGUUAGACAUAUUUUAGAGUUUAGGUUCUAGCCAAGACCCGAGACUAAAGAUCGUCCUAUAUAAAACGACACUUCGAAGUUUCCAACCCCUCUUAUAUAGUUUGUUAGUUUAUUAGUUAAUCAAUUGUCCGUUUUUUGCAGAACUAUGGAUCCACAUAUCAGGAACCUCGAAGAGGAAGAACUUCUCGAAGAUAUAAUCAAAGACGACCCCGACGUUGAACCAACUGAAUCUCCGUCGUCAUAUCUAAACCCCUCCGGAUAUGGAAUGGAGGUCGACCGACACGAAGAUGAAGCCGAUGGGGCAGGAGAUAGGUCCAAUGACGGAGAAGGUGAUAGCUCCACUGAUGGAGAAGCCGGUGAAGAAAUAAUAAAGUCCGGCGAGGUAUACAUAUGAAGUUCGACAAUCACUUGUAAUAUGUGAAAAAUAUUGGAGAUAGCUCCAUAUUGUAUACAUAUACAUUCAUUUGACGAAUGUUUCUCCCUCUUAGCCUCCACAUCGAGCAAAGCUACGAAACGAGGCCCGACUAGAAAGUUAGAUGCACGGACGCAUUACACCUUUGAGGUGAUAUUGCCUACGGGCGAACCCAAGCUUCCUAAGAAUGUUGCUGACACAUUCAAGAAGCAAUGCGGAGUUCUCGUUAGGGAUCACGUCCCGAUCAGCGUUCGGGAGUGGAACAAGCGCAAAGGGGCAGCCGAUAGUGACUAUGUCACCGAAAGGUACAAAGAUAAUCUUUGGAAUGAUCUCAUGUCACAUUUCAACCUGCCAGAAUGUGAGAAUGAAGACGCCGCAGACAAACUGAGGGCCAAAGUCAAGCAGUGGACUCUAAAGAAGAUGGCCGAACUGUUCCGUAGCUGGAAGAAGAAGCUAUGGAAAAACUAUCUGAAGACAAAGAAAGCACCAGUAUUCGAGGGGUAUCUAGCCAAGCAGGCGAAUCACUGGAAGGCAUUUCAAGAGUACAAGGAGUCAGAAGAUGCCCAGGCAUUAUCAGAAAAGAACAAGAUAAAUGCCGACAAGAAGAAAUAUCACCACAAGCUGGGGCCAGGGGGCUAUGAGACUGCCAUCCCAAAGUGGGAUAAGAAAGAGCAAGAUCUGCUAGCUAAAGGCAUCGUACCUGAACCACUCCGUGAUGAGUGGGAAUUGAGAGCAAGAAAUUGGUUCCUUGCGCAUGGUGGUUCGUACGACGAAGAAACAGGGGACCUCAUCUGCAGUGACGGUCUUAGGAUACCCAGGGAGAAUUGGAAAAGGAUAGUGAAAGAAAUUAAGGAGGGAAAAAGAAAGUUCACUACAGAUAGAGAGAAAGAUUUGCUCACACUGGUCCUCGGCAAUGACGAACAUGAAGGACGAACGCGAGGCUUCGGUCCUUCUUACCCGUGGUGGCUUGGGUUUGCCAGAGACCAAGACACUUACAGAAGCCGAGAGAGAGCAAAGAAGCGGCAGCAGGAUGAGGAGAAUGACAAGUUCAACCAGUUGCUUGCCAGGAUUAACGAGCAACAGAAGCAGAUUGAUGAGCUUAGAGGAGUAGCGUGCCAGGAAGAUCCUGCAUUUGAUAUUACCGGCGCCCCAUCUAAGCGGAAAAGCAGCGUGGCUGAAUCUGAGGCCUCGCCCGACGAUGCACGAAGAAUGAUAGAGGGCGGUCCCGGCUACCCCGUGGAUGGAAUCAAGGAGUCAACAUCAUGUGAACUCCAUCAGAAAUUCAAGAACAUAUCCAUGAAGGUGGCCGUCGGACAAGCUUUACCUUCUGGCCCUGAUGCACGCUGGCAUGGCCGUGAGAUUCCAGCUGGCUUUGCUAAAGUCGGGGUGGAUGAAAUCAUGGCGGGGUUUCAUGAUAUGGAGCUCGACAUAGCUGGACCCGAAGAUGAGAGGACACUCGGAUAACUACUGGGUGGAGUCAUCCUAUGGGACAAGAACUACAUCAAGCUUCCAGGCUUGGCCCCAAGGACAACACCGCCUCCGAGUCGUCGCAGGUCACCUACACCUCCAUUACCUCCAAGCCCUCCACAUGACGUCGGCCAACACAACACGAGUCCAUCUCGAUCACCGCCGCCGGACUUGGGUCGUCCGUCUCCGCCGCCGCCCACUUCGGAUACUAAGCGGAAGCGUGCCAGCAACAACGCUCCGCCGACGAUUUCUAAGCAUCAGAGCCCCCCAAAGCGAAACUGUCGCCCCUCCCAAAGGUACCUCAUGCUAAUCUUCCUAUCAGACCUUAUGAUCAUACCCCCGAGGAAAACGCCAGGAUAGCAAAGGAACAUCAUGAUGCGCAGAUGAAAAACAAGGAACCCGAGCUCCGCCCGGAAUACACCGAGAAGCAAAUAGCAUUUGCAAAAUACUUCACGAACCUUCCAUCACAGUAUGACUUACACCGUAAGCCUGAUGACUAUACACGCACAUUGCAGAAGGAAGUGAAAAAGAGCAGAUCACGUGCAAGUGCAAGUGGGAGCAAAUCAAGUUCAACUAUAAGCAAGAAAAAAUCAGACGUUCCUCAGCUUGGACAACAGGCCAAACAGUCGAUCCCACCCCUGAGGGUGUUCCCCUCGAAUGUCCCCCCUCCGGUGCAGGGGCAAGAUUUGAAUUAGCAAAGAAGUGGGCGGAUGAAUGGGGUAUCCCGGUUGAAGACAUUCUGGCUUCCCAAGACGACAGGUUACCCAAGGUCGUGGUAGCCCCUAAGCCACAGUUUGUCAUGGGAGCGCCUUUGGUCAGCAAAGAUGAUCUCCCAACAAAUAUGCGUUACUUGCAUACAUGGUACUUAAGUGAAUCAAAGAAUGGGAGAACGAUGAUCGUGGUGAGUGUCCCACGGAGUACUACGACCGCCCCGAAGAAAUCCAUAUCGACUUUGAUGAACUCUUCAAUAUGUACAAUGGCGACGCCCUCGACAAAUCUCUUAUGAGUUGCUAUUGUCUGUAAGUUUUUUAAUUCGUUGUCUACAUAUAACUUGUUUAGUUAUUUCAAUUCAUUGUCUAUAUAUAACUUGUACUCUAUUAUGCAGAAUGAAGAUUCUGGAUUGUAAAAGUAAGAACAUCCUAAAUAUUGGGUUUAUUGACCCAGAUAAAAUACAUAUAGCGACGCUAACUGAUAAACCCAAGGAGACGGAGGAAAACCUUCUAAGGUUUUUAACAGAUCAAAAUUUCUGUGACCACAUACUGUUUCCAUACAACUUCAGGUGAGGGUCUUUACUCUGUUGUGUCCAUUCACUUAUACACACACACACAGACACGCACAUAUAUAUAUAUAUAUAUAUAUAUAUAUAUAUAUGUAUGUAUGUAUGUAUGUAUGUAUAUAUAUAUAUAUACAUGUGCAGCUUCCAUUGGAUUCUCUUGGACAUUCAAAUUGAUAAAGGAAGAGUUGAUGCCUUCGACCCAUUAUCGAGACCCUUGGAACAGUUCCAAAGCCUGCAGGACAAGCUCCAAGGGUAAUUUCAAUCAUUCUUGCGCUCUAUCGGUCUCUUUCGAUGAUUUUAUGAUAUAUCAAUUAAUGAAAAACUUAUCAAAUUAUUAUCCUUGUCAGGCAGGGUUUGGAAGCGGUUCAAGUGCGUGACUCCCGGUAUCGAGCCUGAGAAGCUGACCUUUAGAGCGGCUCAGGUAAGUAGUAGUAUGAUAUAUACUUCUAUUUUCAAUACAUUUAUGAUGCUAGAUUAUUAUUUUGAUUAUAUAUAUUCUAUUCUCGUAAACUGCGACCAGCAGCCACGGGGGACGCAUCUAUGCGGAUACUAUGUUUGCGAGACCAUUCGCACGUUUACCUCUGAGCACAAGGAUCACAAAUUCGACGUAAGCAAUGAACAUUCACACCUCUAUUUUUACCCGUCAUUUUUUGUUAUCAUGAUUGAUAUUCAUAUUCAUCUCCUCUUCUUAUAUAGUACACGGCCAUGAGGGAGAAGGUCCUAGCAGAGCAACGCGCGAUUGCUGUUGCAGAGGAGCUUGCGACCUUUCUGAGGACGGAAGCUAUAGAUGACAAAGGACGAUUUAGUGUAGCUAGGGGCCAUUAGUGAUGUUCGUCCAUGUAAUCGAAUAGACGGGCUCUAGUCUCGAUAAUUCAGAUCUCCAUAUAAUUGUAUAUAUAUGCUCGCUUGUAAGAUAAGUUAAUCUUAUAUAUAUAUAUGCAUAAUUAUUUCUAUUUAGAAUUAUAUGAAUACUAAUUCCCGAACACCAAACGAGGCAUCACGUUAAUCUUCCGAACACCUAAACCCUAAAACCCUAAAACCCAAAAAUAGACAAAAUCUGAAACUCUUUAGUCCCGGUCCGUGUAACGAACCGGGACUAAAGGGCCUGUCCCUGAGGACGCUACGAGACGCCCACGUGGAGCACCUUUAGUCCCGGCUUGGAACAGAGCCGGGACUAAAGGUUAGGCCUUUAGUCCCGCCCCUUUAGUCCCGGUUGGUGAACCGGGACUAAAACCCCUUACGGGCCGGGGCUAAAGGCCCCGUCCCCACUAGUGACAUCUAAAAUUUAGACUCAAAAUACCUUUUCCACGUAUGUACUUCCUUUGUACCUAAAUACUUGUUGUUGGGGAAAACCAAUACAAGUUUCAGCUAUAAAUAUUGUGGUACAGAGAAAAUAUAUUUACUUAAAAAGAAAAGUUCUCUACAUUCCACUAAUUAAGAAGACUUUUGACAAAUAAUUACAAGCUACCCGCCGGAACACCUAGUCUACUCUCUAGCAUGAUCGAUCUCAAAAUGCUUUGCACACGCCACAAUGAUCGAUCUCAAAGGGUGGAUUAGGCUUUCACCUCGCACGUGAUGACAGUAUAUGUGAGAUAUACUCAAAUUUUCCAUGAACAAAGCACAAUGAGGGAAGGUAUCCUCUUCUCGUGUAGUCAAUGCGACGUUUAUUCCAUAAUACCAGCAAUCUUUGACCUCUUGCACAUAUGACAUAAAUCAUCCUUUUCACCGCAGUUGAUGGGCCGCCCACAAUUGGCAUUGUAAGAUAAGUCAUCAUGUAAAAGAACAUAUGCUUCGGUGGCGUCCCGUUUCACUUUGUUUCUCAAUAACUCACGGUGUUUCUCAAUAAGCUACACCCUAACACCCUAAGUUCAGCCGACAACAUCCUCAAAAGGAAGAACGUCAUGGCUGCCAAGUCUAGAACACUGGCACGGACAGGAGCACCUCAACAACGUCUUCGUGAAGAGAACGAUACCCCGCGGGCAUGACAAUCGCCGACGACAAAGCGUGAAGGUUUCACUCGGCAGCUCCCCGUGCCACCACANACAAAUGUUUUCAGACCGGUUGUUCAAUUUAGACAUUUCCAAUAACAUCAGUUGUAUAAUUAUUCAGUAAAAUGUGCGGCAUCUCAUCAUUCAGUAAAAACCCAUAGCGCUAGAAAAGAAACACUCACCGGCUUUAAGCCUUAAAUUUUAGACGCACGAUGUCUCAACAUUUCCAGCUUCCUUCUGAUUUUUUUAUCUGGUUCCUAGGAGGCACCGGAAAUCAAAGGAGAAAGCAGCACCGGCAGUGGCCGGUAAGUAGUAGGACGAUGCCAGCAUGCAAAUCUUUCGUAGCCGAACGAGCAGUCCGAGUUCGGGAAGCUGCCGGGCGCGCUUUCCUCCGCCGGAUCGUCGGGCACGCCGGUCGACGUACCCACCAGCUAAGCUAAGCCGCACGGCUCAAUCAACAAUGAAGCAUGCAUGCAUGGAUGGGCGUGGCCAUGGCUCCUCGCGUACGUGAUGGCUUUGCAUGAGAAAGAAUGUGGUGAGGACUGAAUAAUCCAGCCGGGUCUCCUUCUCCAUCCAGCUGCGCGUUGCCUCUUGCGUGCCCGCAGCACUGUUAGGCCAGGAAAGACGGAUCCAUCGGGCCUGCCCCUGCCCCUGCAACGUUUUCGGCGGCGGCUUUUGGUGAUCAGAUCGGCGCCGAUCGUGUGCCUGUGCCCUGCCUGCCUGCCUGCCUGCCUGUCCUCGUGAUCACCAUGGAUAAGAGUAUAACGCGCGGCUGGCUGCCCGCCUGCCUAGUGCCUGCGUUGCGCCGAACAAACCCAACCACGAUUGAAUUAACCAUGGAUGAUGGUCCUGGUUCCUUGAAGCACCAGUGGCCUCCCUCUUAGGCUGGUUGUAAUGGAGAGUAUCAUAUACUAGUAUCAUGCACAUAUGAUGCUAGUGUAUGAUACUGCAUCCGUAGUGCAUACUAUCAUAAGUUAGUAUCAUAAGAUAUAUCAUUUAUUGCCAUGCAUGACACAUAGUAACACAACAUUUAAUAUAUGAUACGGUAUCAUAAUAUGAUACUCAACCCUCUCUUUCUUUAUUUAAUUUUAUGUCACCUCAUCAAAAUUGUUUAGUUGGCAUGCAUGAUACUAAUUUUGAUACUACCAUUACGACCAGUUUUAGUAGCGUGGGCAGCGUGCAUUUAUUGCUCUAUUAUGACAAUGUUAUACAUUGUCUGACACAUGCACAUCACACUUUCUUCUCUCUCCUUCCAUCAAGCUAACUUUCUUACCUCUAUGACGUGCGGGGCAGUUUUUUUUUUGACCGGUGUAAAAAUUUAUCAAAAAUGCUAGACAUAAAAAGAGUUACACAAGGUUAAUUACACUUUGACUAGGAUUCUUUCUUUCUAACUAACCACUCUCUCCUGAUUUUUAAGGGGGUGGGACACUCAUCCCCUUAAUCUCCAAUCAAAAUCCACCUGUCUGUAAGAUUCAUGUAAAGUUAUGUAUGUGUAGCAUUGCUGAAACUUUAUUCCUCAUAUAAAGUUAUGUAUGUCGUUUACAAGGAGAUGGAAAAUAAAGUCUGGGACUGAAGAAUCCCAAGAACCAAAAAGUCCAACCCUAAGGCUUUGUUUAGCUAACUCAUCAGCUACCUGAUUUGCCUCUCUAAAGCAACAACCAAAAUAAAGUUUAGCAACGGCAAUGAAUAAUUGCUUGCACUCUGCAACAACAACAACACAAUCAGGCCCCAUAUAGUUGUCCAAGAACCGUAUGGAUUCCACCGUAAAAGGACAAUCACAUUCAACCACUGCUUUGGUGCAUCCAAUGCUAGAUAGGAGAUAAAUGCCAGUUCUGAUAGCAAGGAGUUCAAUGGCAUCAACAUCACGGACAUGCAGUGUGAACCAGUUGGCUGCAACAAUAAUGUCGCCCUUAUCAUCUCGUACCAUAGCUCCACUUGCUCCCGAAAGAGUAUUCGCAUGAAAUGAUGCAUCAACGUUCACCUUCACCAUGCCACAAGUCGGUUUCUUCCACAUAUGAUCUCUCAGCCUCACCGGUAGCUUAGAAGUAAAUGAUUUGAUGUAAUUGGUUGCUACAGCUUUGAUGGACAUGGCUGUCUUCUCCGAUGUUUGUGCUGACACCCCUUUCACAAGCUGUCGCCGCUACCGCCACAAAAACCAAAGCUACAACAGAAUACAAGUUCUGACGUGGGAAUGCCAUCACUUAUUGUGUUUAGCUUGAGAAGAAUUUCCAUCGUUACGGAGCCAGGUCUGUCCUCAGUAGUUGCCCUCAGUACAGUAUCUAUUAGACCCAGUUGCGACCACACCUUCUAAACAUCUCGACAGUUGAAGAGUGUAUGUUGGAUAACUUCUAUCCUAACUUUGCAGUGAGGGCACUGGGGCAAAAGCGGAAUAUGCCGUGCAGUCAAUACCCCAAAACAUGGCAAGACUCCACGUAAAACUUUCCAUGCGAAGUAUUUCACCUUACCAGGGACUUUAAGUCUCCAAGCCUCUUUCCAUAUGUUAUUGACAUGGGUAUUUCCUUGUCCGUCAGACCUAGAGAGCCUGGCGCCAAACUGGUGAUCAAGUUCAUUAUAGUAAACAUAUCAAACGGAAAGGUCCCGAUCUCAUGUAGUUCCAAGCCACAAUGUCCUCUAGAUUACUACUUAGUGGAAUUUGCAAGAUCCGUUGCAAAUCAACAAGUGAGAAGCAAUCUCGUAGUAGAUCUUCAUCCCACCCGCUCGUGUAAGGUUUUAUCAGUUCCCCCACUUUAGAUAACAUUAACAGUCCCUUUGGCGCAAUCACCUUUCCUGUUGCACUAGUCGGUAUCCAGGGGUCGUGGCAAAUACCAAUAUGAGAACCAAAUCCCACUUUCGAUAUGCACCCUCUAUUAAAAGUCUGAAUACCCACCACUAUGCUUUGCCAUGUAAAGGAAGACCCCUUCUUUGGGACAACUUUCAACAAAUUUCCAUCUGGAUAAUACUUUGCUAUGAGAACUUGCACACACAAAGAGUCUGGGUUCUAGAGAAGACGCCAACACAGUUUUGCUAACAUAGCAAGACUAAAAUUGUGUAGGUCUCUAAACCCCAAUCCCCCUUUCUUGUUCUGUAUACACAACUUCCACCAUGCAAACCAAUGCAUUUUCUUAUGGUCAUCAUUGUCUUCCGACCAAAAUCCAGAAAUUUCAUCUAUGAUUGCCUUGCAAAUUCCUUUUGGCGGCUUAAAAACAUACAUGGCAUACAAAGGAAUAGCUUGAGCAACAGAUUUAACCAAGAUUUCUUUACCUUGCAUUGACAAGUUUUUUCCUUCCAUCCCUUCAAUCUCUAGCAAACUCUGUCUAUAAGAUGUUGGAAGCAACUGAUCUAUCCACUCCAACCAUGGUUGGUAGACCCGGAUAAGUAUCUGAGAGGGCUUCUGUAUCAAUAAUUAGAAUUUUGCAACAUUCCUCUCUUGCUUGGAUACUUGUGUUAGGGCUGAAGAAAAUAUUACAUUUUGCAUUACUUACAAUCUGCCCAGAACUCCGGCAAUAAGUGUCCAACACCCUUCUGAGCGUGUUUGCAUUGUGCUCAUCUGCUUUCAUCAAGAUCAAAGAAUCAUCCGCAAAAAGGAGAUGCGAGAUAGAGGGUGCAUUCCGAUAGACACAGACUCCCCUGUCUGAGUCCUCGGGUGGGAGAAAAUUCCUCCGUCUCAGUGUUAUUGAACCAUACCUUGUAUGUAACCGUCGAAACACAAUCCAUUAUCAACUUGAUCGAGAGCUCAUGGAACCCCAUCUUCUGCAUCACUUUCUCCAAAAAAAACACUCAACACGGUCAUAUGCCUUAUUCAUAUCUAGUUUCACAUCACAAGAACCAUUAGACCCAUGGGUCCUCUUCUUUAUUGCAUGAAAACAUUCGUACGCAACAAGAACAUUAUCACUAAUGAGCCUACCAAGUACAAAAGCACUCUGGGUAGGUGAGAUCACCUCUAGCAAGACUCUCUUAAGCCUAUUUGCAAGCAUCUUAGAGAUUAUCUUAUAGACAACAUUGCAAAGGGAGAUCAACCUAUAUUGUAUGAUUACCUAUGGAUUUUUGACUUUGGGUAUAAGUACAACAUUCGUUGAAUUCCAUCCAUCUCGGAUCUUCUUUUUUAUUUAUAGCAUCUAGAACCUCAUAUGUGAGAUCAUUCCCCACAAUAUGUCAGAACCGCUUGAAGAAAACCGCAUGAAGUCCAUCCAGGCCUGGAGCUUUCAUGUCACCAAUUUGAAACAGUGCUUUCCUGACAUCCUCUCUUGUGAAAUCAGAUGUCAGUAAGCCAUUCAUAUUGCCAGAAACUGUAGGCUUUAUGCAGUUCAACAAACUCGGGUCGAUAUCACUCGCAUUAGCCGUAAACAGGCUUCCAAAGUAAUCUCUGAUAAGGGGGCGAAGGUCUUCGUUCCCUUCAAUCUAGUUGCCCGCAUCAUUUUUAAGCUUCUUUAUCAGGUUCCUGCGCCUCCUUGCUGACGUAAAUUGAUGGAAGUAGGCAGUGUUUCGGUCACCCCUACGGAGCCAACUCACCCAUCCCCUCUGCGCCUAAUCUAUCUCAUCUUGUUCUAGCAGGUUUUCCAUGAAUAAGGAUAGUUCCUUCUGUCUCAUUCUCAUCUCUUCUGUUAGCGGUCUAUUCAUGAGAACUUCCAGUUUCUUUUGUGCACUACGAAGACACCUACGAGGCUCCUUCGGCACCUCCUGGUCCCAUCGAUGAAGGUCACUAUGGACCGAUUCCAAUUUCUCCCUCGCUGUCGGACAUUUUCUUUUGAUAAGGAGGAAACGAGCCCCCGGCCUCUGCAUCAAUCGAUGCAUGCAGCCAUAUUAUUAAAGAUAAAUAAAAUAGUAUCUUAGGUCCACAGAGCUCAAAAAGCCCAAAGUGCAAAAGAAAGCAAGAUGCAGGGCCAUGUGCCAACCAGUUUUGACAAUCUCCUCCACUGUUUCUUUAGACAACCUUCUUGCUUCGAAUUUCUUUGUUCUACCAGAGCCGCCAGCAGCCAAUCCCACGAGGUACUCAGUGUCCAAACAUAUCGUCCUAUGAUCUGAUUUACCCAUCUCCAAAUUAGUCAGUCCGGCAAACGGAUGUAGCAGCGUCCAAUUUGCGUUUGAAACUACCCUGUCUAGCCAAUAUCUUCCAAGGAACAGUCUAUGAGGGCAUCCUGAAAGGCUUUUUAUCGUGAUUGGUGAAGUGGGGCGUCCCCAUAUUUUUCAUGAGAGAACAUAAUUUCAUUAAAGUCUCCGAUAACCAGCCAUGAAAGGUUAGACUAUGCAUGCAGGUCUCGUAGUUUACAGUAUGUUCGGUCUUUACGGUCUCAAUUGGGUUCACCAUACAACCCUGUGAGUAUCCAAAGAUCCCCAUUCACCUCCUCCACUGGGACAUCGAUGACAUCGAGGGUGGUAAUCCCGGAGUAGAUCCUAAUCUCCUUCUUCCAAACCAUAAGCAACCCACCCUUUCUUCCAUCACCACAGGGAGCAAUCAACAUGCAAUCCAUGCACAGCUUUUUCAUUAGAAUUUGUGCCUUUUCUUCAUCCAAAUGUUUCUCAGACAAGAAAUACACAGCCGGUUCGUGUCGCCUCUAGAUGUCCAGAAGCGAGCGAACUAUCGAGGCCCCAACUAGGCCCUGACAAUUCCAGUUGAUAAGCUUCAUUGCUCCGGGUGACCCGCCUCCGAGGGUUGCCGAUGACAUGGUAACCUCAAAGUUGGUAUUCCCCAGCUUUCUGGCGAAGGAUUAAUAGAAAAACUCUCGGGCAACGAAACCGUCGGAGGACAGCAAAACCAUAGCUUAAUUGCUAGAGGACGAAAAACUAAAAAGGAAGCACCUCUUUAGGACAUAAGGUAGAACUGAGGGCCAGUGGCCGCCGGCAGCGGCGGCGACGCACUAACCCUAGAUCGGCAAGACGUGCGGGACAGUUAGCAAGGAGCCACCACGACGUAGUGACUAGCGGGUAUGUUUGACGUAAAAAAAGUAAUAUUAUAUCCCAUCCACCCAUGCUUUCUAGUCUGAUUACAUUAUUUGUAUCAAAUUUAUUUUUUGAAUAAAAUAUCCGAUUGACAAACAGUUUGGAUAUUAGUACUCAUGAUAUUUAAAUCUUCAAAAUAAGAUCAAUUUUUGACACGGUUGAUUUUUUUCAAAUCCAAUUUAUCUUUUGUUGCAAGUUUUCAUUGUUUUUUCAUUUCAAACAUAGGUGUUAAUUCAUUCAGGUUUCGUAUCUAUUUUUUGAGUCUUGAAAUAAGUUUUCAUAUCAUUUUGUUAAAUUACCUUUCAUGGUUUUGUUGAGUGCUAUACGAUUUCGUUUCUGUGGCGUGGUUAUGUUUUCAUUAUUUUUCCAUGCAUUCUCUUUUGCAUGUUUUUCAUCGUUCUUUCAUUCUAUACAUCAUUAGUGUUUCAUCUCUGAUUUUGAUAUAAGUUACAUUAUGUUUUUGUUUGCAUGUCCUAAUUACUAGUUCACUCUGCUUUUAGUGAUGUACCAUCCGGUAUGCUCGCUCGAUCCAUAUAUAUAGGACCCUUCAUAUAUUAUGGGUAAGCACAAUAUUAUAUGACAUGCAUGCACACAAACCAUACCCUCAGAUUCCUAUGUGAAAGGAGUUUGUGAUAAUACUUAUAUUAUAUGUCUCAUAUAUUAAUAACUUUAUCAUUGGUCAAAUGCUACCUCGAAAGACGUAUUAUGCCCUAUAUAUGUGGAUGGAGGGAGUAUCAUAUAAGUUUCAUUAUUGUAUCAACAUUCGAAUUUGAACUUAUUCAGAUCAUGUCCAAAAUUGAUCUUGUUUUAAAGAUUUAAAUGUCAUGGACCCAAAUCUGUGAAGGAUUAAAAACGGAUCAUUUGUUCAAAAAUUAAAAGUGCUACGAAGUGUGGAAUCAAACAAAAAAAAAUGGAUGAAUGAUUCUGGGCUGAAAGUAUAAAAUAUGUUGAGUGCAAUAAAUUCAUGUUGUCAAACACUUAUUGGGGCCUAGAAAAAAGGGAAAUCACAUGUGUUAAAGCAAAGUGAGUGAAAUACUUCGUAUCUGCAUUUUAUGCACACACAUCCCCAAACAAAAUGUGUGGCAUCGCAUUACACGGUAGACACCCGAACCGCUAGUUUUUUGUUUCCCUUUAAAGCCGACAUAUAAAUUGAGAUUCAAUUUCAUUGCGAACACCAUCGAAUCCAGUUCAACCGGUAAAAUGUUUGAGACACUCUUGCUAAGCUUUACUGAUCAUCGAGAACGCUUACAGGAAUGGAAGGAAUUUCCUCCGGUUGGCCUAACCAGACACGCAACCAACCCCAAGGUUUAAAGCAUACUUAGCAAGACCGCGAGCCUCGAAAUUCGAGCUCCUAAACUCAUGGACUAUAUUACAAGAAGAGAAACCCCUCGAACAUUCGAUUGUUUCAUGCACUAUAUAGCUCCAUGAGUACCUGAUGAUUUGUGCUUGAUGUCCUUCACCACCACAAGGCAAUCCAACGCGAUUUGAAUAUGUGCAACAUAAAGAUCCUCUACAAUUGCCAACCGUACCGCCAAGGCCUCAAGUGUAGUAGGUUGUAAAAUGUAUUGGAAGGUAAUUGCCUAUGCUCCUAGGAAGUUACCUCCAUGAUCUCUGUCAACAACUCCCACCGCUCCAUGAUAUCCAGUAGAUACAACAGCGUCCACAUUUAGGUUUACUUAACCCUUAGGUGGAAGCAGCCACCCUUGCUGCCCGACUUAUUUAAUCCACUCGCAUCAGGGGUUUUGCUCUCCAUGACGCUGAUGCCCCUAGGGAAGAACUUGACGAAAGCAUAGUUGAAAAGGGGGCUUCCAAAAUUUCUUCAUGUAUUGCCCUUCUUCCUGAUUGCCAGAUCGCCCAUAACCUGACCACCAUGCAUGUGGGUGAACUCACCGUGUGGUGGCUUGUCAUGCAUUUGGAACAAUUAGUCUUUCACAUUCAUCGUCAAAUUCUCAGUCAUGCAGUCAAUUGUUUCCUCCGAUGAUAGCGACCAUACGGCUCUUGCGAUAGCACAUAACUCACAAACUCGUGUAGUAGACAUGUGUCGGUGCUCCAACAGGUCCUCUUUAGGUAGUGAUUCAUGACAUAAUCUCUAAAGAAACACUUUCAGUUUGAGAAAGGUGUGAUAGCUCUCGGGUGCCUAGGCACCCUCUAUGAACAGUAAAAGGCACCCUCUAUGAACAGUAAAAAAAAAAUAGAAAAACAAAAUCAAAAAAAUCUGAAACUUUGCAGCAUCAACGAUGAUCGAACUUUGUAGGUUCCUACAAGUUUUCAUGUCAAAAUAUCAUGUAGAGAAAGAUGUACAAACAAGUUUCAGAUUACAGCUAAAAAGUGCUCAAAACUUCAAGCAUUUAAACAUUUUCUGUGUGUAGAGCUCCUCAAAUAGUUUUUUCGCAUGAAAACUUGCAAACACCUACAAACUUUCAUCAUCUUUGAUNUUUUUUUUAUUUUAUUUUCUAUUUCUUUUGAUUUUACUGUUCAUAGAGGGUGCCUAGGCACCCGGGAGCUGAAAAUCCACUAUCUUUCAGUUUUGAUGGUACUUUAAUGUUCCACAACGCUGACCAGUCACGAGCUUCUCUUAAUGCAUCAGAUUGGCCCCUCACUUGCUCCAUUACAUCUGCACUCUGAACUUUAAGCUUCAGCAAGAAUCUAUAGACCGAGCUCACUGAAAAUAAGCCUCUAUCAUCCUCUCCCCAUGCCCAAAAGUAAUCAAUCCUCCACGUACGCAACGGUAUUCUCAAGAUAAUUUCAGCAUCUGUCGAGAGGAACACAAGACACACCUUUUCUUGUCGCCAAGUAGCUGCCGAUGCAUGAGUUAGUUCAGAGACGAGCAAAGGUUUAUCAUUAACUAGGGCUACAAUUGGUUUCAUCAAACCAGACCGAGGCAAUCAGUUUUGCUCCCAAAUUCUUGUACAUUCUCCUGUACCAAUUCUCUUUAUUAAACCUUUCGACAAAGCUUCACUUCCAUCUAAGAUUGCCCUCCAAAUCUAAGAGGGUCCGUUUCCAAGUUUAAGUUCAAGUAGGGAUGUAAGCGGGAAGUACUUCGCUUGUAGAAUCCUUGCACUCAAAGUCAUGGGGUCUUGUAAAAUGUGCCAAGCUUGUCUAGCCAGGGGAGACAAAUUAAAAAACUCUAUAUCCCUAAGGCUGGUCAUAGUGGGGGUAUCAUAGCUAGUAACAUAGUCUUGGGACUAGCAAACAUGAUGAUGUGGCAAGUAAUUAAAGAAGAGAGAGGAUUAUAGUAACAUAGGUAGGUACCGUAACAUGUUAAAUGCUAUACUACUAUGUGUCAUGCAUAUCAAUAAAUGAGAUCACCUACGAUACUAGUUUAUGAUACUGUACACUAUAAAGGUAGUAUCAUACAAUAGUAACAUAUGCAUGAUACUACUAUAUGUUACUCUCCACUAUGAACAGCCUAAAGCCAAGUCCGCCCAAUUUUUUUGGCCUUGUACAGACAUCCCAAGAGAUCCAGCAAGGUUUUCUUUUCCCUCUCUUGCUGCCCCACCAAAACUGCAUGAUCAUGGACGUAAUACUCUCACAGAUGCCUCUCGGCAGUCGGAAACAAGACAUUGAAUAAACUGGAAUUGCUGGGGCAACUGCCUUUAUCAGAACUUUCUUGCCCCCGUAUGAUAAGAAUUUUUCCAUCCAUCCUUUAAUCUUUUCCCACACUCUAUCUCUCAAAUACUUGCAUGUCCCAUUCUUAGAUUGUCCCACAUCAGUAGGCAUUCCAAGAUACGUAUCAGUAAGUUGCUCAUCAUAAACAUGGAGGGUGUUCUUGAUGUUGUCUCUAACUGACUGAGGACACCCUUUGCUGAAGAAAAUACUCCCUCCGUCUAGAAAUACUUGUCCUAAAAAUUGAUAUAAUGAAUGUAUCUGUAACUAAAAUAAGUCUAGAUUCAUCCAUUUCUAGGACAAUUAUUUCCGGACGGAGGGAGUAGUAGAUUUGUUAUUAUUCACCCUCUGGCCUGAUGCAUUGCAAUAGAUAUUCAGGCUGGUCACAAUGGGGAAGAACUUAGCAGUAACAUCACACACUUCAAUACAACUUUGCUUAUGUGGCACAUAUUUAAUGAAGAGAGAGGUGCUUGUGGUAACUAGCUAAGUUACCGGAACAUCACACACUUCAACAAACAAUGAGUCUAUAGCCUAAUAAAUGCAUUGUUGCAUGACACUACAUUUAUGUUACUCCCCAUUGUGAAGGUAGGAACAUAGUCUAGAAAAAUGUGUAGGUUCCUACCUUAUGUUACUCCCCAUUGUGACCAGCCUCACCAGGUUUGACACAAUCAUUGCCCCUUCCGUACUUGCCUUGAAAAGCAACAUGGUAUCCUCUACGAAGAGCAAAUGGUUAACAACCGGGGCUGUCGUUUGCCACUUGUUGUAUGACGCCGCUAUGUGCCGCACGCGCCGACACCUAAAAACGACUCGUUGCAUGGGGCGGGAUGUAAGCCAGCCGAGUAACCAGCCGUUGCAUCAUGACAUCAUGCAUGUUUUUUCUAUUAUCUUCUCAUUUUUAUUUCCCUUUUUCCUUUCUCACUUUUCUUUCUAUUUCAUAAUAUUGUAAAUAUAUAUUAUACAAAAAUAAUUUAACAUAAGAAUUAAAAAAAUGUUAAUCAUGCAUUCAAAAUUUUAAUAGUGUAACUAAAUAUGUUAAUCAUAUGUAGCAAGAAUGUUUGUUACAUUAAAAAAAUGUAUGUAGUCUAUUUAAAAAUGUAUAUAAAACAUAAAUGCUGUUCACAUAAUUUUAAAAAUGUUUCAUACUUUAGAAAAACUGUAAGAAUGAUUUAAAAAAAUGUUUCACGAGUUUCCAAUAUGCUUUCUGAAAUUUUCAAAAGAAAUAUAUACAACGUAAAAAAAUAUACUGUACUAAAAAAUUGUACUACCUCCGAUCCAUAUUAACAAAAACCGGCGACUGAAGACCAUGCUUGUGAUGUUUUAAAAAUAUAUUUAUAUAGAGUAAAAAAUUGUCCCCAUAGGUUACAACAUUUAUUUCAUUAUAAAAAUGUGCAAGUUGUAUUUUGGAAAUAUGUUACUGUGUAUUCAUAACAUGUAUUUGAAUGAAUGUACAUCACAAACUUGAAAAUGAAUAAAGUGUAUCAUAAAAACAUUUGGCGAGUUCUCUAAAAAUGUACAAUUGUUUAGUAAAAUAAAGAAGAUAUAUGCGAAACAUGACAAAGAAAGCAAAAAAACGAAUGAAACAAAGAAAAAAGGAAAGAAUAAAUAAAUAAAAGUAAAGUAUAACAAAAAAAGAAUGAAAAAUCAAAGUAACCAAUAACAAAAUAAAAUAAAAAUAAAGGAAAUUCAUUAGAAAAAAAGUAAAACCAAAUAUUAAAGAAAAUGGAACAAAAAAGAAAAUUAAAACCAGACCUAUAGAAAUCUACAACGAAGAAAACCCAAAAACACAGCAAAAUGAAGAAAUAAAGAGAAGGCUAAGAAAACCAUAGGAACAACAAAUAAAACCUAAGAAAAAACCAAAAGAAGAAAAGAAAACAAGGAAAAUUGUAUCUACAGGAACGUACACCGUGCAACAAGGAAUUGGGCAUAGGCGGUUCCGGUUAGGUCAACUCCACCACACGAUCCCAAACGGACGUCCGGUUUGAUCGGAUUUUGUCCGUUUGGGACGAUAAUGGGUUCGCCCAUGUCCGCUUCUGUCCGUUGGAUCGUGCGUGCGGCCGCGCGGUCGCAUCCCAAAUCAUGUCCGUAUUGGACAUAAUUAAAAAAAGAAAAACUUAACUCAAAAGUGAAUAAACGAAGUUAAAAAACUUAAAACAUAAUAACAUUAACAUAAAAAAACGGUCCAGUUUUCACGGCCACAAAACGGCCCAGUUUGACAUAAUUAACAUAAUAAAAAAAGCCCGUCGAUACCGUGGUCGACGCCGUCUUCACUGGCCGCCGGUGUCGUCGUCGUCGCCGUUGCUGACGAGGUCGACGUAGGCCUGUGGUGUCGAGAGGUGGGUCAGCGGUCCCUGGUGCGCGGGGGCAGGCUGGAAGCUGGCAGGUGCCUGCAGCACCUCCUCCCGCGGCGAGGCGUCCCGCUCCGGUAACCGCAGCGGCGUGGGGCACCAAUUCAUGUCCCCCACUGCUUGCGCCAUCUCCGACGCGGUGCACGACCAGCUCCAUUGCUGGUCUGCCAGAUCCGGAGGGAACGCGGCCACCACCUCCUCUUCCUCCAUCUGCUUGGGGAUGGCGACGUCGCCGGCCGCAGAGUGGGCCAUCGCGUCCUCUAGGCCCGGCGAUUGGUGUUCAUCAUGGAGUCCUCCAUGACACGCUGCAUGAGCCGGGCCUCCUCCUCCUCCGGCAUGCGAGGAGGUGGAGGUGGUGAUGGAGACGGGGAAGGCGACGGCGUGGGCGUGAGGCCGUUCACCCGUGUACGCCCGCGCACCUCCCGUGACCGUCGCGGCUCCGAGACCGUGCCGGCGAAGUAGGAGGCGCGCCGCACGUCGUGCUCGUCCCUGAGCCAUGUGUCCCAGAGGGUGGAGUCGGCGGCGUACCUUUCGUCGUAGUACAGGUCAUCGGGGAAGAGGCGGCGGCGACGCUCGAUCUCAUCGCGACGCGCACGACCGCUCGUCGGCAUCGGCGGGAUCGGGACCCGGUCGGUGGAGAGGUGCCAUGUGUUGGGGAGGUGGACGUCGCUCCACGGGACCGGCAACCUCGUCUCCCUGUAGCGCCGGCAUACCUCAGCGCUGAGAUACUGCCGGUCGCGCUGGCCGGCGGGCCGAUGGUGAAGAGAGCGUUGGCUUGGCGCGGUGGCGAUGCGGCCUCCUCCUUCACGGAGCCGCGGCGGCGUCCCGACGAGGAGCCAGUCUCGCGGUCGUGAUUCCCCUUGCGGUCGUGAUUCCCCUUGCGGUCGUAGUUCCAGAGCCCCAUGGCUGCGAGGUGGCCGCCCGGCGAGUUCGAGGAGGAUAGGGUUUGGCUGUCGGGUUUCGAGGAGGCCGCGGGGUGGCGAUGAGAAGUGUGGACGACGACCGGUCCACGGCUUCCCCAUUUAAGAAGGACCGCGACCGUUCCCUGGGCGGAUGACAGGUGGGCCCGGUCGCUCGUGCGCAUUGAUGUGGGCGGGUGGGAGGUAGGUGGCCGCGUGCCACGCGGCCCCGACGCGAACGAGCGCGCGUCUGUUUGAUGUCUGCCGCGACCCAAACCCCGCGCAAGUUUGCGCUCGAAAUAGGUCGCCCCGGACACAAAACGGACAAGAUGGGUCCGGGCCGUCUCGCGCUGGGCCGACCUGUUUGUCCCUUUUACCCCGAACGAAUGGAACCAAAUAGGAUGGGGUCGUGCGGUGCAGUUGGCCUUAGGAAUCCAGGAACCUCCCAUUCGCCGCUUAUGUGGCAAGUUGUAGAGGUUUCGCACAGGGUGCCACGCACCUGGGCUGGCCCAUUUACGAUAGCUUCCUGAAAUAAAAUUUCAAAAACUGCUUGCAACAAGAAUCGAAGCCACAACCUGUCUCUCACAAACAUACCCCGCUAGCCAGCACAACUAACACGCCCAAGGUGAAACACAUACAACACGGAUCUUAAAGAAACUAAAAGUAGAGAAAAAAACAAAACGUAUUUUAUAAAAAAUAAUAUAAACUACAAAUAUUUUAUUGAAUUCAUGGACAAAUUAAGAAAAACAGGAACAUUUUUUGAAAUGGUGAACAAUUUCUCAAAACGUGAACAAAGUUUGAUAAAGUUGGACAAUUUUUAAAAAUGCGAACAAGAUCAAAUUUCUGAACAUAGUUUCUCAAAAAUAAGAAAACAAAUAAAUUUUUAAACAGGAGCAUUUUAAAAACUUUGAAUAAUUAUUUUUAGAAAAUUACAUGUUUUGAAAUUUGUAAAUGUUUCUUAAAUCAGCAACAUUUUUUCUACUUAUGUACCCUUUUUAAAACACGAACAUUUUCUAAACAAACGAACAUUUUUUCAAAGGCAAACAGUUUUUAGGAAAUGAAGAACAUUUUUUUAAAUGCCGGAACAAUUUUUUCAAAUUCUGAAGCUUUUUUUCAAUAUUCUGGAAUAUUUUUCCAAAUUUCAGAACAUUUUUUCAAAUUCCGGGACAUAUUUCCCAAAUUCCGGAACAUUUUCACAAAUUUCGGAACAUUUUGUAGAAAAAUACAAAACAUUUUGUUAAAAUUUUAAGAUUUUUGUUUUCAAAUUCCGGAACAUAUUUUCAAAUUCUAGAACAUUCUUUCAAAUUCUGCAACAUUUUUUCAAAUUAUGGAAAUUUUCCGAAUGCCAGAACGUUUUUUCAAACUCCAGAACAUUUUUCCAAAUUCUGGGACAUUUUUUAAAAAUCCGAAGAUUUGUUCAAAUUCUGAAACAUUUUUGAAACAGAAGCAGAAAAAAAAAGAAACAGAAAAAAGUAACCAGCAAGACCACCCGAACAUUUGUGAGUAACCAUGUUUUCCUUUUGUGUGCACCAGCAAGACCACACGAACAUUUGCUUCUUUUUAAAGAUGAACUUACUUUACAAAAAUAACCAUAGAAAAAAGUAAAAAUAAAAAAAUAUAAACAGAAAAAACAAAAAAAUAAGGAAAAAAUAAACAGAAAAAAGAAGCAAAACAGGAACUGCCUGCAGAGGGCGAUGGGCCGAUUUUCUGACGCAAUGAGCGUUAAAUAGGGUUUUCCAGGAAUCUUUACAGGCAACAUACAGCCCGUGGGCCUCAGUGCCUCGCAAACCCUAUUCGCCGCUCUGUCCGAAAACAUACAGGCAACAUAUAGCCCGGAGGCCUCAGAGAACAUUUUUAAAUGGCUGGCCCGUUAGCCGGGGUUGCAGUCCCCGGUUUUAGGAACCUUUCAGAAGUUUUCAGUUGGUUUUUCCUGGUUUUAGAAAACUUUUAUUAGGUUUCUGUACUAGUUUUUUCGAUUUCAUUUUUAUUUAUCAUUUUCUAUUUUUCUGUUUUUGUUUUAAAAAAAUUUGAUUCGCAUGAAAUGUUUUUUCUAUUUUUUAAAAAUGUUCUAGAUUGAAAAACAAUAUUCUGUAUUUUUCAAAAUGUGUUCUUUGUUUCAAAAUUUAUUCUUAAGAUUCAAUUUUUUCUCAGUUUCAAAAAAUCUUCGUGCUUUUAAUUUUUUUUCGAGCUUCCAAUUUUGUUUCGGGUUUUUCGAAUUUGUUCUCAGUUUCAAAAAAAAAAAUCUCAAUAUUCAAAAAAUGUUCGGGCUAUAAAAAAUUGUUCGCACUUCCAAAUUUGUCUAUGUUUUCUUUAAAUUGUUUUCGGUUUCAAAUUUUUUUUCAAAAUUCAAAAAAUGUUCGUGCUUUAUUUUUUGGGGGGGUUUCAAAAUUGUUCUUCUUUGUAAAAUUUUAUUUUCAAGAUUGAAAAAAUGUUCACCAAAUUCGAAAUUCGUUCAAGUUUUUUAAAUUGUUCUUCAAAUUCGAAAUUUGUUGACGUUGUUUAUUCUACAAACAAAUUUUGAAUCUGAGAACAUUUUUGAAUUGUGUAUAAAUUUUAAAACAUGAGAAAAUUUCAAAUUCAUGAACAAAAUUAUAUAUUUUGAACAUUUUUCGAAUUUGAAGAUUUGUUUUGAAAAUAAAGAACAUUUUUGUAAACUCAAGAAUAUUUUUUGAAAUUCCAAAACAUUUUUUGAAACAGAAACAAAAAAAAGGAAAAAUCGGUUUAGGGAACCUUCUAGAAGUUUCCCAAAACUAGAAAAACUCGGCUAGGAACCUCUAGAAGGUUGCCAAAACGGGGACGCUGCAACCCGCUAAAUGAGCCUGCCCAUUUAAAACCACUCCACUCCCCUCCCUCUGCGAAGCCCCGACACCGUUUUGCAUAGAGCGGCGAAUAGGGAAUUUCCGUGAAACUGGUUGGCGCACCCGCAGAACGAAAUUCUACACCUACUAUGGGCAUCUACAACCGGACCCCUAAAACCCUCCUCAAACGCUCGGGCAGGCCGUCCGGUCAAUGCCUGGUCACAAAAAAUUGAUCCACACGGGCCUCUAAAACCGUCCUCAAACACCCGGGCAGACCGGCACCCCACAUUUCUAAUUCAAAUAUGGGGCGGAUAUGGGGCACCCGCCACGUCAGAGCCGACAGCCCGACCCUACCAUAACUUGCACCAAAUCCAGCCCACAGAACUACGGGAUACAAUUCCUGUUUUCCUCUCUUCUUCCUCCACGCGCCGUCCUUCUCGCAGCUCCGCCGCCGUGCGCGCUCCGUCGCCUAGUAGCUUAUGCCACCCCAGCCACUCGGUGAAAGGGAUCAUCCCUCCCAACCUCUCCGUGCGGAACGUCGUCGCCGUUCAAGAAGACACCGCGGUACGUCCAACAACUUUGUGGCUGUGCCUUGUGUCGUAUGUGUUCAAUAGAAUCUCUGACCGGAUUUGUUGGUCAAAUUUUUAGGAGAAAUGAUGGAUUCCGAUGCUUCAUCCGGCGAGGAGUAUGGACAUGGAAGUGGAGCACAUUCUCAAUUUCAAAGGCUCAAUCAAAUGAAGAAGAGUCAUCGAUCGGGAUAGGGUAUCCGGAGCAAAGCUACUGCAGAAGGAUUACUUUGAUCGUGAUUCAAUUUUCGCGGCUGAUACAUUUUUUCGUCGUCGUUUUCGCAUGCGAAACCAUUGUUCUUACGCAUUGUGGAGGAAGUGGAGGCACACAAUGACUACUUCAAGCUCAUAAAGGAUUGUUGCGGUCAACUCUCAUUCUCUGUCAAGCAGAAGUGCAGGGCUGCUAUGAGGAUGCUUGCACUUGGUACUGUGGCUGAUGCUGUUGGUGAGAUGAUCAGGAUGGGGGAGAACACAUGCCUGAAAACUACUAUCAAGUUUGCCCGUGCUGUGGUGGAGGUGUUUGAAGCAGAGUAUCUGAGAGAGCCAAAUGCACAGGACACGAAGAAGUUGUUGCCAAUUGGAGAGGCGAGAGGGUUUCCAGGAAUGCUCAGAUCAAUCGAUUGCAUGCAUUGGCAAUGGAAAAACUGUCCCAAAGGUUUGCGAGGAAUGUACCAAGGUCACGCAAAAGAGGCCACCAUCAUACUAGAUGCGGUGGCAUCACAUGACUUACGGGGUGCAUUUGUGAAGACCAUAUCUGAACCACAUGGGAGAAAACAAAAGCACUUUGCAACAAUGCAGGAAUCAGCUAGGAAGGAUGUGGAGAGGGCUUUUGGAGUUCUGCAAGCACAUUGGGGAAUGGUCCGUAGGGCUGCAAUGAUUUAGAAACAAGAAACUUUGUAGCAGGUGAUGACAUGAUGUGUUAUUUUGCACAUUAUGAUCGUCGAGGAUGAGGAUAAUGAUGUAGCCCAAAUCAACGAUUUUGAAACACCUAGAGUACAAAUUGAAAUCACUGAAGAUCAAGAUGCAAUGCAGCUUAUGAAUUUUCUGGAGAUGCAUCAGAAUCUCCGAGAUCAUCACGUGCACAUGCAACUACUCAAUGAUAUGGUGGACCAUAUGUGGGCCCAUAAUGGAAAUCAAAGAGCAGGUGAUUGAUUGUGCACUUCAAAUAAAAUUGAUCUAAAUCUUUUUGGGUUUUUUUAUUUCUGUGCCCUUGGUUCCUCAGCCAUACUCAUUCAUCCCCACACUCUUAACUUUUGCUCACUUUUCCCUAGUCCCUUGGCCGAAACCCUCAGAACUGGUCACAAACGAUGGAUGCCGUCGGGUCAGUGCUUUGACCGUUAACUCUGACGAGUGGGGCAGCGCUCACUGUGUCGCCCGUUGGACCUGAUGAGUGGGGUCGCGGUGGACGGUGCCGCGGUUAUCCCGUUGGGUCGUGGUUAGAAUUGGGUCGUGCGCGCACCGCAACGACAGAAGUCUAUUAUGCAUGCACGACAUGUCCAACUAGCCUGCAUGCAUGCACGUAGCUAGCCUACGUGCAUGCGCCGCCGCCCGCCGCCACGAUGCACUGACCGGCCUCUUUUUCCCGCGAGCCGCCACGGACCCUGACCGGUCUCAUUUGCUCGCAAGCCGCCACGGACGCAGGGACAGUUGCUGCCGCUGGUUCGUAUCAUCUCCCACACUUGUCUCCUCGAUGUAGACCAUUGUUUCACACUUUUCGAUCCACUCACAUCUAUUCAACGUGGCAAUUGAAACUUGUUGGCAAUUAAAGUGGCAUAUCGACCGACGCGACUCGCUUGAACGCAACAAAUCCAAAGCGCGGUCGGUGCCACUCCCCUUCCCUUCCCCUUUCCCUAUUUAAACCACCACCCCUCCACCUAUUCUCCACACAUCCAUUUGCGCCGCCCCCUUCACCCAAACCCAGAGCACUCUCAAAGCGAGGCGAUGAUGCAGUAUAACGGCCCCACCUUCGAGCUCCCACCGACCGUGCCGGAGAGACGGUAUCCGGCCGGUGUCGUCGUGGAGAGGAUGCUCCACGUGUGGGCGUUCUCACGCUAGAGGGGUGCAAGGGGGUUUGCUGAGUGGUUUCUCCGUGUGGGCUUCACCCACCUCCCGGCGGGCUCGCCGGUGAUAUUUCAACUGGAGGAAGUGCGUCCAAACUCCAGGACUCCGCCGAUAGGGUUCACCGUCACCUUCACCAACAGAUUUGAUGCAUACUACCUCCUCGGCAAGGUGUUUUGUUGUGGAUGUGAAUUCAUCGCAUUCACAACCCACAACAUCUUCACAAACUUCAACUUCAUCUUCCCCACCCGCGAUGGUAUGCACAACCUCCCCUACUACAUCGGCCAGGACGACAUGGAGAGGGAGCAGUGAAGAGAAGGCACAGUGAAGAUGGUGGUGAAGUCCCGGUCUCGAUCGUGAGCUUAUCUUGCCCUAGGGUGUUAGUGUUUUCUAUCUUUUAUAUAUUUCUAUCUUAAUUACGUCGUUAGUUGUACCGUGAACUUUUGAUCUCUGUCGUGUUAUCCCAUAAUAACUUUGUUAUGCUUGCUACCCUUAUUUGAUAGGGAAUCCCUAUUUGAUAUGGCGUUGGUUAUCAGUGUUUUUGCUUGCUAUUUCUAUCUUAUUUGACGUGAGAUAAAUCGCUAGAUGGAUAUGGUGUCGUACACGAGCCCUUCUGCUAAAUCAACCAAUGAUUGAGUAUUCCUCAAUGAAAACCAACAAGUUUUCGCCCAUUCAGAGUAGGGUCAAGUUUUCGAACGCGCGGAUAAUGGAGUAGUUGAAGUGUCAAAAAGGAAACUAAAGCUAUAAAAAUUAGCCAUGUUGAUGUUGAAAAUAAUAAGAAGAAAAGCUAAUUUUUUUGAAUUGUUGGUGGCCCUAUUCCGUAUAUUGUAUGAAGUAUGCUAUGGUUGCUACUUUUUAUGUUAUGGAUGUAUGCUUGCUACAUGAUAUAUCGGUCGAUAGAUAUGGUGCCGUAGCCGAGCCGUAGACAAGCUCUCUAGAUGGAUAUGGUGUCAUAGCCGAGCCUAGACAUGCUCUCUAGAUUGAUAUGCUGGCUAAUGGUGCCACUAGACUUUAUUUUAGAUGUGGUUUCAGAUGGAUAUCAUGAUCUACAUAAUUAAGUCUGACAUGUUCUUAAUAAAAAACAAAAACAAAAAACCGUGUAUACAAUAUUUUUCUUGCAACAAAAACUUGUUUAUAAUACCCGAAGUCAAAAAAUGAAAGUGUUGUGCCAUAGGCAAUAUACAUAAGGAAAUUGCCAUGAUAUGUAUAAAUAAAUUUGACAUGUGCAAGUCCAAUAAUAAAUCGAUUUACCAUCAUGCACUAUUUUUGAUCGGCAUGGCAAUAAAUGGAUUUACCAUGGUAAUAAUCAAGGGAAAAAACAGAGCCAGCGUGUGGGCCUUCGACACUCAACGGAAUGAGACGGCCCAACAGAGCUUAGUUUCAAUUUGGACCCUAGAACUACGGUUUUUUUCUGCGGUCGGUGUUGUCUGACGAAACGGAAAAAACUGAAAGUGUACAAAACUGACGAAACUGACGGGUGCCCGAAACUGACAUGAUCCACAAAUUAAGCAACACAGAACAUAGAGCACAUGAUCCACAAAUUUAAGCAAAUCGUAGAGCACAUGAUCCACAAAUUUAACCAAAUCCUAGAGCACAUGACACCACACUAAUAACAUCUCUAACGAGUGAUGACCAGCAAGUAAGCAAAUCCUAGAGCAACUACACAAAAAUAAAAGGGAUAAAAUGCUAAAGCUAUCAGAUUCGCUUGCUUGUUCAAUUGAAUCAUCUGCGUCAAGUUCUUGUUCAUCUUCUUUAUUUUCCCCUUCAGAUCUGCAUCCCCAACUGUCAGAGCAGCAUUUUCAGAGACCAAAUUCGUUGAUGUUGAUGGCAGAUUGAGCUCCCGGGUUGGGGCCCCAUUGAAUUGAAUCCGCUUAACGUUGUCAUCCAGCCAUUCAAAAUGUGUGCAUUUCUUCACGAUCUGAAACGAAAACAUGAACCCUAAAUCCCAGAUUGAAAAAGAGUUAAAAGCAAAUAGAAAAAGAAAUCAGAGAAAAAUCAUGAGAUCUAACCUGCCCCUCUGGCUUGCUCUCGCAUUUCACGAACUCGCGCCCAUAGUUGCCAUUCUUGACCUCUUUCGAAGUCAACUGUAUCAGUGGCGCGCUGCGUGGGCAGUCAGGACAUCGCUCCAUGGGAAGUGGACCAUACUGGGUCCACGAGGGGCGGGAGGCUGAAGUGGAGCUCGACAUAUCGCCCAAAGUUGCCGGAGAACAAGAAGCAGAGGAGUGGCUCCUCUCGUCGCCGGAGAAGAAGAAGCAGAGGAGGAGUGGCUCCUAUCAUCACUGCAGAAUAAGCACCAGAAUAAAGGGGGUACCCGAAGAAAGGGGAGGCACAACCAACAAGUCUCGCGGAUCGCCCCACGAUCCAAUGAUGCUGAUACGUCCAUUUUGCAUCAUGCUUUCAUGUUGAUAUUUAUCGCUUUAUGGACUGUUAUAUUACUUUGUGGUACCAUACUUAUGCCUUUUCUCUCUUAUUUUGCAAGGUUUAUUUGAAGAGGGAGAAUACCGGCAGCUAGAAUUCUGGACUGGAAAAGGAGCAAGUCUGAGUCCUCUAUUCUGCGCAACUCCAAAUGCCCUGAAAAUCAAUGUGGAAUUUUUUGGGAAUAUAUAAAAAAAUACUAGACGGAAAAAGUGCUAGAGGGGAGCUACCAGGGGCCCACAAGCCUGGUAGCCUCCACCUACCCCCCUAGCGGCGGCUACAGGGCUUGUGGGCACCCUGGUGGCCCACUGCUCCCCCCUCUUUUGCUAUAUGAAGGGUUUCGUCCGAGAAAAAAAAUCAGGGUGGAGAUUUUUCGUGGAUUCUCCGCCGCCAUGAGGCGGAACUUGAGCAGAACCAAUCUAGAGCUCUGGCAGGACGAUCCUGCCGGGGAAACUUCCCUCCCGGAGGGGGAAAUCAUCGCCAUCGUCAUCACCAACACUCCUCUCGUCAUAGGGGAGUCAUCUCCAUCAACAUCUUCAUCAGCACCAUCUCCUCUCCAAACCCUAGUUCAUCUCUUGUAACCAAUCUCCGUCUCGCGACUCCGAUUGGUACUUGUAAGGUUGCUAGUAGUGUUGAUUACUCUUUGUAGUUGAUGCUAGUUGGAUUAUUUGGUGGAAGAGUUUAUGUUCAGAUCCUUGAUGCUACUCAUUACACCUCUGAUCAUGAUUUUGAUUAUGCUUUUUGAGUAGUUACUUUUGUUCUUGAGGACAUGGGAUAAGUCUUGCUAAUAAUAGUCAUGUGAAUUUGGUAUUCGUUCGGUAUUUUGAUAUGCUGUAUGUUGUCUUUUCCUCUAGUGGUGUUAUGUGAACGUCGACUACAUAACACUUCACCAUAUUUGGGCCUAGAGGAAGGCAUUGGGGAGUAGUAAGUAGAUGAUGGGUUGCUAGAGUGACAGAAGCUUAAACCCUAGUCUAUGCGUUGCUUCGUAAGGGGCUGAUUUGGAUCCACUAGUUUAAUGCUAUGGUUAGACGUUGUCUUAAUUCUUCUUUCGUAGUUGCGGAUGCUUGCGAGGGGGGUUAAUCAUAAGUGGGAUGCUUGUCCAAGUAAGGGCAGUACCCAUGCGUCGGUCCACCCACAUAUCAAACUAUCAAAGUAACGAACGCGGAUCACAUGAACAUGAUGAAACUAGCAUGACAAAUUCCCGUGUGUCCUCGGGAGCGUUUUUUCUCCUAUAAGACUUUGUUCAGGCUUGUCCCUUGCUACAAAAGGGAUUGUGCCACUUUGCUGCACCAUUGCUACUCUUGUUACUUGUUAAUUUUCACUUGCUACGUUUCACCUCAUUACACCAUCACUUGUUACCGCUACUUUCAGUGCUUGCAGUUAUUACCUUGCUGAAAACCGUUUAUCAGAGCCUUCUGCUCCUCGUUGGGUUCGACACUCUUACUUAUCAAAAGGACUAUGAUUGAUCCCCUAUACUUGUGGGUCAUCAAAACUCUUUUCUGGCGCCGUUGCCGGGGAGCCAAGUGCCUUUGGUAAGUGGAAUUUGGUAAGGAAACAUUUAUAUACUGUGCUGAAAUUUAUUGUCACUUGUCACUAUGGAAACUGUUCCUUUGAGGAAUUUUCUCGGGGUAUCUUCACCACGAACGGAAGCACGAGGAGUUGCUCCUCAACCCGAGGUACCUACUGAAAAUAUCUUUUAUGAAAUUCCUUCGGGUAUGCUUGAGAAACUGCUGGCUAAUCCUUCUACAGGAGAUGGAUCAUCACAUCGAGACUUGCAUCUAAUCUAUGUAGAUGAAGUUUGUGGUUUAUUUAAGCUUGCAAGUUUGCCCGAGGAUGAGGUAAAGAAGAAAGUAUUUCCUUUAUCUUUGAAGUAUAAGGCGUUGACAUGGUAUAGGCUAUGUGAUGAUACUGGAUCAUGGGACUACAAUCGGUUGAAGUUGGAAUUUCAUCAAAAGUUUUAUCCUAUGCAUUUAGUACAUCGUGAUCGGAAUUAUAUUUAUAACUUUUGGCCUCGUGACAGGGAAAGCAUAGCUCAAGCUUGGGGGAGGCUUAAUCAAUGCUAUAUUCAUGCCCCAAUCAUGAGCUCUCGAGAGAAAUUAUCACUCAAAACUUUUAUGCUCGACUUUCUCAUGAAGAUCGUACCAUGCUCGACACUUCUUGCACCGGUUCUUUUAUGAAGAAGGAUAUCGACCACAAGUGGAAUUUAUUGGAAAGAAUCAAACGUAACUCUGAAGAUUGGGAGCUUGAAGAAGGUAAGGAGGCAGGUAUGAAUUUCCAGUUUGAUUGCGUUAAAUCUUUUGUUGAAACAAACACUUCUAGAGAUUUUAGCACUAAGUAUGGACUUGAAUCUGAGAUAGUAGCUUCUCUAUGUGAAUCUUUUGCUGCUCAUGUUGAUCUUCCCAAAGAGAAGUGGUUUAAGUAUCACCCUCCUGUAGAAGUCAACAUAGUUAAACCCAAUCUAGUUGAAGAGAAAGUCAUUGCCUUUAGUGAUCCUAUUGUUCCUUGUGCCUACGCUGAGAAACUACCUUACUGUCGUGGGUAUAAGUCUGACAGUAGAUGUGUAGGGUACGAAAGGAUGGGCAGAGCCUUAGCUACGGCGAGGUUGUAUGAGUUCAGGCCCCUCUACGGUGGAGGUAAAAGCCCCACGUAUCAGUGCUCUUGGGAGCUUGAUGUCGAGUGGAAUAUGGAUUACAGUGAAUUGCUAACCCCUGCACCAGUGGGGAAGGGUGACUUAUAUAGAGUGCGCUGCCCUUCACAACGGUUCGGUGCACACGGGUGGAGUAGUGGCGAUUAAAUGUCUAAGUUACAGGUAACGUAUGCCUUAAAUGCUAAUAAAGGUACAUGAAAACGUAUGACCGUUGCCCUCCAGGGGGGUUACGAUGUACAGAGUGGAAUCCAGUCGGUAAGUUUGAUACGCUCCGAAUGCUCAUCUCCGAGUGGAUGAUGGAGGAAUCGUCACCGACUGGAUGAUAGGAAGUCCUUAAUUCAGUCGGAACUGACUAAGGGCCUUGUCUCUUAUGAAGGGUAGUCCUUGGGUAGGACCUAUAGGGCAGGCCUAUGACCUUACCCUAGGACUAUAACCCCAUCAUUAGUCCCCGAAUGGAUCGGGGUUGGAACGACGAAGCGAUGCUUGGAGUACGGAUCCGACUGGUAUGGAUGCGACUUUUGCGUUGUUUGCCUCGAUCCAUUUUAUCCUCUUGACCAGUGAUACGAGUGGAUAUAUCUGUGAAAUGAACCGUCAGAGACCGAGUGCUUCCGUGGAAUCUUUUGACGUGACCAAUCAACUGACAGCGGCGGAUUUUCUGGGAUCCUCAAAUUUCGGUUGCCGCGCGCUCAGCGGGGAUGACGACAUCGUCAUCGAGUAGUAUCUGUCGCCUAGAUUUCUCCUCCACUAAUAUCGCAGCAACCGGUCGGGGGAUAUGAUUUCGGGGCCACCUGCUAGUGACCCAGUCGGAACCUUAUUUAAACCUCUUCAGCGAGGGUUUCUCGUUGCACUCGCGUGAUAACUCGCACUCGCCCGGCUUCUCCCAUGGCUUCCUGCGCAUCCCAAGCUCCUUCUUUCUUCUCCUCCUCCGCGGAUCUGCAGCCUCCACCAUGACGAAGGGGCAGACGAGCAAGCUCGAGGCGGAAGAAGAAGAAGACGGCGGCUCCCGCUCAAUGGCGACAGCGGGCACUGCCGGCGGGUUGGAUCCAGGGGGAUUUCCUCCUCUCCACGGUGACGAAGAGCGACAUGCUGGAGCUGGUGGAGCAAGGCAUGAUCGAGAACAAGACGUGGAGGCUGCCGGCGGAGGGCGAGACGGAGCCGGCGCCCCAGGAGGGGGAGUGCGUCUUGCUGCUCAGUCACGUGUACCGAGGCUUCUCUCUGCCUCUUCAUCCCUUCUUCAGAGGUAUAAUGAACCACUUCGGGGCGCAGCUCCACCAUUUUCCUCCCAACGCAAUAGCUCAUCUCUCUGCCUUCGUCGUGCUUUGCGAGUGUUUUAUCGGUUGUCCUCCCCAUUGGGGGCUCUUUAAGCACAUCUUCUCCGCUAGAUCCCAAACCAUCAAAAGACUUAGCCAGUCGGACGACAAAACUCAUCUCCUCCAGCUCUGCGGAGGCUUAGGCUUCCAGAAGAAAAGCAAAAGUAGCUAUCCCGCUCUUCAGUUGUCUGAAUCCCUUAGGAACUGGCAGUCGACUUGGUUCUACUGCCAGGACGUCGCUUGUCCGAAUGCCGCAACUGGACUGCCACCUUUUAACCUAGACCGACCGGCUCCGCCUAGGCAACUUGCGCUCACGAAGAUGGAAAAGAUCCCGAUUCAGCCUCUGGUCGACGCGCUGGUAGAUGUCGCCCGCAAGGGAGUCACCGGCAUAGAUUUGCUGGAGGUUUUUCUGGGUCGGCGUAUCCAGCCUUUGCAAGCUCGACACCAUGCCAUGUGGCACUACACGGGGCCUGAGGACUCCACUCGGACUCACCCCGAGUGCGUGACCGGGGAGGUUGUGACGGCGUGGGUCCGCGGCAUCACAGGCGCCUGCGAUAACCCCAGAGGAGCCCGGCGAGUGAAGCCUUUCCGCGCGGACAACCCUCCUCCGAAUGAGGUGAGUAUACCUUGCCGAGUGCUUACAAUUCCCUUAGAUUUGCCGCUUUUUCUUGCAUCACUGUGUGACGUCUGAUGUUGUCGACUGUAUCUUGUGCAAGCGUGGACUAACUGGUAUUCCCCCGUCUCGAAUGGGAAUCCGGCUGAGGAAGAGGAAGGCAGCCAGGAAGGCAGCAUGGAGAGCGCCGAGUAUGUCUCAAACAGUGGGGAGACGGAGGAGUCCGAAGAAGAGGAGGGGGAGGAUGAGGAGCAGAGCUCGCCACCCCCACCACCAGAGCCUCGAACUAAGCGCCGUCACGAACCCGUGACUCCGUCGGCUCCUCCAGCGGCCCCGAGUGCCCCGUCAGCUCCCGUGACUCCGUCGGCUCCUCCAGCGGCCCCGAGUGCCCCGUCAGCUCCUCCCGUGGUUCCGAGCGCCUUGCAAGCUACUUCCGUGGUUCCGAGUGCUCGGAUCACAAAGAAGACCAGGGACUCUGCUGCUGAGCCCGUGGGCCAGCCUUCUAAGGUGGCCAAACCGAGUGGAUCCAAGCCUCGGAAGGCUUUGCCGUGGAUGAGGAUCGCCGUUCCCGUUGCCUCAGCGUGAGUGUAUUGUUCUCCUAUCUUCUUCUAGUAUUUGAUUGAACUCAUGCUUAUUGGUCGAGUGAAUUUUACUCGACAGAGCUGCCACCUCUGCCACUUCUCUGCCACGCUAGGAAGACGAUCCCAUGGAUACGGACAACGUUGCCACAUCCGAUCAAGGUACGUCGUGGCGACUCCGAGAGCUUACAUUAUUGUUUCACGAAUUCUGUCUUUGAUCUUGCCCUUGUUCCUGUGGUCUCACGUCGUUCGUUCGGGCUUCCUUCAGAGGUGAUUCAUGUGGAGGAGGACGACCAGAAGAGGUCCGAGCAAGCUGCGGUGCCUGUCCUUGAGGUUGUUCCAUCUGCUACUACUCCCGCCAUGGACGCGCCGUCAGCCGAGAUGAUGCCGUUGACUGAAACGGCGCUCAUCGCUGCUGAACCGACUGGAGCAGGACUUGGGAUGCCCAAGGAGUCUCUUGUUGUGCCAGGUCCGUCGACCGUCCAGUACGAUGCCCAACGCCUCCGGAAGAUCAGGUGGGAGCUGCCAAGGGGGCCAUGGUGCAGGCGGAGUUGAUGGCGGGUGAUGCCAAGAGAGCGUACGACUCCAUCGCGUCUGUGUACAAACGAAGCUUGGAACUCCGGGACGAUAUCCGAGUAAGUGGGCUAGUAAGUAUUUACUUUCCUCUUGUAACCCACUCGGUGUUUAAGCAAUAUACUCGGAUGCAGUAUGAUUAUUUUGUGGUGGGUUCACUCUUAGUGAACCCAGUGGGUGUAGUCCCCGAGACUUCUGUCGAGUGCUUGCACCGACAGUUGUCUUUAUAUACAUUUUCUUUAACUUGAUCAGAUCAAAACUAAUCUGUUCGAAUGUUACCGGUGGGGGCACUCCGAGUGCACCUACUGGAAGUAGUCCCCGAGAGUAAUUUUACUCAGGUCGGGUAGUAGUAGCCUCAUAGGCUUGUAUUUGUUAUUUAACUCAAUAGGGAGGACCUGUUUGAGCUUCAUGGCAGUGGGGUCACUCUUAGUGAACCCACUGGGUGUAGUCCCCGAGGCCGCUGUCGACUGCUUGCGUCGGCAGGGGUCUGAAGAACUUCGAGCUUUUAUUGUUUUCCUUGUUGAAUUUGUCUGAUCUUCUCUUCGCGCUGAUUUGCAGAAGACUUGCGAGAUGGGAUCAGCGUACAACGCUCUGAAGGCUGAAAAGAUUCAGCUUGCUGCGGAACUGGAGGCAGCUGUUCAUGACUUGGCUGGUGUGAAGGGCGCUCUGGCUGAACGAGAGAAGUCCUUGGAGGAGUCCCUUGAGGCAAACAAGGCAUUGGUGGCCGAAAUGGAGAAAAGGGGAAACAAAGAACCGAGCUGAUGGGACAGAUGAAGGUGAUGAACAGGCGGUGCAUAUCACAGGAGAAGUUCUGUUUUUCCGAGUGCUUCUUGACUUCGUAUUUCAUGAUGCGCUUACUGUCUGCUUGUCUUGUCUUUGCAGAUUUUUGUAUGGACGCUGAGGCUGAAGCAGCUGACGUUGAGCGGUCGGUUAUUCCGAACGUUCCACUCGGUGACGACGCCAAUCGAGACAUGCUCCGAGCGCACAUUCUCCUGGGCAAAGUGGGACCCUUCGUCGGUCGCCUGAGAGAGGUCGUCGGCCGAAUCGACAAGGAGCUGUGGCCCGAAGACGAGUCCCGGCGGGAGAUGGAAGGGUUGAUGACUCGGCUGGAGGACGUCCCGAACCGAGUGCAGGUGUGGAAGAAGUCUGCUGCUAGCUGUGGUGCGGACGUGGCGCUGUCGCUGGUCCGAGUGCACUGCAAGGAGGCUCACGAAGAGAAGCUGAAGGCGCUGCAGGUCGCUAACACCAAGAAGCUUCGAUUCGAAGAUUUCAUGGAGACCUUCCUUGAGAGCGCCACUCGCAUCGCAGACGGGAUCGACCUCGACACUUUCAUGGAGACUGCCAGUCCCAGUGCCAGUCCUGACGACGCUUGAAAAAACUUUACCUCGGUAUGCCGAGUGGUAGUUGUAUCAAACUUUGGCCACUGCUGUUGGCCGUCACGUUCGUGGUUCGGUGUGGAUAAGCUUGAUCUACACCGAACCGACUAUCUUUAAACCAACUUUGAAUUUGAAUCUAAUAUUUUGCUCUUCCUUUGCCAAAUAAUUGUUGACACGAUUUUGGCUCGUGGUUUUUGUUUGGCGUUUCUUGGUGAAGCCAGUGGCAAACAUGCGGAGCAUGUAGUUGUCAGUUGUCUUGACAUCUGCAUGAGCCUCAAUGAGGGUCUGCUAAGUCUCCGAGUGGAUCUCUAGGAUACACUCGAAGGCAAUUGUUUACUUAGGCGAUUCGUGAUCGCAGCUAAGUCUUCGAGCGCGACUGUAAAGUCGUACUUGGAGCGAGUUGCUACUCAUGUAAUUGUCAGUUGUCUUGACAUCUACAUGAGCCUCGAUGAGGGUCUGCUACUCAUGUAAUUGUUAGUUGUCUUGACAUCUACAUGAGCCUCGAUGAGGGUCUGCUACUCAUGUAAUUGUUAGUUGUCUUGACAUCUACAUGAGCCCCAAUGAGGGUAGUUGCUAACCUCCAAGUGGAUCUCUAAGAUACACUCGAAGGAAGCUUUUUUACUUAGGCGAUUCUUGAUCGCAAACAAGUGUCCGAGUGUGACGGUUAGAGCGUACUCGGAGAAAGUUGUUGUUUAGGCGAUUCUUGAUCGCAGCUAAGUCCACGAGUGCGACGGUUAGUGCACACUCGGAGAAAGUUUGUACUUAGGCGAUUCUUGAUCGCAGCUAAGUCCCCGAGUGCAACGUUUAGUGCACACUCUGAGAAAGUUUGUACUUAGGCGAUUCUGGAUCGCAGCUAAGUCCCCGAGUGCGACGUUUAGUGCACACUCUUUUUUUUGAGACCGGAGUCUGCGAACGCGGAAGAAUUUUGCAUCUGCAAAAACUCAAUCUGCUUUGUAUUACUUCAAUGAUACUUGUUCUUUACAUUACUUCAGUCGACGGUCACGUGUAGAAGCGCUUCAGGAGAUCUCCGUUUCAUGCUCUCGGCUCGUCCAUUUCCCUGUCGAGGUUGUAGAGUCGAUAUGCUCUGUUGUUGAGCACCUUGGAGAUGAUGAAGGGUCCUUCCCAGGCGGGAGCCAACUUGUGAGGUCUCUGCUGAUCCACUCGGAGCACCAGGUCGGCUGCUUGGAAUGUACGACUCCUGACAUGUCGCACGUGAAAGCGCCGCAGAUCUUGUUGAUAAAUGGUUGAGCGAGUCAGUGCCAUCUCGCGCUUUUUCUCUAGAAGAUCCACUCUGUCUUGCCUUGCUUGCUCUGCUUCAGCUUCGGAGAAGAGUUCAACUCGUGGAGCGUUGUGAAGCAAAUCACUCGGAAGGACUGCCUCUGCUCCGUAAACGAGGAAGAACGGGGAUCGCCCUGUAGAUCUAUUUGGGGUUGUGCGGAGACCCCACAACACCGAAGGCAGCUCGGUGACCCAUGCGCCGGUAGCAUGUCCCACUUCUCGCAGGAGUCGAGGCUUCAAACCUUGCAGAAUAAGUCCAUUCGCCCGCUCUGCUUGCCCGUUUGUUUGGGGAUGCGCCACAGAUGCAAAAUCCACUUGGAUACCUUGGCCUGUACAGAAACCUUUGAAUCUGUCCGAGUCAAAGUUUGUGCCAUUGUCAGUGAUUAUGCUGUGCGGUACCCCGAAUCUGGAGAUGAUGUCCGUGACAAACUUGAUGGCUGUAAGGGCGUCGAGCUUCUUGAUGGGCUUGGCUUCAAUCCACUUUGUGAACUUGUCGACUGUCACCAACAGAUGUGUGAAUCCUCCUUGGCCUCUCCUGAAUGCACCGACUGUAUCUAAUCCCCACACUGUAAACGGCCAAACAAGAGGGAUUGUCUUCAACGCAGAUGUUGGCUUGUGGGACUUGUUAGAGUAGAACUGACAGUCUUCGCAUCGGUCGACCAUAUCCUUUGCCAUUUCAUUCGCCCGCAACCAGAAGAAACCGGCUGUGAAUGCUUUGGCGAUGAUUGCCCUUGAGGAGGCGUGAUGACCGCAGGUUCCCGAGUGAAUUUCUUCCAGGAUUAACUGUCCCUCCUCACGGGAGAUGCAUCGUUGAAGGACGCCUGAAACGCUUUCCUUGUACAACUGGCCAUCAAUGACAGUGAACGACUUUGACCUGCGGACGAUCUGUCUGGCUUGGACUUCGUCUUCUGGUAAUUCUUGCCUCAGGAUGUAUGCAAUGAAGGGCACAGUCCAAUCGGGGAUGAUAGCAAGAAUCUCCAUGAUCAAAUCAACCACAGCAGGGACUUCGACUUCAGUCGGAUCUGUCGAGCUCUUUGGUUGUACUGGUUCCUUUGUGAAAGGAUCUUCUUUAACUGAGGGAAGGUGAAGGUGCUCGAGGCAGAUGUCACUCGGGACUGGUCUCCGAGUGGAUCCAAGUUUCGCCAAUUCAUCAGCUGCUUGGUUUUUCAGUCGCGGAACAUGGUGGAGUUCCAGACCUUCAAACUUUUUCUCGAGCUUCCUCACUGCAUUGCAGUAUGUGGUCAUGGUGGGGUUCCUUACGUCCCACUCCUUCAUCACUUGAUUAACCACAAAAUCUGAAUCGCCGUAGACCAUCAGGCGACGGACGCCGAGUGCGAUGGCCAUGCGCAAUCCAUAAAGGAGAGCCUCAUACCCUGCCUCAUUUUUGGAGGAAACGAAGUGUAUCUGCAACACAUACUUGUGUUUGUCACCUUUUGGCGAUAUGAUCACAACGCCAGCGCCGGAGCCAUUCAACAUCUUGGACCCAUCGAAGAACAUUGUCCAAUGAGCCGAGUAGAUGUGGGUCGGUUGCUGUUGUUCUACCCAUUCUGCUAUGAAGUCAACCAGAGCUUGAGACUUUAUAGCUUUCUUGGCCUCGAACUUGAUGUCGCAGUAUAACAUCUCCAUCGCCCACUUCGCCACUCGGCCUGAUGCGUCCCGAUUGUGGAGGAUUUCCGACAAAGGAGCAUCAGAAACGACAAACACCGAGUGGUCUUGGAAAUAAUGAGCCACCUUCUUCGCAGUCAUGUAAAUCCCGUAGAUAAGUUUUUGAUAGUGGGGAUACCUCUGCUUGGAAGGAGUCAGGACUUCGGAGACAUAAUACACUGGCUGCUGAACCUUGUAUGCUUUGCCUUCUUCUUCGCGUUCGACUGUGAGAACAGUGCUGACGACUUGAUUUGUAGCCGCGAUGUAUAGAAGAAGGGGUUCUUUACUGAGCGAAGCAGUAAGAACCGGCUGGGUGGAAAGUAGGACUUUGAGGUGGUCGAAUGCGAUUUGGGCUUCGUCUGUCCACUCGAAAGUAUCUGAUUUUUUCAUGAGUCGGUACAGAGGAAGUGCCUUCUCGCCGAGUCGACUGAUAAACCUGCUCAAAGCCGCUAGGCAACCUGUGAGCCUUUGAACAUCGUGUAUUCUGACCAACCGCUCCAUUCGGACGAUGGUCCCGAUCUUUUUGGGGUUGACAUCGAUCCCUCGUUCGGAAACAAAGAAACCGAGUAACUUUUCGCUGGGAACACCGAAUGAACACUUUGCUGGGUUGAGCUUGAUAUCGUACCUACGAAGGUUGACGAAUGUUUCUGCCAAGUCAGUCAGCAGGUCGGAACCUUUGCGUGACUUGACUACGAUAUCAUCCAUAUACGCCUCCACAUUUCGACCGAUCUGGUCAAGGAGGCAUUUUUGGAUCAUGCGCAUAAAGGUUGCUCCUGCAUUCUUCAAACCAAAUGGCAUAGUGAUGUAGCAGAAGCACCCGAAUGGGGUGAUGAAGGCUGUUUUUAAUUCAUCGGGGCCAUACAGAGGGAUCUGAUGAUAGCCCGAGUAGGUAUCAAGGAAUGACAAAUGCUCGCAACCCGCAGUCGAAUCGACAAUUUGAUCGAUGCGGGGGAGCGGGAAAUGGUCUUUCGGGCAGACCUUAUUGAGAUGCUUGAAGUCGAUGCACAUUCGGAGAGACUUGUCCUUCUUGGGCACCAUGACAACAUUGGCGAGCCACUCGGAGUGGUGUACCUCGCGAAUGAAGUUGGCUGCCAAAAGCUUAGCCACCUCUUCUCCGAUUGCCUUCCCCUUGUGCGCGGCGGACCGACGCAGGCGUUCUCGGACAGGCCGAGCAGCAGGAUCCACAUGCAGUCGGUGCUCAGCCAACUCCCUGGGUACACCUGGCAUGUCAGCGGGCUUCCAUGCGAAAAUGUCCCAGUUCUCAUGGAGGAAUUGGAUGAGCUCGACUUCCUAUUUAGGAUCGAGGGUGGUGGAGAUGUUCGUCGGGGCAGCGGCAUCGUCUGUCGGGUGGAUGCUGACCUUCUUCGUUUCUCCCGCCGACUGGAAUGCGGAUUCCGAAGCUGGCUUCUUCGAACGCAUCAAGUCAGCGGGGUCGACUGUCUUCUUGUACUCGUCAAGCUCGAGGACAACCAUCUGCUGAUCGGCGAUCCUCGAUCCCUGCUACAGACACUCCUCGGCACGCUGCCGAUUGCGUGUGAUAGUGAUCACACCUUUUGGGCCUGGCAUCUUCAGCUUCAGAUACACGUAACAUGGACGGGCCAUGAAACGCGCAUACGCCGGGCGGCCCAGAAUCGUUGGUGAACAGGGAGGUGAACAUGGCCACCCCGACCAAUCCCACGUUCCUCAAAUGGUCUCAGACUGCGAUCACCUUUGACCAGUCGGAUCAUCCAGCACACGUACCCACCCCAGGGAGGCAGGCCCUGGUCGUCGACCCGGUGGUAGAAGGAGUCCGACUGCGCAAAGUCCUCAUGGACAACGGCAACGGCUUGAACAUCAUGUAUGCUGACACUCUCAAGGGGAUGGGCAUUCCGAUGUCCAAACUUAGCGAGAGCAGCAUGCAGUUCCAUGGAGUCAUCCCUGGACGAAAGGCCAAGUCACUCGGCCAGAUCGCGUGGUACGCACUCUGGAAGUCCACCACCUCGAACGUCNAGCCGCUGCCGCCGUCCAUGAGGACUUUGCGUAGUCGGACUCCUUCUACCACCGGGUCAACGACCAGGGCCUGCCUCCCUAGGGUGGGUACGUGUGCUGGAUGACCCGACUGGUCAAAGGUGAUCGCAGUCUGAGACCAUUUGAGGAACGUGGGAUUGGUCGGGGUGGCCAUGUUCACCUCCCUGUUCACCAACUUCAGUCGACUCUUGCUUUCAACGUCAGCAAAAAUCAUCAGUGUGGCAUGGACUUGGGGGAACGGAUCCUCCUUGUCCUCCUCAUCCCGUUCAUUGUCUUUUUCACUCGGCUGCCCUUCGCCAAACCCCUGGAUCAGGAGGCGACAUUGCCGAGUGGUAUGCUUCGGAAAUAUGGCGUUGCCCUCUUCAUCCAUCUUCGUGUGGAUUGGACAUGGCUGGUCCAGGAUGUGGUUUCCGAACUGCUUCUUUUUGGGGGCGAACUGAGCCUUCCCCUUGCCCUUGAACUUGGCAUUGGUAACGGCUGCGGCCUCUGCCUGCGGAGUGGACGGAGCUUUCUGCUUCUGCUUCCGAGUGUUGUUCCCAUCUCCAUCAGCGACUGCUUUGUGCUUGCCGCUACGAAUGCGGUCCUCUUCUUCGCCAUUUGUGUAGCGUGCCGCUAUCUCCAUCAUCUUGCUCAUGGAGAUGUCGCCUGUUCGACCGAACUUCACGUAUAGAUCUCUGUACCGCACGCCUGCCUUGAAGGCGCAGACUGCUUGGUGCUCUGUGACGUUCUCCACUGUGUGGUAGAGGGUUGUCCAACGCUGGAUGAAAUCGCGCAGGGGCUCAUUCUGCUUCUGGACACAGUGCUGGAGCUCCACGAGACCAACAGGGCGCUUGCACGUCCCCCCGAAGGUCCUGAUGAAGACUCGGGCCAGAUCUGCCCAACUGUAGAUGCUUGAAGGAGCCAACUGGUUCAGCCACACUCGUGCCGAGCCGUUGAGCAUCAGGGGGAGAUGUUUCAUGGCGACCUGGUCGUCUCCACCGCCGAUCUGGACUGCCACUCGGUAGUCGUCCAGCCACGUUUCUGGCUUGGAUUCUCCUGUAAACUUGCUGAUUCCCGUCGUCAAUCGGAAGUUGGGAGGGAUGUCAGCCAAACGGAUGGCUCGACUGAAACACUCGGGGCCAGAGACAAUGGUCCUGCUUCCACUCGGACGGUCUAUAUCAUGACCAUCGCGGUGGGCCCGGCCCCUGUCGACCCUCCUCUGGGCGAUAUAUCCUCUUGCGUCGGGCCUUGGAUCAUAAGUGUCACCGAUCGAACGCUGAUCAUCAUGAUGUUGGGGCCCGUAGGGCCCACCCCGCGGAGGGGUGCGUGAACGGUGACGAUCUUCGGGAUUCAUGGAACGGUUGUCUCCCCUGUGUCGCUGAUGAGAACCGGGGUUGUGAACUGACCGAUGCGUGUUCGCGCGAACAGAACUAUUGUGGAUCAUGUUGUGCGACUGGGAGACCGCCGAAUUUUGCUGCUGCGCCGUGUGCAGCAGGGCACGGAUCUGCUCGAUCCCUCUGCCAGCCUCUGGAUCAGUCGGCUGGAGGGAAUCGGCUAUCUUGGCAGCGGCAGCCAGGUUGAGGCGGGUGUGCGGAACACCUCCACGUUGCUCUGACGAGUGCGCCGACUGGCAGAACGGCGGGGCUGACGGCGAGCGCCGGAUGUUUCGCCGACCUCGUGCUCGUUCCGGCCGGUUUGGCGGGGACUUUCAUGGGAGUUGGCCAUGUGCACUUCGGCUGCAGACCCGCGACCCAAGUACUUAGAAGGAAACUCAGUCGGAACUGAGUCCGAGUGCUGGGACGGCGGCGCAACUACAACCGACUCGAGGACUGCCACUUGUGAAGACGCGCUCUGGCGCGCCUGGGCGUGUCGCACCCAACGCUGGAGCCGCGGACGGCGAGAUCGCUUGUUGCGACGCGUGACGGGGGCGAAGGUCGACACCGGAGCCGACUGCUGGAGAAGAAGGAUGGCGUGGGCGCCGGCACGGAAGUGCGUAGCCCCGCGACUGGGGAGCGCCUCGACGUCGAGAGGAGCAUCCCGAAGCCAUGCCGAAUUGUCGACGAUGAAGGAGAGAGCGCCGAAGAGGAUCUCAUGACCCAUGCACAAAUCUCCACCGGAUGACAUGAUGAAAAGAUGUAGUCGCAAACUCGCCGAAAGUCGCUUAGAUGCCUGCCCCAUGGUGGGCGCCAACUGUCGUGGGUAUAAGUCUGACAGUAGAUGUGUAGGGUACGAAAGGAUGGGCAGAGCCUUAGCUACGGCGAGGUUGUAUGAGUUCAGGCCCCUCUACGGUGGAGGUAAAAGUCCUACGUCUAAGUGCUCUUGGGAGCUUGAUGUCGAGUGGAAUAUGGAUUACAGUGAAUUGCUAACCCCUGCACCAGUGGGGAAGGGCGACUUAUAUAGAGAGCGCUGCCCUUCACAACGGUUCGGUGCACAGGGAUGGAGUAGUGGCGAUUAAAUGUCUACGUUACAGGUAACGUAUGCCUAAAGUGCUAAUAAAGGUACAUGAAAACGUAUGACCGUUGCCCUCCAGGGGGGUUACGAUGUACAGAGUGGAAUCCAGUCGGUAAGUUUGAUACGCUCCGAAUGCUCAUCUCCGAGUGGAUGAUGGAGGAAUCGUCACCGACUGGAUGAUGGGAAGUCCUUAAUUCAGUCGGAACUGACUAAGGGCCUUGUCUCUUAUGAAGGGUAGUCCUUGGGUAGGACCUAUAGGGCAGGCCUAUGACCCUACCCUAGGACUAUAACCCCAUCACUUACCCUGCUAGGAAAAAGGAUUAUUCUAAAGCUCCAACUGUGAUACGUAGGGGUUACAUUAGACCACUUGCACCCCCUGAGGAAAUUAGAGUUGAACUUAGUGUUGCUAUUAUCAAAGAUCUCUUAGCCGAAGACAUAGACGGACAUGUUAUCAAAUUCUGUGAGGACUCCGCUAGAAUUGCUAAACCUCACGCGAAAGACAAAUACAGACCUGUAGUUGGCCUGUCCGUUGUUUCUGUCAAGAUAGGGGAUCACUGUUAUCAUGGUUUAUGUGAUAUGGGUGCUAGUGUUAGUGCAAUACUCCGGUCCCUAUACGAUGAAAUCAAAGAUGAGAUUGCACCUGCUGAGUUAGAACCCAUUGAUGUCACUAUUACGCUAGCUAAUAGAGACACUAUCUGCCCUGUGGGAAUUGUGCGAGAUGUAGAAGUCCUGUGUGGUAAGACAAAGUAUCCCACUGAAUUCCUCGUCCUUGCUACUACACAAGAUAGCUUUUGUCCCAUCAGAUUUGGUAGACCCUUUCUCAACACUGUCAAUGCUCAUAUUGAUUGCAUUAAAUAGACUGUCACUGUCAGUUUCGAGGGUGUGUCUCAUGAAUUUAACUUCUCCAAGUUUGGAAGACAACCCCAUGGGAAAGAGUCGUCUGGUAGGGAUGAAAUCAUUGCUCUUGCCUCUAUUGCCGUACCUCCUACGGAUCCUUUAGAGUAAUAUCUGCUUGAGCAUGAAAAUGAUAUGCAUAUGGAUGAAAGAGAUGAGAUAGAUAAAAUUGUUUUAGAACAAUAUCCUAUUCUCAAGAAUAAUCUGCCUGUUGAACGGCUUGGGGAUCCUUCCCCACCAAAGGGUGAUCCUGUGUUCGAGCUAAAACAGUUACCAGAUACUCUUAAGUAUGCCUACCUUGAUGAGAAGGAGAUAUAUCCUGUUAUUAUUAGUGCUCACCUCUCGAAUCACGAAGAGAAGAAGUUAUUAAAAAAUUUGAGGAAGCACCGUGCGGCUAUUGGAUAUACUCUUGAUGAUCUUAAGGGUAUUAGUCCCACUCUAUGUCAGCACAAGAUUAAAACUGAUCCUGAUUCUAAACCAGUUGCUGAUCAUCAAAGGAGAUUAAAUCCUAGGAUGAAAGAGGUCGUGAGAAAAGAAAUAUUAAAGCUUCUGGAAGCAGGAAUCAUUUAUCCUGUUGCCCAUAGUGAUUGGGUAAGUCCAGUACAUUGCGUACCUAAGAAGGGAGGUAUCACCGUCGUUCCUAAUGAUAAGAAUGAACUAAUCCCACAGAGGAUUAUUACUGGCUAUAGGAUGGUGAUAGACUUCCGGAAACUGAACAAGGCAACCAGGAAAGACCAUUAUCCUUUGCCGUUUAUCGACCAAAUGCUAGAAAGGCUAUCUAAACACACACACACUUCUGCUUUCUAGAUGGUUAUUCAAGUUUCUCGCAAAUACCUGUUGCACAAUCUCAUCAGGAGAAAACCACUUUCACCUGCCCCUUCGGUACCUUUGCUUAUAGACGUACGCCUUUUGGCUUAUGCAAUGCACCUGCCACCUUUCAAAGAUGUAUGAUGGCUAUAUUCUCUGACUUUUGUGAAAAGAUUGUUGAGGUUUUCAUGGAUGAUUUCUCCGUUUACGGUUCUUCCUUUGAUGAUUGCCUCAGCAACCUUGAUCGAGUCUUACACAGAUGCAAAGAUACCAACCUCGUCUUGAACUGGGAGAAGUGCCACUUCAUGGUUAAUGAAGGCCUCGUCUUAGGACACAAAAUCUCUGAGAAAGGCAUUGAAGUUGAUAAGGCUAAGGUUGAUGCAAUUGAGAAAAUGCCUUGCCCCACAGAUAUCAGAGGUAUACGAAGUUUCCUAGGUCAUGCUAGUUUCUAUAGAAGGUUCAUUAAAGACUUCUCUAAGAUUUCUAGGCCUCUUACCAACCUCUUGCAGAAGGAUGUUCCUUUUGUUUUUGAUGAGGAUUGUGAGGAAGCUUUCGAAAUACUUAAGAAGGCCUUGAUAACCACACCUAUUGUUCAACCACCUGAUUGGAACUUGCCCUUUGAAAUCAUGUGUGAUGCUAGUGAUUAUGUUGUUGGUGCUGUUCUAGGACAAAGAGUUGACAAGAAGUUGAAUGUUAUUCACUACGCUAGUAAAACUCUAGACAGUGCCCAAACAAACUAUGCCACUACGGAAAAGGAGUUUUUAGCAGUCGUGUUUGCAUGUGAAAAGUUCAGAUCUUAUAUAGUUGACUCCAAAGUCACUAUUCACUCUAAUCAUGCUGCUAUUAAGUACCUUAUGGAGAAGAAGGACGCUAAGCCUAGGCUAAUCAGAUGGGUUCUCCUGCUACAGGAAUUUGAUUUGCACGUUGUUGACCGAAAGGGUGCUGAUAAACCUGUAGCUGAUAACUUGUCCAGGCUAGAGAAUGUCCUUGAUGACCCCCGACCUAUUGAUGACAGCUUUCCUGAUGAGCAAUUAAAUGUCAUCCGCACUUCACAUAGUGCACCGUGGUAUGCUGAUUACGCAAACUAUAUCGUAGCCAAAUACAUACCACCCAGUUUCACCUACCAGCAAAAUAAGAAAUUCUUCUUUGAUUUGUGACACUACUUUUGGGAUGAUCCUCACCUUUAUAAGGACGGAGUAGAUGGUGUUAUUAGACGUUGUGUGCCUGAACAUGAACAGGGGCAGAUCCUGCAGAAGUGUCAUUCCAAAGCCUACGGAGGACACCAUGCUGGAGAUAGAACUGCUCAUAAGGUGUUGCAAUCAGGUUUCUAUUGGCCCACUCUCUUCAAGGAUGCCCGUAAGUUUGUCUUGUCUUGUGACGAAUGCCAAAGAAUAGGGAACAUCAGUAAGCGUCAGGAAAUGCCUAUGAACUAUUCACUUGUCACUGAACCAUUUGAUGUCUGGGGCUUUGAUUAUAUGGGACCCUUCCCGAGUUCCAAUGGGUAUACUCACAUCUUAGUCGAUGUUGAUUAUGUCACUAAGUGGGUAGAAUCUAUCCCCACUAGAAAUGUUGAUCAUCACACCUCUAUUAAGAUGCUUAAAGAAGUCAUUUUCCCAAGAUUUGGAGUCCCUAGAUAUUUGAUGACUGAUGGCGGUUCACACUUCAUUCAUGGUGUUUUCCGCAAGAUGCUUGCUAAGUAUGAUGUCAACCAUAGAGUUGCAUCUCUUUAUCAUCCUCAGUCUAGUGGACAAGUGGAGUUGAGUAAUAGGCAGAUCAAAUUGAUCUUACAAAAGACUAUCAAUAGAUCUCGAAAGAAUUGGUCUAGCAAACUUGACGAUGCACUAUGGGCUUAUAGGACUGCUUAUAAUAAUCCCAUGGGCAUGUCGCCAUAUAAAAUGGUUUACGGUAAGGCCUAUCAUUUACCUCUUGAGCUGGAACACAAAGCUUAUUGGGCAAUCAAAGAGCUCAACUUCGAUUUCAAACUUGCCGGUGAGAAGCGGUUGUUUGAUAUCAGAUCGUUAGAUGAAUGGAGGGCCCAUGCAUAUGAGAAUGCCAAGUUGGUCAAGGAAAAGGUUAAGAGAUGGCACGAUAAAAGAAUACAAAAACGAGAGUUCAAUGUAGGUGAUUAUGUCCUGCUAUACAAUUCUCGCUUAAGAUUCUUCGCAGGCAAGCUUCUCUCUAAAUGGGAAGGUCCUUACAUUGUCGAGGAAGUAUAUCAUUCCGGUGCCAUCAAAAUAAAUAACACGGAAGGUAAUUUUCCUAGAGUUGUAAAUGGGCAAAGAAUCAAGCAUUAUAUCUCUGGUACUCCCAUAAAUGUUGAGACCAAUAUCAUCAAUAUCAUAACUCCAGAGGAGUACAUAAGGGAUGUUUAUCAGCCUGUUUCAGACCUUGAAAAUGAAGAGGUAUGUGUUUUGGUAAGUAAUUGGACUCCGAAACUUUUCAAGUAGUAAAUUUUCUCCGUUUUGGAAUUUAUGGAAAAUUAGAAAAAUAAAAAGCAGUCCUGAGAGCGCACGAGGCGUCCACAAGCUUGGUAGCCGCCACCUGCCCCCUGGCGGCGGCUACAGGGCUUGUGGGCACCUCGUGUGCCUCCCGGACUCCGUUUUCUUGCGGAGCACUCCUUCUAGUCCAGAAAAAAUCAUUAUAUAUAUACGCUCGAGUGUUUUGAUCUCCGUAUCACGCAAUUUUCCUCUGUUUUCGUUUCGAGCCUAUGUCUGCCGCAGAUUUAGAGCAAAGAUGUCUCAGGAAUCUGUUGGGGAGAAUAAUCUCCCCCAAGUUCAUGAAGAAGUAGAUGCUGAUCUGAAAAGAGUAGAAGUCACGGAAGCCAGGGACAAAGCUAAGGAGAAAACCCAAGCUAGGGAGGAAGUUCAACCUAUGUUCAACAUUGAAGACGUUGAAGGAGUAUAUUUUCUCCAACCCUUCCUCCACGUGUUGUCUCCAUCCUUGAUUGAACUCUUGAGGUUUUGUGAAACAACUCGUGCUCACAAUAUUUCCCUUUCUCGUGAAGUUGUUUUGCUGGAAAACCAUGUCGCAGAUCUCAAAGGUAUAAAUCAAAGAUUGAUAGCUCUCUUGGAAUCAAAGGCAACAACUCCGCCACCAUCACCACCA